CGGCUCGGAAAUCCGGCCAGCAGCCUCCUUUGAAAUAAGGAGGUGUGCCCAUUCCGCCGGUGACCUCUGUCCAACAAGAGGAACUGGAUGCUUUACUGGAAGUGAUCCGAAGCGCUUCCAUUGUUGAGGAACACUGUACCCUCAUGGGUACGGUGAUUGAGAAGAUUCAGUCCGCGAAGAGCGGGCUGACCGAAGCCUGCACAAGCCUUCUAAUAGGCUUUGAGGUAAGCAACGCAAUUGAGAAGAAUAUCACGGUAUAGACAGUAGCCCCUGAGACAUUGUCCGGUGUUCGGAAAGAAAAGCCGGAUAGAGGAUCCAAAUAACUUUCAUAGGAGACUAACCAUGUCUAUGUGAAUAAGCAGGCAUCGCUGCUGGCCGCGACUGCGCAUCCUGCCGAAGUCUCCGGACUGAAGCAGAGGCUAGAGCGAGCCAAGGAGGAGCUCGGUCAAGCAAAAAGGCAGCUGGAAUUAAAGCAAGGUAUGUAGUGACCUUCUGCAUAGCAGAAAGGGUGAAUAAUUUGUGUUUUGACCAGAAUGCCAUUUCAUUUGUAGGAGAGGCGACCGAGGUGGAGGCUCUUAAGAAGGCGCUGGCCGAAGCCGUGGAGAGAGCGGUCAAGGAAGGGGCCGCCCGCAAAAAGCACGAAGCUAGGGUCGGUGAGGUCCAGCAAGAGUUUCAAGACGCUGUAAAGAAGUGCGAGUCCUUGGAGCGCAACCUUGCGGAUAAAAAGUCUGAACUUGCCAAGGCCCGCCAAAGCAUGCAAGAUGCCCGGGUCAAAUCCCAGGGCGCCCUCCAGGAAAUCCAGGAGUCCAGGAAAAUCGCGGCGGGUAAGGCUUUUAUUAUGCAGAGGAAGUAUGUGAAGAAAAGGUACCUCUUACUGACCCGGAUUCGGAGUUCUCCAGGGGCGUUCACGGAUUUGCCACGCAGUGUAUCUGAUGCUGCCAAGUUCUUCCGAGCUGAAGAUGGGGGCUCAACGGAGAAGUUGUUCUGGUCGCAAUACCUUGCGCCAGAACAUCCGGUGCCUUUCAGCGAUCAUCUAAAACAGCUGGUCGAGCUGCAUAGGGCGGCCGAACUAGCCAUGAAGGAUUUGAUAAUCCGGCUGUGGCCUGCCGAAGCCAUGCCCAGCAGUUACUUCGGGCUCUUGAGGUGGCUGGUCAAUGCCUGCCCUCGGCUGGUUGAUAUCAAGUGCUCGGUCUGCAUCAAAGGUGCGCGGAUGGCCUUCGCCCGUGUCAAGAUCCAGUGGGCGAAGAUGGACAUCGUCAAGCUUGCGACUGACCGACCGCCCGCGGGCAAGGAGCACCGCACAUCUAGCGGUAUUUUGAGGAUGUCUUGAAUGGAUCCCGCAUUGUGGAGGGGCAGUGUUCAAAGGACAUUAUCUUUGAAUGAAGUCAUUCGUAUUUGUCCCUCCCUGUAUGAUGAAACAAAGCCGUUAUGUAAUAUUAUGCUUGUUUAUUAUUUAGAACUUUACCUCCUGUGCGGCCGUGUUUAUGAAAUAUAAGAGUUGGCCAGUCGUCGGCUUCAGCCCCCACGUAGGCACUACGGGGGUGUUCGGGAUGGAAUCUAAACACUCUUGAUCCAAUUUUUUGGUCCUUGAAGGAGGUGUUUAGCGCAACGAACCAGGCAACCGGACUAUGUGGCUUUAUCACUCUCACAUAGCCAUAGGAGUUCAACAAUAAAAAUUUAGGCGCAGCCCCUAGUAUCCAAACUAGGCUGCUGUAAGCACCUGAUCGGGGAAAACCCGAUUCAUCGCGUAAUGUGGAAAAAAUUGCUAAAGAUUUGAAACCUCCGAAGAGCUGACCGGCUCACGCCGCAUCAUGACAGUCAGUUUUCGACUUUCUCUACUGAGGUGCUCAUCCGGAAUAACUAGGACACAAUCGCAGUAGUUCUUCCUUUACUACCCUAGCCGAUAUAGCGGAACGUAAGGUAGUAAGCACAGGAGCUGGGCAACCCAACUAUUGACCAAAGACAUGAUUCGGACCCAAUGCAUAUAAUGCUAAAUUCGGCAUGCCGAACAGUACUGUACAAAGUGUUUGGACUUUUGUUGCCGUAUUUAUGGGGCGCGAUGCAGCCCCCGGCGUGUUAAAGCGUACCAACAUGUACGGGUGCAAUUUGAUAGGAAUAUCAAAAAAGGGCAGCCAGCUAGUGCCGCGCAAAUUGUUUCCAUUAUAGUUUGAUUAAUACGUCAAAGCGUAUUUUGACAAGUAGUGCAAUAAGCAUCAGGGCUAUUUAACAUGCCACAACCAAGGGAGAGCUGCGUGCGGGUCCUGAAAACAGGUAGAACGAUCGUUACGGAGACCACCUGAAAAUUCCCUUAUACGUCAGUGAUUCUUGCCGUCUUGGUUUAUCUAUCCUCUCGAAAGGACCGGUGAUCCGGCCGCCAGGAAAGGCCUGUGGAAAGGAAACCUGAAGAGGAAAAGGAAAAGUGAAAGUAUGUGUGUCCAGGGGAGGUCAAGCCGUACUAUGGGUCAUAAUCGAGUUAUGCCUCCGUCUAUGCCCAUGGUAUUUUGAGUGCGUAGUUAUGUACGCGCGGGACGAACGCCGCUGCUUUUUCGAGACUGAGGCGGAGGCCGAAUUGCUAGUCGAGCUCUUGACGAGCUGGGCUGUCCUGCUGCGGGGUAGUCCGGACUCAUUUGACGGUGUCCGAGAGCUCGACUGCCGAAUUAAGGUUUCGCUUGAGAAGGCCGAUCUGUACUUCUGCCGCUAAGGCAGUGGUGUGCUCCUCGAUCCGGAGGGAGCGUUCCGUGUUUCCAUUGACUAUUAUGACGCCGCGUGGUCCGGGCAUCUUGAGCUUGAGAUAAGCAUAGUGUGGUACCGCAUUGAAUCGAGCGAAUGCAGUUCGUCCUAGCAGUGCGUGAUAACCACUGCGGAAGGGGACGAUAUCGAAGACCAACUCUUCGCUUCGAAAGUUGUCCGGGGAUCCGAAGACAACCUCUAAUGUGAUUGAGCCCGUACAGCGGGCCUCUACACCUGGUAUGACUACUUUAAAGGUAGUCUUUGUGGGCUUGAUCCUUGAGGGGUUAAAGCCCAUUUUGCGCACUGUAUCCUGAUAGAGCAGACUCAGGCUGCUACCACCAUCCAUGAGGACUCGCGUGAGAUGAAAUUCAUCGAUGAUUGGGUCGAGGACCAGUGUGGCUGAGCCGCCAUGAUGGAUACUGGUCGGAUGGUCCCUGCGAUAGAAAGUGAUCGGACAGGAAGACCAUGGAUUGAACUUUGGGGCGACUAGCUCCAUCGUAGACGUCCCUGAGCGCGCGUUUGCGCUUCCUCUUGGGGAUAUGGGUAGCAUAUAUCAUGUUUACUGUUUUGACUUGGGGAGGAAACUUCUUAUGUCCCCCUGUGUUUGGUGGACGGGGCUCCUCGUCAUCGUCCUCACUGCGCGACCCCCUGUCCUUCUUUUCGGCGUUUAUCUUGCCGGCCUACUUGAAGACCCAACGACUUGUGUUGGUAUGGUUGGCUGGCUUAUCGGGAGUGCCGUGGAUCUGACAUGGACGAUCGAGUAUGCGGUGCAAGCUGGAUGAGCCCCAAUUAUUCCGUUUAAAUGGCUUCUUCUGCUGACCGGACUUAGAGCCACUGAAUCCGACGUUGACCGCCGUGUCAUCGGUAUUAUCACCGUUGUUUCGACGCUUGUGCCUAUUGUGCGGGGGCUUGCCGUUGCUAUUUCUGGCUUUAGAUGCGCUAGGUUUGCUUGACUUAGUAUUGCUACGGGCUAGCCAGCUAUCAUCGCCUACACAAAAGCCGGUCAUGAGUGUCAUGAGGGCUGCCAUGGACUUCGGCUUUUCCUGGCCGAGGUGUCAGGUGAGCCAUUCGUCGUGGAUGCUGUGCUUGAAGGCCGCUAAUGCUUCGGCAUCCGGGCAGUCGACGAUUUGGUUCUUUUUAGUUAAGAACCAGGUCCAGAAUUUCCUGGCUGACUCUCCGGGCUGCUGGACUAUGUGACCUAGGUCAUCGGCAUCCAGAGGUCAGACGUAUGUACCUUGGAAGUUAUCGCGGAAUGCGUCUUCCAGGUCCUCCCAGCUGCCAAUGGAGUUUUCUGGUAGGCUGUUCAACCAGUGCCGAGCUGGUCCCUUGAGUUUGAGUGGGAGGUAUUUGAUGGCAUGAAGAUCAUCACCGCGGGCCAUAUAAAUAUGGAAAAAAAUCUAUGAUCCAUACCGCAGGGUCUGUUGUCCCAUCGUAUGAUUCGAUGUUGACGGGUUUAAACCCUUAUGGGAAUUCGUGUUCCAUUACUUUGUCGCUGAAGCAAAGGGGGUGUGCAGCGCCUCUAUAUCGGGCCAUGUCGCGACGUAGGUCGGAUGGGGUCCAUCUACGGUUUUCGGCCUAGGCAUAAUUGUGAUUGUCGCGUCCGGCUAGGUAGCCGUCAUCGCGUAUCAGGGCACGCCGCCGUAAUCCAUAGAUCGAUCUGGUCUGCCCUGCUCUAUUGGCCAGGUCCUGCCGCAGGUCGUAUGUAUAUCCCCGAGCUGUUUUGUCUCUGCCUUUGCAGCGAGGUAGUGCGGGCUGGUGUUCGGCUUGAGUUGCCGCUUUGUCCUGGCCACGUGGUGGUCGAUCAGCCGCAUUUCGCGCUGUUGGUGUGGCCUCGGGUGCCUCGUCAUCGAAUUGAGGUAGCAAUUUGCAUUUCGGGUAACUCUUUGUUGGGUGCUCAAGGCCGUAUUCCUCGGCUGCCAGGACAUUAGUCCAUCUAUCGUUGAGCAGAUCUUGGUUAGCUUGAAGCUGCUGCUGCUUCUUUUUCAGGCUCCUUGUAGUGGCUACUAGCUGACGCUUAAAGCACUCCUGCUUGAGAGGUUCCUCCGGCACGAUAAAAUCUUUGCUGCCAAGGCUCACCUCAUCCUCGGAGAGCGGAACAUAGUUACUGUCCUCCGAGUCUUCGUUUUCGGCCUGUUCAUCAGGGGUGACUUGCCCAUCUUCCCGUUUGUCCUGUUCGGAGGUUGGCUCAACGGGAUCUUCACUGUCUUUGGCAUCAUCUCGAGUAUUGUUUUCACCUGUGCCGGUAUUGCUGUCUUUUCCGUGGCGUGACUUAGAGCGGCGCCGCUAUUGCCGGCGCUUUGGCUAUGUCUCAGGAGGUUUAUCCUCGACUGGGUCUUUUUGGUCAUCGCCAUUGGUUUCUUUGGGUGUAUCCACCAUGUACACGUCAUACGAAGAGGUGGCCGUCCAUCGUCCGGUAAACGGCGGGUUUUGGGCCUACUCUUCUCCGGCACCGUCGUCCAUACCGUCGAUGUCUUCGAAGUCGUAGUCGAGCAUGUCGCUUAAGUCCUCGACAGUGGCUAUGAAGUGGGCGGUGGGUGGGAAGCGAAAUUCUCCAUCAUCAGCCUCCAGUUCGAACCGAAUAUUAUUCGGUGUGACGCUCCCGCUAAGGAGAGUUUUUAAUGAGUUUAGCACAUCACCUAGAGGUGAGUGCCUGAAGAUGUCCGCAGAGCUGAAUUCAAUGAUCGAUGACCGAUCAAGCUCGACGUAUGCGGACGCGAGUAGUUCGGAACCUGUGGCCGGAAACGAGUCUGAGGUUCCGGUGGCGCAGAUUCCACCCGAGGUUGGGUCUGUGUGCGGCUCCAACGCCGCUGAAUCUGCAACUUUCGUGGCAGGGUUGAGCUUCCCGUCCUCGGAUGGCGCGAUCUACUCCAGGUCUAAGGCCAGAGCAGUUGCAGGUGCUAUAUCCUGGGUGUCAGGUGGGACGUAAAAUUCCAUGCUCUCAGCCCCUAGUCCGGGCUGGGCACAGUUCGGACUCUGCUGCUCUGUAAUGACAAGUGAUCACAUUAAGUCCAAAGCCUCACUUAACAUCGAGGUUUGGCCCGAGAGAAGAGAGCCCGUGGAGCGUGGCGUGAGGGAGACUCCUGGGCCGAACUCACACGAGGCUGACUCCGAGGCUUUGGAGCCAGUGUCUGGGGAAGGGUCCGGCUUCAAGAUGGUUGCCAGCGACACUACUUCGCCCGGCUCUCCAAGCGUGGGCCUAGUGGCCGCCGACAGUCCGGCGGGCUCUAAGUGCCCGUCUUCGGACUCGGCGAUAUGCUCUGGGUCUAAGGCCAGAGGGGAGGUUGAAGGCGCGAAUCCUUGGAAGAUCAAGUCUCCUCGGAUAUCAGCGACAUCGUCCAGGUUUCCAAAGCUAAUCUGGUGACCUGGGACGUAGCUGUCGAUCUGCUCUACAUGGCCAAGCGAAUUGGCCCGCAGUGCGAAGCCGCCGAACACGAAGAUUUGGCCAGGGAGGAAAGCCUCCCUCGGGGCAGCACUGUUGUAGAUUAUUGGUGGAGCCAUCUAACCUUUUGACGACGACACAACGGACCUCUCAAUGAAAGCACCAAUGUCGGUGUCAAAACCGGCGGAUCUCAGGUAGGGGGUCCCGAACUGUGCGUCUAGGAUCGAUGGUAACAGGAGACGGGGGACACGAUGUUUACCCAGGUUUGGUCCCUCUCUAUGGAGGUAAUACCCUACUUCCUGCUUGAUUGAUCUUGAUGAAUAUGAGUAUUACAAGAGUUGAUCUACCACGAGAUCGUAAUGGCUAAAACCCUAGAAGUCUAGCCUGUAUGAUUAUGAUCGUUCUCUAAGGACUAAACCCUCCGGUUUAUAUAGACACCGGAGGGGACUAGGAUUGUACAAAGUCGGUUACAGAGAAAGGAAUCUUCAUAUCCGAACGCCAAGCUUGCCAUCCACGCCAAGCAGAGUGCUAUCCGGACACGGGAGAGAGUCUUCAGUCUUGUAUCUUCACAGCCCAUUAGUCCGGCCCACGUAUCAUAGUCCGGACGCCCGACGACCCCUUAAUCUUGGACUCCCUCAGUGUGGAUGGCCUUUCCCGCAUACCAUGCUUUGGGCAAGGCUGAUUCAACAUCUGCUCCAGAUUUAUACCUGACCUUCCUGCCUGAGGAGGUGGCUUUCUUUACGAGCUGACCAUUAUUCAGCGUAUUGGUAUUAGCCACAAAGUCAGAAUUAUUCUCAGCCUUGCGCUUACCAUUGCCCCCUUGACUCACCGGGUUAUUAGGCUGCCCCUUGGCGUUGCUACUCUUCUUUCCCUUACCGGCUUUUCUCAUCAGACUCGGGGUCCUUGGUACUGUCAGAGUCGACUUAUUUAACCAGAGCCGCCAUGAGCGUCCCCAUGUCAUUGCAGUGGCGUUUGAGCCGCCCUAAUUUCUGCUUCAGGGGUAUAAAACGACAAUUGCUUUCCAACAUUAGGACUGCAGAAUCAGCCUUGAUACGAUCCGACGAGUGCAGGAUUGCGGAGACCCGGCGCACCCAAUGGGUUGUCGACUCACCCUCUUCUUGAACACAGGCAGCCAAGUCUACAAUCGACAUAGGCUGCUUGCACGUGUCUUUGAACUACUGGAUAAACUGGGCCCUUAGCUCGGCCCAUGAUCCAAUGGAGUUGGCUCGCAUCCCCUUCAACCAAGUGCGGGCCGUUCCUUCCAACAUCAUGGUGAAAUACUUAGCACAUGCCGCAUCGUCGACAUCUAACAGCUCCAUCGCCAUCUCAUAACAUUCAACCCACGUUUCAGGGGGUAAGUCAGCUGUGUAGUUGGGCACCUUACGAGGAUCCUUGAAAUCCUUGGGCAGACGUACGUUACGUAAAGCCGACACUAAACAUGGCACUCCCAAGGAUCUAGAAGUCACACCUAACUCCACCAAAGUUGUUGGAUAAACCGGAGAUGGUUGACGAGCCGCGUACUGAGCCGCCAGCUCAUUCUCCCGAUGUGCUCUAUCCUGGUCCAUCAGGGCCUGAGUAUUACGGGGCGGGUCAUGUCCACGGGGUGGGUUACGACGCUGCUCACUGCUUGACACCGCCGGGGAGUCCAUGUGUCUGCUAUAACUCCGACUUGGCCGAGGGGUUGAAUGGAUCCUCUCACGACUGUAAGAAUAAGCCUCCUGCUGCACUAAUGCAGUCUGAAGAAGCUCUCUAGCCCUCUGCGUUUCAACCGCAGCUGGAGACUUGCCUUCAACUGGGAGAGCCGCCAAUCGCGACGCGGCAGCGAUCAUGUUAUCCAAAGGGUUAGAAUAAUGACCCGGUGGUGUCAGCACUUGUUGUGAUGGGAUAUUAUUCUGACAGAGCGGGUCCCUCGUGCGUGGUUGAGCCGGCGCUCCAGUCCCAAGCGCGGCUACUGCCCGGUUUAUCCCUGGCGGGUCACUGGUCCCUCCACCUGGUGUGUUGAAGAGGUUCCUCGCCUCGUAAACCGGAGGCAGAUGACUUCGGUGCCUUCUCCUAAAAACUUCAUUUGAAGCGUUCUGAUCCAACGAGAGCCGGAAGGAAUCGGCCUGGAUUCUUUGCGCCUGAGCAUCCAAAGAGGCUCGUUCCGCGGUCAUCCUCGCGUCCUCCGCUGCCAUAUCUUCCCUGGCUUGAGCUAUCUCAUCUCGUAGUUUUGCAACUUCCGCAUUAUGCUGAGUUUGAUUUGUCGGGUUAACCUCCGCUGUUAACAAUGUUGUCAAAGUGUCCAAUAAGUCAGACAAGACCUGGGCCGACGGGCGCGCAGGGCCUCCUGCCCGGCCGCCAUCGUCGUUGCUGACCCAGAAACCAUUGCCGCUGCAGUCGAAGAAUUCUGUACUGACUGCGUACCGGCCGUGAAAAUCGCGACCCGGUUCGGCGGCUCAUAGGGGUCCGGAAUACUGUCGCCAUCGGAACAACCCCCAAGGCUGCCGUCCUGUGAUGCGUCUCCAACGUAUCUAUAAUUUUUUAUUGUUCCAUGCUAUUAUAUUACCUGCUAUGGAUGUUUAACAGGCUUUAUUAUGCACUUUUAUACUAUUUUUGGGACUAACCUAUUAACCAAAGGCCCAGUGCAAAUUGCUGUUUUUUACCUAUUUCAGUGUUUCACAGAAAAGGAAUAUCAAACGGAAUCCAAACGGAAUGAAACCUUCGGGAGAGUUAUUUUCGGAACAAACACAAUCCAAGAGACUUGGAGUGGACGUCAAGGAAGCAAUGAGGAAGCCACGAGGCAGGAGGGCGCGCCCAGGGGGGUAGGCACGCCGCCACCCUCGUGGCUCCACCGACCUACUUCUUUCGCCUAUAUAUACUCAUAUACCAUGAAAACAUCCGAGAGCACUACGAAACCCUAUUUCCACCACCGCAACCUUCUGUACCCGUGAGAUCCCAUCUUGGGGCCUUUUCUGGUGCUCCGCCGGAGGGGGAAUCGAUCUCGGAGGGCUUCUACAUCAACACCAUAGGCUCUCCGAUGAUGUGUGAGUAGUUUACCACAGACCUUCGGGUCCAUAGUUAUUAGCUAGAUGGCUUCUGCUCUCUCUUUGUAUCUCAAUACAAAGUUCUCCUCGAUUCUCUUGGAGAUCUAUUCGAUGUAAUUCUUUUUGCGGUGUGUUUGUCGAGAUCCGAUGAAUUGUGGGUUUAUGAUUAAGAUUAUCUAUGAACAAUAUAUGAGUCUCCUCUGAAUUUAUGCAUGAUUUAAUUAUCUUUGCAAGUCUCUUCGAAUUAUCAGUUUGGUUUGGCCUACUAGAUUGCUCUUUCUUGCAAUGGGAGAAGUGCUUAGCUUUGGGUUCAAUCUUGCGGUGUCCUUUCCCAGUGACAGAAGGGGCAGCAAGGCACGUACUGUAUUGUUGCCAUCGAGGAUAAAGAGAUGGGGUUUAUAUCAUAUUGCUUGAGUUUAUCCCUCUACAUCAUGUCAUCUUGCCUAAUGCGUUACUCUGUUCUUAUGAACUUAAUACUCUAGAUGCAUGCUGGAUAGCGGUCGAUGUGUGGAGUAAUAGUAGUAGAUGCAGAAUUGUUUCGGUCUAAUUGUCACGGACGUGAUGCCUAUAUACAGGAUCAUGCCUAGAUAUCAUCAUAACUACGCACUUUUCCAUCAAUUUCUCCACAGUAAUUCGUUCACCCACCGUAAAUUAUGCUAUCUUGAGAGAAGCCACUAGUGAAACCUAUGGCCCCCGGGUCUAUCUUCCAUCAUAUUAUUUUCCUAUCAACUUGCUAUUUAUUUUUCCCUUUAUUUUGCAAUCUUUACUUUCCAAUCUACACAACAAAAAUACCAAAAAUAUUUAUCUUAUAAUCUCUAUCAGAUAUCACUUUUGCAAGUGGCCGUGAAGGGAUUAACAACCCCUUUGUCGCGUUGGUUGCAAGGUUCUUGAUUGUUUGUGCAAGUACAAGGGACUUGCGUGUACUCUCCUACUGGAUUGAUACCUUGGUUCUAAAAAACGGAGGGAAAUACUUACGCUACUUUGCUGCAUCACCCUUUUCUCUUCAAGGGAAAACCAACGCAUGCUCAAGAGGUAGCAAGAAUGAUUUCUGGCGCCGUUGUCGAGGAGAUCCACGCCAAGUCAAGACAUACCAAGUACCCAUCACAAACUCUUCUCCCUCGCAUUACAUUAUUUGCUAUUUUCCUCUCGUUUUCCUCUCCCCCACAUCACCUUUGUCGUUUUAUUCGCCCUCUUUUUCCGUCCGCCUCUCUUUUUUCGCUUGCUCCUUCUUUGUUCGUGUGCUAGAUCAUUUUCUUUGCCGUUAUGGCUAGUCCUUCUAUCAUCGUUAGUACUCCCGAUCAUGAAGUUCUUAAUUUUAAAUCAAAGGGAGGGAUAAAAUCUAAAAGAUGCUUGGCAUAGAAUUUGCAAUGCUCAGAAUAGAUCUAUUAGGAAGCAAUCUACUUCCGUUCUUCUUUGCAAUUUUUAUGCAGGCAUCACUCCUUGGAACAGAUAUAUUCUUGAUACCAUUACCGGAGGGAAUUUCUUGCGUAGCCAUAAUUUUGGUUCUUAUAAUUCUAUGAUAGAUCUGUUUGGCCCUCCACCGCUUUUGGUUAAUGGAACUGUUUUAACUUUGGAACAUGUGAUGCAAAGGCUUGAAAUUAUUGAAAAUAAAAUUGCCACCACUGAAUUGAUUGAGAAUUUGGAUAAAAAGAUCCACAACCAGAUUACCCAAUAUGGAUCUAAGGUGGGAGUUACUCUGAAUUUUUUUAAGGAAAAAGAACCCAUAGUUAACGAAAAGAUGGAUCAAGAUUCCACUAGAAUUGAUAAGCUUGAGGAUAUUGUUACCAAUUUAGCGUCCGCCUUUUCUUCCGUGAAAAAUACUCCAAAUCCUCCUACUUCCAAAAUUGUCAAGUUGAUGUAUGUUCCUAAAAAUAAGGGUGACUGUCCUAGUAAGGAAAAUGCGGAUCUCAAAUCAAUAAGUGUUCACCCCAAUUUUUUUUACUAUCAUUAAGGAACCUUUGGCUACAAAUGAAUUCCUCGAUUUCUUGCCUAGGAGCUUGAUCGUUAAUAAAAAGAAUGAAACUCCUAAGGGUUAUAAGUGUUCUGUUGAGGAAUUGCAUACCAAAGAUGAUAAUACCUAGACCUAUUCUUGCUUUUGUGCCUAGCUAGGGGCGUUAAACGAUAGCGCUUGUUGGGAGGCAACCCAAUUAGUGUUUGUGCCAAGUAGAACCUUUGGGAAGACUUGGGUGAAGUCUUUGCGAUCUUGCUGUAGAAAACAGAAACUUUAGCGCUCACGAGAUUAGCUACCAUUUUUUACAGAAGAGUGCUCUUAGGUUGAUUCUUUUUGCAGAGUAUUAAUAGGCACAUUUCUUAGGACGUCCUAAUUGUUCAGAAUUUUUGGAGUUACAGAAGUAUUCGAUAGUUACAGAUUGCUACAGACUGUUCUGUUUUUGAUAGAUUCUGUUUUUCGUGUGUUGUUUGAUUAUUUUGAUGAAUCUAUGGCUAGUAUCGGGGGGUAUGAACCAUAAAGAAGUUGGAAUACAGAAGGUUUAACACCAAUAUAAAUAAAGAAUGAGUUCACAACAGUACAAAAAGUGGUGAUUUAUUUUCUUAUACUAACGGAGCUCAUGAGAUUUUUCUGUUGAGUUUUAUGUUGUGAAGUUUUCAAGUUUUCGGUAAAGAUUUGAUGGAUUAUGGAAUAAGGAGUGGCAAGAGCCUAAGCUUGGGGAUGCCCAAGGCACCCAGAGGUAAAAUUCAAGGACAACCAAAAGCCUAAUCUUGGGGAUGCCCCGGAAGGCAUCCCCUAUUUCAUCUUCGUCCAUCGGUAACUUUACUUGAGGCUAUAUUUUUAUUCACCACAUGAUAUGUGUUUUGCUUGGAGCGUCUUGUAUGAUUUGAGUCCUCGAUUUUUAGUUUACCACAAUCAUCCUUGCUGUACACACCUUUUGGAGAGACACACAUGAUUCGGAAUUUAUUAGAAUACUCUAUGUGCUUCACUUAUAUCUUUUGAGCUAGAUAAUUUUGCUCUAGUGCUUCGCUUAUAUGUUUUUAGAGCACGGUGGUGGUUUUAUUUUAUAGAAGUUAUUGAUCUCUCAUGCUUCACUUAUAUUAUUUUGAGAGUCUUAUAGAACAGCAUGGUAAUUUGCCUUGGUUAUAAAAUUAGUCCUAAUAUGAUAGGCAUCCAAGAUGGGUAUAAUAAAAACUUUCAUAAAAAGUGCAUUGAAUACUAUGAGAAGUUUGUUACUUGAUGAUUGCUUUGAGAUACAAGGAUGGUGAUAUUAGAGUCAUGCUAGUGGAGUAGUUGUGAAUUUGAGAAAUACUUGUUCUAAAUUUUGUGAUUCCCGUAGCAUGCAGGUAUGAUGAACCGCUGUGUGAUGAAGUCGGAGCAUGAUUUAUUUAUUUAUUGUCUUCCUUAUGAGUGGCGGUCGGGGACGAGCGAUGGUCUUUUCCUACCAAUCUAUCCCCCAAGGAGCAUGCGCGUAGUACUUCGUUUCGAUAGCUAAUUGUUCUUUGCAACAAGUAUGUGUGUUCUUUAUGACUAAUGUUGAGUCCAUGGAUUAUACGCACUCUCACCCUUCCACCAUUGCUAGCCUCUAUAAUACCGCGCACCUUUCGCCAGUAUCAUACAUGCACCAUAUACCUUCCUCAAAACAGCCACCAUACCUACCUAUUAUGGCAUUUCCAUAGCCAUUCCGAGAUAUAUUGCCAUGCAACUUACCACCGUUCCAUUUUAUAUGACACUUUUCAUCAUUGUCAUAUUGCUUUCAUACACUUAUAGCUCUAGUGCAUACGUUGCAUGGCAAUCCCUACUCACUCACAUUGAUAUCUAUUGAUGGGCAUCUCCAUAGCCUGUUGAUACGCCUGGUUGAUGUGAGACUAUCUUCUCCUUUUUGUCUUCUCCACAACUACCAUUCUAUUCCACCUAUAAUGCUAUGUCCAUGUCUCAUGCUCAUGUAUUGCGUGAAGAUUGAAAAAGUUUGAGAACAUCAAAAGUAUGAAACAAUUGUUUGGCUUGUCAUCGGGGUUGUGCAUGAUUUUAAUAUUUUGUGUGAUGAAGAUAGAGCAUAGCCAGACUACAUGAUUUUGUAGGGAUAGCUUUCUUUUGCCAUGUUAUUUUCAGAAGACAUGAUUGCUUUGUUAGUAUGCUUGAAGUAUUAUUAUUUUUAUGUCAAUAUUAAACUUUUGUCUUGGAUCUUUUGGGUCUGAACAUUCAUGCCACAAUAAAGAAAAUUACAUUGAGAAUUAUGCUAGGUAGCAUUCCACAUCAAAAAUUCUGUUUUUACCAUUUACCUACUCGAGGACGAGCAGGAAUUAAGCUUGGGGAUGCUUGAUACGUCUCCAACGUAUCUAUAAUUUUUGAUUGUUCCAUGCUAUUAUAUUACCUGUUAUGGAUAUUUAAUGGGCUUUAUUAUGCACUUUUAUAUGAUUUUUGGGACUAACCUAUUAACCAAAGGCCCAUCGCAAAUUGCUGUUUUUUGCCUAUUUCAGUGUUUCACAGAAAAGGAAUAUCAAACGGAAUGAAACCUUCGGGAGAGUUAUUUUCGGAACAAACGCAAUCCGGGAGACUUGGAGUGGACGUCCAAGAAGCAACGAGGAAUCCACGAGGCAGGAGGGCGCACCCAGGGGCAUAGGCGCGCCCCCACCCUCGUGGGCCCCUCGUGGCUCCACCGACCUACUUCUUUCGCCUAUAUAUACUCAUAUACCCUGAAAGCAUCCGAGAGCACCACGAAACCCUAUUUCCACCGCCGCAACCUUCUGUACCCGUGAGAUCCCAUCUUGGGGCCCUUUCCGGCGCUCCGCCGGAGGGGGAGUCGAUCACGGAGGGCUUCUACAUCAACACUAUAGCCUCUACGAUGAUGUGUGAGUAGUUUACCACAGACCUUCAGGUCCAUAGUUAUUAGCUAGAUGCCUUCUUCUCUCUCUUUGGAUCUCAAUACAAAGUUCUCCUCAAUUCUCUUGGAGAUCUAUUCGAUGUAAUUCUUUUUGCGGUGUGUUUGUCGAGAUCUGAUGAAUUGUGGGUUUAUGAUGAAGAUUAUCUAUGAACAAUAUUUGAUUCUCCUCUGAAUUCUUUUAUGCAUGAUUUAAUUAUCUUUGCAAGUCUCUUCGAAUUAUCAGUUUGGUUUGGCCUGCUAGAUUGACCUUUCUUGCAAUGGGAGAAGUGCUUAGCUUUGGGUUCAACCUUGCGGUGUCCUUUCUCAGUGACAGCAGGGGUAGCAAGGCACAUAUUGUAUUGUUGCCAUCGAGGAUAAAAAGAUGGGGUUUAUAUCAUAUUGCUUGAGUUUAUCCCUCUACAUCAUGUCAUCUUGCCUAAUGCGUUACUCUGUUCUUAUGAACUUAAUACUCUAGAUGCAUGCUGGAUAGCGGUCGAUGUGUGGAGUAAUAGUAGUAGAUGCAGAAUUGUUUCGGUCACUUGUCACGGACGUGAUGCCUAUAUACAUGAUCAUGCCUAGAUAUCAUCAUAACUAUGUGCUUUUCUAUCAAUUGCUCGACAGUAAUUGGUUCACCCACCGUAAAUUAUGCUAUCUUGAGAGAAGCCACUAGUGAAACCUAUGGCCCCCGGGUCUAUCUUCCAUCAUAUUAUUUUUCUAUCAACUUGCUAUUUCUUUUGCUUUUUAAUUUGGAAUCUUUACUUUCCAAUCUAUACAACAAAAAUACCAAAAAUAUUUAUCUUAUUAUCUCUAUCAGAUCUCACUUUUGCAAGUGGCCAUGAAAGGAUUGACAACCCCUUUGUCGCAUUGGUUGCAAGGUUCUUGAUUGUUUAUGCAGGUACGAGGGACUUGCGUGUAGUCUCCUACUGGAUUGAUACCUUGGUUCUCAAAAAUGGAGGGAAAUACUUACGCUACUUUGCUGCAUCACCCUUUCCUCUUCAAGGGAAAACCAACGCAUGCUCAAGAGGUAGCAUCCUGCAGUUGAUACAAUGAAGUAGUCUCAUCCCUGGACGACUUACCAUCAAAAUAAAUGGCCGUCUCACCAGCAGACAUGGAUCCUUCCUCAAAUUCUCCCCCAUGGAUAAAUCCAACGAGGGCACGCUUCACGGCGGGUUGAACCCAGGCGGGUCGUGCACGCUGAGCCGUCUCGAUGAUGUCGUGCAGGUGUCCGGCUCAGGGCCCGGUUCGCCGAUCUUGCCGAUGAAGACGUGAAUUCCGCCGAAGGGGACCUGGUACCCGUAUUCGAUUGAGCCGGCCUCGGGGGGGCCAAGCCUGCGUCGUGAUGUAGAGCUUGCCGCGACGACUCUUGGUCAUCCGGCCCACAGCGUAUCCUUUGAUACCUUCAAAGUUGCCCUGUAAGUACUCGAAACCACCAUGCGCUGGCCCCACGGUGGGCGCCAACUGUUGUGGGAUUGUCACGGCAGAUGUCCUAGAGUGAGGAGUGAGUCGUGGAGCCAUCGCACUAGGUUAGCUUAAAGGGGCUAAACGGGACAAAGGACACAUGAGUUUAUACUCGUUCGGCCCCUUGCGGUGAAGGUAAAGGCCUAAUCCAGUUUGAGGUGGUAUUGCUUAUGUCUCGAUUACGCUUGACCUAGCUUUCGAUCUAUUGUCUCUCGCCCUAAACCGCCGCCGGGUCGUCCCUUUAUAUACACAGGUUGACGCCCUGCGGCUUACAGAGUCCCGGCUGGCUCAUAAAUGUGUCCGACCCGGUUACUAAUUACACUUGCCUUACAAUACAAGUCAUGCAUAUAUAUGUAUGGCGGUUUACACCUACAGGCCUUAAGCCGCCUUUGGGCCUUGGGCUCUUCAUAAGUUAUCCUCGUGAACCGCCAUCUUCGAUUCCUUCAUGGGCUUCGUGACAAUGAACCACCAUUGGUAUAACCCAGCCCCUCCUGGGUGGGUCAUACCUAGUAGUUAUAUCCCCAACAGAUAGCCCAAUGCCACACAAUUUUCUACAUCAAAUCGUGUGUGAUGUAGUUAAUGAAAGCAAACAGUUAACCAAGGCAGAGCGUGUGUGAUAGUUACACCUUUCACACACAAGCGUAUACAUAAAACUGUGUGGGAUGUACAUACGAACGAAAAUGUUUUCCAUCGAUUGACUAUGUGGGAUGUACAUAAGAAUGGAAACUUAUCCCUUUAAUUGACUGUGUGUGAUAUACAUACGAACGGAAAUGUUUUUCUGGGAUUCACCGUGUGGAUGUACGUACGUACGGAAAUGAUUUUCACAGAUUACCAUGUGGGAUGUACUACCUACGGAAAUGAUUGGGUUUCGAUGCCUCGCCCGAUCGCACAUGGCCCCAGCCUGUGUCCCAGGAGGGCCUAUCCCCGAUGAUUUUUGGGCCGUGUGGGAAGGACCCCCCUAUCGCCCACACUCACUUGGCGAUGGUUCCAAAUGCCGUCACGGAAAGGGGUUAAAAACCAUUUGUAUAGCACCGACGCGCACCAGUGAUAGUAAAGCUAUCAAUGCCACUUUUAUUGAAAUAAAAGAUGCAAAACACUAUUCUAAAUAACAGAAAGCAAAUCCUAGUAAAAUAAUAUGACGCUCCAAGAAAAACACAUAUCAUGUGACGAAUGAAAACGUAGCUCUAAGUAAGGUUACCGAUAAUGUUGGAGACGAAAGAGGGGAUGCCUUACGGGGCAUCCCCAAGCUUAGUUGCUUGGAUAUUCCCUAAAUAUUACCUUGGGGGUGCCUUGGGCAUCCCCAAGCUUAGGUUCUUGUCACUCCUUAUUCUCCUCAUAUCGAUCUCUCACACAAAACUUGAAAACUUCAAUCACACAAAACAUAACGGAACUUCGUGAGAUAAGUUAGUAUGAUAAAGACAAAUCAUUCACUUUGGUACUAUAAAAAAAAAGAUUAAUAACUGUUCUCUCACAAUGCCUACUGUACCUUAUCAUUUCCACAAUUUAUAUUGAGCAAAAUAAGCCCUAGAAACUAGGAAACAAGCAAACUAUGCAUUGAAAACAGAAUCUGUGAAAACAGAACAACACGUAAAGAUCUUAAUUAAGGUCAUACUUCUGUAACUCCAAAAAUUCGGAAAUAUUAGGAAAACGUAUACAAUUUGUAUAACCAUCAACUGUAAAAAUUUCAGAAAUUUUCCACGUUCCAGUAGCGGAUAAGAAUUCCUGCACUGGACGCAAAAGUUUCUAUUUUUGCACAGAAUCAAGUCUACUAUCAUCCACACUAUCCCAAGGGCUUUACUUGGCACUUUAUUGAAACAAAAGCUAUAAAACAUGAUUACUACAGUAGCGUAAUCAUGUGAACACACAAAAACAGUAGGUAAAAGUGUUGGGUUGUCUCCCAACAAGCGCUUUUCUUUAAUGCCUUUUAGCUAGGCAUGAUGAUUUCAAUGAUGCUCACAUAAAAGUAAAGAAUUGAAGCAUAACGGGAGCAUCAUGAAUCACAUGGCAAGCACAUUUAAGUCUAACCCACUUCCUAUGCAUAGGGAUUUUCUGACCAAACAAUUCAAGGGAACAAGAAUCAACUAGCAUUGGAAGGCAAAACAAGUGCAAUUUCAAAACUUUCAACCUAAAGAGAGGAAACAUGAUAUUAGUGAGAAGCCUACAAGCAUAUGUUCCUCUCUCACAAUAAUUUUCAGUAGCAUCAUGAAUGAAUUCAACAAUAUAACCAUCACAUAAAGUAUUCUUUUCAUGAUCCACAAGCAUAGAAAAUUUCCUAUUCUCCACAUAAGCAAAUUUAUUCUCAUGAAUAGUAGUGGGAGCAAAUUCAACAAAAUAACUAUCAUGUGAUUGAAAACUAAAAUCAUGAUGACAAGUUUCAUGGUUAUCACUAUUCAAUAUAGCAUACAUGUCAUCACCAUAAUCAUCAUAGAUAGGAACUUUGUUGUCAUAAUCAAUUGCAUCCUCUUCCAAAAUAGUGGGUUCAUCAUUAAAUAAAGUCAUGGCCUCUCCAAAUCCACUUUCAUAAAUAUAAUCAUCAUAAAUAGGAGGCAUGCAAUCAUCAUAAUAAAUUUUCUCAACAAAACUUGGGGGAGUAAAAAUAUCAUCUUCAUCAAACAUAGCAUCCCCAAGCUUAUGGCUUUGCAUAUCAUUAGCAUCAUGGAUAUUUAAAGAAUUCAUACUAACAACAUUGCAAUCAGGCUCAUCAUUCAAAUAUUUUGUGCCAAACAUUUUAUUGACUUCUUCUUCUAAAAAUUGAGCACAAUUUUCCGAUCCAUCAUUUUCAAGAAAGAUAUUAUAAAGAUGAUCAAUAAUAUGAUGCAACCUCAAUUCCAUUUUUUAUUUAGUUUUGUUUUAUAAACCAAACUAGUCAUAAACAAGAAACUAAAAGAUUCAAUUGCAAGAUCUAAAGAUAUACCUUCAUGCACUCACCUCCCCGGUAACGGUGCCAGAAAAGAGCUUGAUGUCUACUACGCAACUUUAUUCUUCUAGACACGUGUUGCGCCUCCAAGCGCAGAGUUUUGUAGGACAAUAGCAAUUUUCCCUCAAGUGGAUGACCUAAGAUUUAUCAAUCUGUGGGAGGUGUAGGAUGAAUAUGGUCUCUGUCAAACGACCCUGCAACCAAAUACAAGAAAUCUCUUGUGUCCCCAACACACCUAAUACAAUGGCAAAUUGUAUAGGUGCACUAGUUCGGCGAAGAGAUGAUGAUAAAAGUGCACUAUUGAUGGUAGAAAUAUAUUUUUAUAAUCUGAAUAAAUAAAAACAGCAAGGUAGCAAAUAGUAAACGGGCACAAAAACUGUAUUGCAAUGCUUGAAAAUGAGGCCUAGGGUACGUACUUUCGCUAGUGCAAUCUCUCAACAGUGCUAAUAUAAUUGGAUCAUAUAACCAUCCCUCAACGUGCAACGAAGAAUCACUCCAAAGUUCCUAUCUAGUGGAGAACAUAAGAAAAAAUUGUUUGUAGGGUACCAAACCACCUCAAAGCUAUUCUUUCCGUUGGAUCUAUUCAAGUGUUCAUACUAAAAUAACACAAAGCUAUUCUUUCCGUUCGAUCUAUCCUAGAGUUUGUACUAAAAUAACACCAAAGCAAAUUCAUAUUCAUAAUACUCAAUCCAACACAAAGAACUUCAAAGAGUUCCCCAAGAUUUCUACUGGAGAAACAAAUACAAGAAUGUGCAUCAACCCCUAUGCAUAUAUAGAUUACCCCGAUGUCACCUCGGAAAUCCGCGAGUUGAGUGCCAAAACAUAUAUCAAGUGAAUCAAUACGAUACCCCAUUGUUACAACGAGUAUUCAAUUGGAAGACAUAUAUCAAGUGUUCUCAAAUCCAUAAAAGUAUUCAAUCCAAUAACAACGAAAUCCCAAAGGAAAAAACUCAAUUCAUCACAACAAGAUAGAGAGGGGAAAACACCAUAUGAUUCGACUAUAUUAACAAAGCCGGCGAUACAUCAAGAUCGUGACAUCUCAAGAACACGCACGAGAGAGAGAGAGAGAGAGAGAGAUUAAACACAUAGCUACUGGUACAAACCCUCAGCCCCGAGGGUGCACUACUCCGUCCUCAUCGUGGUGGCCGCCGGGAUGAUGAAGAUGGCCACCGGUGAUGACUUCCCCCUCCGGCAGUGUGUCCGAACGGGGUCUAGAUUGGUUUUUGGUGGCUAUAGAGCAUUGCGGCGGUGGAACUUCUGAUCUAGGUUAACUCCAAGGGUUUUUGGAAUAUUUAUGAAUUUAUAGGGUAAAGAGGGGGUGCGGGAGGCCACCGAGGUGGGCACAACCCACCUGGGCGUGCCUGGGACCCCAAGCGCGCAUGGGUGGGUUGUGCGCCCCCAGGUGUUGUUCUGGCCCAUUGGUGGUCUUCUGGUCCAUAAAAAAUUCACAAAAAGUUUCGCGGUGUUUGGACUCCGUUUGAUAUUGAUUUCCUGCGAUGUAAAAAACAAGGAAAAACAGCAACUGGCACUGGGCACUGGGUCAAUAGGUUAAUCAAAAAAAUGAUAUAAAGUUGCUAUAAAAUGAUUGUAAAACAUCCAAGAAUUAUAAUAUAACGGUAUGAAUACUUCAUAAAUUAUAGAUACGUUGGAGACGUAUCACAUAGCAUGUUUUAAAAUUUUGAGAGGGUUACGGCAAAAACUGGAUGCACUUCGGGUACAAAAUGGACAAUCUCUUUCGAAGUAUCAGUGUUUCGGACGAAAACUCAUCUGUUUCAAAGGGAUUUCAUUUUUUGAACUUAUUUAAACUCCAGACUUUUGCGUGUUCAAAAUGCACCAUUCAAAGCCACUUCAUCAAUUUUCAACCCUUUCAGACUUCAUUUGAUAUUUUUCAUGCAUUUACUGAUUUUUUUGAGCUAAAUGACCCUGAAAUGGAAAAGCUCUACAAAUGAACUCUGAAAAGGUUGAAAGUUGGCAUGGUAUCAUCAUUUCACCCACACAACAUGUGCUAAAAAGUUGAGAUGGUUACGGCAAAAGCUGGAUGCACGUCGUGUACAAAACGGACAAUCUCUUUCGAAGUAUCAGGGUUUUGGACGAAAACUCAUUUGUUAGAAAGGUAUUUAUUUUUUUAACUUAUUUGAACUCCAGACUUUUUGUGUGUUCAAAAUGAACCAUUCAAAGGCACAUCAUCAAUUUUCAACCCUUUCAGACUUCAUUUGGUAUUUUUCAUGCAUUUGCUGUUUUUUUAAAGCUAAAUGACACUGAAAUCGAAAAGCACUACAAAUGAACUCUAAAAAGGUUGAAACUUGGCAUGGUAUCAUCAUUUCACCCACAUAGCAUGUUAUAAAAAGUUGAGAGGGUCACGACAAAAAUUGGAUACACUUCGUGUACAAAACGUACAAUCUCUUUCGAAGUAUCAGGGUUUCAUACGAAAACUCAGCUGUUAUAAAAGGCAUUUCAUUUCUUCACAUGUAACUGUAGUGAUAUUCUAGAUCAGAGGAAUCAUCAUAAUAGUUGUGGAGAGAAAGUCUUCACUUUUACUUCGCUUGUGUCCUUUACUUAGUGCACCGUAACCAUAGAUAAUCUUCAUCGUUUAACAGGGUGCUUGGGUCAGCCUUGACUUUGAAGGGACGAACUUCAUGAAACUUUUCAUAAUCUUCAGACAUGUCUGCCUUGCGCUCCACUCCCACGAUGUCUCUUUUUCCUGAAAGAACUAUGUGGCGCUUUGGCUCACCGUAUGAUGUAAUCACUUCCUUAUCUUUUCUUUUUCUCGGUUUGGUAGACAUGUCCUUCACAUAGAAAACCUGCGCCACAUCAUUGGCUACGACGAAUGGUUCGUCUUCGUACCCAAGAUUGUUUAGAUCCACUAUUCUCAUUCCAUAGUGUGGGUCUACCUGACCCAUUUGCACUGAAACAAAGGGACCUUAAAUCAUGUCCACAGUCAAGUUCCACAUGUCCACUAUGUAACCAUAAUAUGUGUCCUUUCCCAUUUUGGUUGCUGCAUUAAAGCGGACACCACUGUUUUGGUUGGUGCUCUUUUGAUCUUGGGUAAUCAUGUAAAAUGUGUUCCCAUUUAUCUCGUACCCUUUGUAAGUCAAUACAGUCGAAGAUGGUCCCCUGGCCAGCGAGUACAACUCAUCAGAAAUAGUGUUGUCACCGAUGAGACGUAUUUGCAACCAACUGUCGAGAUGUGUUCACAUGUAAUCCAGUCGUCACACUGGUUUCGGGUGUUUCGAGCGUAGAAUAUUCUUGUGUUCAUUGACAUACGGGGGUCACCAAGGUAGAAUUCGGUAGAACUGUCUAGUGUGCGUGAGACCAAGAAUGCACGUCCCUACAUAUUAUUGAGUCUGCUCCUAGCAUGCCUUUUCCAGUCAGUCUCCCCUCAUACCACGAUUGAGGGAGACCAAUCGGCUUAAGGUCAGGAAAGAAGUCAACACAAAACCUAAUGACCUCCUUUAUUUGUCGGCCCAUGGAGAUGCUUCCUUCUGGCCUAGCGCGGUUACGAACAUAUUUCUUUAAGACUCCCAUGAACCUCUCAAAAGGGAACAUAUUGUGCAGAAAUACAGGGCCCGGAAUGGCAAUCUCGUCGACUACAUGAACUAGGACGUGUGUCAUGAUAUUGAAGAAGGAUGGUGGGAACACCAGCUCGAAACUGACAAGACAUUGCGCUAGAUCACUCCUUAAUCUUUGUAGGAUUUCUAGAUCGAUCGCCUUCUGAGAGAUUGCAUUGAGGAAUCCACAUAGCUUCACAAUGGUUCAUCGAACGUUUUCCGGUAGAAGCCCCCUCAAUGCAACCAGAAGCAGUUGCGUCAUAAUCAUGUGGUAGUCAUGAGACUUUAGGUUCUAUAACUUUUUCUCUGCCAUAUUUAUUAUUCCCUUUAUAUUCGAUGAGAAGCCAGACGGGACCUUCAUAUUGAGCAGGCAUUCAGAUUUCCUUCUCUUCUUUGGUAAGAGCGUAGCUGGCAGGACCUACAUACUGUUUUGGAGGCAUGCCGUAUAUUUCGUACACACGUUGGUGGUCCUCCCGUGCCUCAGGUGUAUCUUUUGUCUUCCAAUACACGCCCAAGAAGCCUAGCAGGUUCAAGCAAAGAUUCUACGUCACAUGCAUCACGUCGAUUGCAGAGCGGACCUCUAGGACUUUCUAAUAGGGUAGGUCCUAAAAAUAGAUUUCUUCUUCCACAUGGGUGCACGUCCCUCAGCGUCAUUCAGAACAGAUAGUCUACCGGGAUCCUUUCCAAAGAUUACUUGUAAAUCAUUGACCAUAGCAAGUAUGUGAUCACCAGUACAGACGGUGGGGUUCUUCCGGUGAUCUGCCUCGCCUUUGAAAUGCUUGCCUUUCUUUCGGCAUUGAUGGUUGGUCGGAAGAAAUCGACGAUGCCCCGGGUACACAUUCUUCCUGCAUUUGUCCAAAUAUAUACUUUUGGUGUCAUGUAAACAGUGCGUGCAUGCGUGAUACCCCUUGUUUGUCUGUCCUGAAAGGUUACUGACAGCAGGCCAAUCAUUGAUCGUUAAAAACAACAAUGCAUGUAGGUCAAAUUCUUACUGUUUGUGCUCAUCCCACACACGUACACCAUUUCCAUUCCACAGCUUGCAAUCAUGCUCAUCAUCCAAAGAUUUAGUGCCAAACCUCCUAAUGCAUUCUUCCUCUAGAAAUUGAGCACAAUUAUCGGAAUCCUUAUUUUCAUGAAAGACAUUAAAAUGAUGAAGCAUAUGCGGCAUCCUCAAUUACAUUUUUUUGUAGUUUUCUUUUAUAAAUUAAACUAGUGAUAAAACAAGAAACAAAAAGAUUCGAUUGCAAGAUCUAAAGAUAUACCUUCAAGCACUCGCCUCCCCGGCAACGGCGCCAAAAAACCGCUUGAUGUCUACUACACAACCUUCUUCUUGUAGACGUUGUUGGGCCUCCAAGUGCAGAGGUUUGUAGGGCAGUAGCAAGUUUCCCUCAAGUGGAUGACCUAAGGUUUAUCAAUCCGUGGGAGGCGUAGGAUGAGAUGGUCUCUCUCAAACAACCCUGCAACCAAAUAACAAAGAGUCUCUUGUGUCCCCAACACACCCAAUACAAUGGUAAAUUGAAUAGGUAUACUAGUUCGGCGAAGAGAUGGUGAUACAAGUGCAAUAUGGAUAGUAGAUAUAGGUUUUUGUAAUCUGAAAAUAUAAAAACAGCAAGGUAACUAAUGAUAAAAGUGAGCGUAAACGGUAUUGCAAUGCUAGGAAACGGUAUUCCAAUGUCACCUCAAGUAUCCGUGGGUAUGAUUAUACGAUAUGCAUCACACGAUCUCAGGUUCAUCUAUCCAAACCAACACAAAGUACUUCAAAGAGUGCCCCAAAGUUUCUACCGGAGAGUCAAGAAAAAAACGUGUGCCAACCCCUAUGCAUAAGUCCACAAGGUCACUGAACCCGCUAGUUGAUCACCAAAACAUACAUCAAGUGAAUCACGUGAUAUCCCAAUGUCACCACAGAUAAGCACAUGCAAUACAUACAUCAAGUAUUCUCAAAUCCUUAAAGACUCAAUCAGAUAAGAUAACUUCAAAGGGAAAACUCAAUCCAUUACAAGAGAUAGAGGGGGAGAAACAUCAUAAGAUCCAAGUAUAAUAGCAAAGCUCGCGAUACAUCAAGAUCGUGCCACAUCAAGAACACGAGAGAGAGAGAGAGAUCAAACACAUAGCUACUGCGACAUACCCUCAGCCCCGAGGGUGAACUACUCCCUCCUCGUCAUGGAGAGCGCCGGGAUGAUGAAGAUGGCCACCGGUGAGGGUUCCCCUCCCCCGGCAGGGUGCCGGAACAGGGUCCCGAUUGGUUUUUGGUGGCUACAGAGGUUUGCGGCGGCGGAACUCCUGAUCUAGGUUUCUUUCUGGAAGUUUCUGUAUAUGUAAGGGGUUUUGGCACCGAGAACAAGUCAGGUGGGUCUCCGGGCUGUCCACGAGGCAGGGGGCGCGCCCCCCACCCUCGUGGGCAGCCCGGGACUCUUCUGGCCCAACUCUUUUCUUCUGGGGGCUUCUUCUGGUCCAAAAACGAUCUCCGUAAAUUUUUAGGUCAAUUGGACUCCGUUUGGUUUUCCUUUUCUGCGAUAUUCAAAAACAAGGAAAAAACAGAAACUGACACUGGGCUCUAGGUUAAUAUGUUAGUCCCAAAAAUCAUAUAAAAUAGUAUAUAAAUGCAUAUAAAACAUCCUAAAUGGAUAAUAUAAUUGCAUGAAUGCUUCAUAAAUGAUAGAUACGUUGGAGACGCAUCAGGGCGCAGUGGUGCUGGUGCGUGAAGCGGAGGAAAAACUGGUCGGGGUAGUGCUUGAUGACCUCGAUGUCGGUCUGUCGUGCGCCCACGACCCUUGCCAGCUCGGAGGCCACCUGCUGGUAGAUGUCAUGCCUUGCACCUUCGAGCCAGGCAACCGCCUGGUUGGUGGAGAGGAGGGCAGACUCGGCCUGCAUCACGGGCGUCGCAGGGACGAUGAUGUAGUCCUCCGUCGGACGGAUCGACGCGUCACCCAGGGGAGGGUUGGUUGGAGGCGGCAUCGCGCGCAGAGGAGCUUCCCAACCACGACCAGGACGAGGAGACGGAAUCUGGGUGGCAGCACUAGGCCGAGGAAAAGGGGGUGGGGGCACGCCAAUGCAGUCCAGCAGGCUUAAUGGCCUCCACUGGUUUCUACAGCCGUGUGAUUUAUGGCCGUUUUGAAGGCAGCGGGAGCACCGCAGCGGGUCACGGCAUGCCUCGACCAUAUGCCCGCAGUGGAGACUGUAGAAAAUAUGAAACCCUAGAAUUAUGCAUUGUUGUUGUAUUGAUCUGACCCUCAUAUGGGCUAUAUAUAGAAUAGAGUGCAAGACAAGUUACACGUGGUUUAAACUAAUUCUAUCUCUAUCUCCUUAUCUCUAACUUAAACCCAAUUAUAUUUCUAAUAUUCCCCCUCAGUCGUAGAGGGAGUGAAGCGGACGAUUACGACUGAAUUUGAAGUCUUGCUCUUUUGUCGUCUUCUCCGCUGCGCCAUCAUCAACUGCGUCUCUGAUGGGUCAGCGGUUAGGGCGGUGACUGCGUCCCCUCCUGGUGCCUUCCUGCCUUCUCCUCUGUUCCCUCCCGCAGUCACAGUGGGAGUGUCGUGGACGCAAAACGAGGCAGACGUUGUUGACUGCAGUUGUUGCCCAUGAGUUGCUGUAGACGUAGCCAUUAAUGUCGAGGUAGCCGAUCAUGGUGAUGUAGCCGUGGUCGAGGUAGUCGUGGUCGAUGGUGUGGUCGUCGUGGAUGAUGAAGCCGCACAAAGCCCGAGCCGCCAAAAAAAUGCGCUAUGACGGAGCUGCAGACAUGGACGAUGCACCUUGCGGAUGUCAGAGGGUGCCGUCGGCGAUGAGUCCGCCGAUUUUGCCAAGACCGGAGGAAACCCAUUGAGCACACAUCGGUUUUGCCAGAACCAUGUGGCUGUGUAGGGUCGUCACUGUAGUGAUGCCGUGUCGAUGCAGUCAUGCCGUCGUGGAUGACGCGGUCGAUGCCGUCGCCGUGACGCGGUCAUUGCCGUCGUCGAGGUUGCGUCUUGCAGAAAAGUCUUUCAGAGGACGUUAGGUGUCCAUCUUGUGGACGAGGCGGCGGCCGCGUGUUGACGAAAAUGUUGAUGAAGACCACGGUGAUGAAGACCUUGAUGAUGAAGUAUCGGCGAUGGCGUUGCAGCGGUGUGUCGGCGAUGAUGCGUCACUUGAAGGCGUCCCUCCAUGACGACGAAGUGUCGACGCCCUGUCAUGCCGAAGAAGUAUGUUGCUCGUAACCUGGCGUAGCCGUACAGCUCAGUGCAGGGAUUCAACUCGCUGAAGAAUAUCUGGUGCAGAUCAUGGUGAUGUCGUCAUGCUCGGUGCAGGUACAGAUUGGCGGCGUAGGUUAAUGCAGGAGGUGAUGUAGCUCGAUGGCUUUGUGCAUAUGCAGAUCGGUCGAUGUAGAUGAUGGUGUCGCGGGCGUCGUAGUUGGCUAGCAGAAAACUGCUCUCCCGUGAUCACAGACGUGUGUCGUCCGUGCGCUGGAGACCGGUUGGAGCUGCAGCGAAGAGAUUGCAUCUGGCCGACGAGCCAAAGCAGUAAUUAGCAUGGAUGGAAUAACCUGCAUGCAAACAUGUAAUCUCCUGAUCUUCUCGGGUCCGCGUCCAUUGCUGGAUGGGUUUGCACGCGGUUUUUGCCUGCCCCGGUCGAAGUCGACGUGCGGCUGGGCUAGAAGGAGCCCUGUGCCGCGCGCGGCGUCGCCUCAUUGAAGCCGGCUGCUCCAGCGCCUGGUCUCGGCGCGUGGCUGCUCUGGAAACACACCGUCGUACCCACGGUGAGCCGCCAAGAAGCUCCGUGAUUCUGGCCUGCUCGACGACGCUCACAAGAUCGGAUCGAGGAAGACUCGGGCGGUCGAACGGCUCGUGGCUGCUUGUACAGCUUGGCGAUGCAUCGUCUGAGUGGAGGUAGGUUGGCGGUGCAGCCACCGCACCAAUCUGCUGGAUUUUCUUCACCAAAUGGGAUCAAUCUAAUAAGAAUUUAUUUGGCCAAUGGAAAGAAAUCAAUCUAAUAUAAUUUGGUCUACCAGAAAUUCAAAAUUUGAAGAAUUGAUUCUAAACUACUCUAAAGAACCAAUCUAAUCUUUGAUCAGAUCGGGUGCCGCGCCCCUGGGGAGUGUAAAUUAAUCUCCCGGGGGCGGCGCACUACGAAAGUGGUGGAAGGUUUUAGGAUUGACGUCGUGAGACUAAUCGCUCUAAUACCAUGUAGAAAAUAUGAAACCCUAGAAUUAUCUGUUGUUGUUGUAUUGAUUUGACCCUCGUACGGAUUAUAUAUAGAAUACAUGGUGGGGUAGAGACUUGGAGUACAAGACAAGUUACACGUGGUUUAAACUAAUUCUAUCUCUAUCUUCUUAUCUCUAAUUUAAAGCCAAUUAUAUUUCUAACGGAGACACCUACAACACCGGCCUAGGAGCCAUCGAAGGAUGGGCGAUGGCUUGAAUGCAGGGGCGAGCUGAGGAGGAACGCACGGGCCUUUACGCGACGCGACGAGCAGCCAGCCGCCGGUCACCUCAGCCCCGCGCCCCGCGCCGGAACGCAACGCCGGCAUUGAAGACGCACCAGCAGUAGCAGGGAUGAAGGAGGCCAGCUGCCCCGCACCCGCGCAGUUUUUUUUUUAGAACAAAGACGCACGGACGCGUCCGGCUUUAAAUUAAUAAAGCCACAACGGCAGCGUGAAACAAGUCAUAACACAACCCCACAGGCCUAACUGGCCAACGCGAACGGAUCAACGGAAGUUCUAUGCGCAGCUUAACCAAACCAAAGAAAGGCAUUACAGGGCAUAUAGCCCGUACAGAGCACGCAGGCUCGUCAAGCAACAAAAGGGACCAUGGACAGCACCAUAGUCAAGGCUCCCUAGCCAUCACAUAGACUUGCAGCAAACGUUGUUGAGCGGUGUUGGUCAGCUCAGUAUCCCUGCGCCUCCCCAACGGACUCCACUGCUGCAAUAGAAGGUUAUAUUUGAAGAGGAUGUUAGCCGGAUGCGAAGGGAAGCAACCCUCAAUAGUAAAUUUGUUUCUAGCAAGCCAUAUAGUCCAGAGAAGUGCCCCGACACAUCUCCACAUCAUCCGUUUAGCACUUCCGUGUAUCGUAUCUAAAAGGUGAGUAAGCUCUGCGGCCGAUCUGGGAUCCCACUGAACACCAGCCGCCGCCCGGACCGCGCUCCAAGCAAAUCUAGCAAGGGAACAUCUGAAGAACGCAUGGCUGGCGUCCUCAGGCUCCCCACACAACGCGCAGGGGCCAGUGGCCGGUCCGUUGCGUUUGGCCACAUUUAAGGAAGUCGGCAACUUAUCGCAAAACAAUUGCCACAUGAAGAGUUUGAUCUUCAAGGGCAACUGCGCUUUCCAUAACCCCGCGAGCGCCUGCUGUGCCGUCCCUUGACACAGCCUACGGUACAGAGAGUUAACCGAGAACUUGCCCGAACUGGUAAGCGCCCAGCUGACCGUAUCUGGUUCGUCCUGAAGGGUGAUCGGGUUAAUACGGUGCGUCAGGGCCAAGAGGCUGGAAUGCUCCAACCCGUUUAGUUCUCGUUUGAAAUAGAUCACGGGAGGAGAAGCCGCGAGAGCAUCCGCCACCGUGAUGGAUGGAUCUACGGCCAGCUCGUACAAAUCCCGAAAUUCCAUCCAUAAAGGUUGGGCUCCCAGCCACCUAUCCGUCCAAAAACGGGUCGAGCGUCCGUUUCCAAUCGAAAAAUUCGCCCCCAUGGCAAACGCCGGUUUAACCGACUGCAAAUCGUUCCAGAAGGGGGAGCCCCGUGCCCGCCCCUCGAAGAAGUUCCCGCCUGGGAAGUAUUUGGCCUUGAGGAGAUCAACCCAGAGGCCUGAAGCACCUUGAGUGAUUUUCCAAAUCCACUUACACAUCAAGGCGAUGUUUAAGAGUCUGGAAUUGGUGAUCCCGAGGCCCCCCAAGGCCUUGGGACGACACACCGAGGCCCAUUUAACCAUAUGAUAUUUACGGUUUGGGCCGGUUCCUUCCCAAAAGAACUUGGCGCGGGGCGUGUCGAACUUCGCAUGCACCCCUUCUGCGAGAAGAAACAAACCCAUGGCGAACAUUGGCAAGGAAGACAGACUUGAAUUCGUAAGAAUGAGUCUAGCCGCCUUGGAGAGGAAUUUCCCUUGCCAGGGGCACACCCUCCCGCGCACCUUGCCGCAUAGCGGAUCCCAAUCCUCUAUCGUGGGUCGUUUGAUAUCAAUCAGGAGCCCGAGGUACGUAAAGGGAAAUUUGCCAACUUUGCAAUUAAACCAAUCCGCUAUACGUCGACCCUCGUCCGGCUCCACCCCCAUCGUCAUCAACUCACACUUGUGGAAGUUGAUUUUGAGACCGGACAUGAGCUCGAAGCUAAUGAGGAUCGCCUUGACCGAGGCUAUACUCUGGAGGUCCAGGCGAAACAUCAAAAGUGUAUCAUCUGCGUAUUGCAGAUGGGUCACUCCCCCUGGAAUGAGAUGGCCUACCAGCCCUUGGAUAUGGCCAGCCGCCGCUGCUUUGGAUAGCAUAGCGGACAACACAUCAACAACAAAAUUGAACAGAAGCGGCGACAUCGGAUCACCCUGCCUAAGGCCGCGUUUGUUCCUGAAGAAAUGCCCUAUUUCUCCGUUCACCGACACUGCAGUUUGGCCACCCGAGACCAAUUGCAAGAUGCGAUGAACCCACACCGCGGAGAAGCCACGACCCAGGAGCACUUGACGCAGGAAAUCCCAAUUAACCCGGUCGUACGCCUUCUCGAAAUCCAGCUUCAACAGAACGGCUGGUUCCUUUGUGCGUUUAAGCUCGUGGACGAUUUCCUGGAGAGCCAGCGGACCCUCCAGGAUAUUACGCCCACAGAUAAAUGCCGAUUGGUUACGCUGGAUCGAGCGGUGGGCAAUCGGACCUAAUCGCGUUGCGCAUGCUUUGGCGCAGAUCUUAAAAGGCACAUUAAUCAGCGCAAUCGGGCGAUACUGUCUGAUGUUGUCAGCCCCCUGAACCUUCGGAAUAAGCGAGAGCACUCCAAAGUUAAGGCGGGAAAUAUCUACCUGGCCCCGCAUGAAACCGUUACAUAUCGCGAAGAUCGGCGCUCUGAGGGUGGGCCAAAAUCGCUUAAACAUAGCAACCGGCCAUCCAUCCGGCCUCGGUGCUGUGUCCGCUUUCAUCCCCAUGAGAGCGGCGUCGAUUUCUUCGGGGGUAAACGCGAGCCCCAACUCGUCGUUCUCCAUUUCUAGCACGCGUUGGGGUCCCUCCCACACGUCCUCACGGAGGCCCGCUCCCUGGGCCUCACUAGUUCCCAUCAGGUUGAUGUAAAACUCGUAAAUGUGUCGCGAAAUGUCUUCUUGGCGCAGCAGGAGCCCCUGCUCCGAUUGCAGCCUAAGUAUAGCGCAUUUACGGCGCCGACCGUUGGCGUAUGCUUGGAAAUACUUGGUGUUGGCGUCACCCUUAAGUGUCCAUUUGAGCCCACUACGCCGCCGCCAGUAUUCCUCCUCGGCGCGAAGUAUGGCCUCGACCUGCCCCUCAAGAGCGUAUCGAUGAGCCCACUCCUGCUCCGAGAAGACACGAGCAUCAGCUUGCGCAUCGAUCCUGGCAAUCUCUGCCGUGAUCAGCGUUCUGUGCUCCUUGUCCAUCCUCCCUAGGUUGGCGCCCCACCCCUUGAGGCUCGCUCUCAGUCGCCCCCCGACGGCAUUCCAAAAUUCCAUCGGGCAACGCUGGGGUCCGACCUGCUGCACGCACGCGAGCCAUUUCUCCUUGAAGAGCGACUCGAAACCUGGUACUUCAAACCAGGCCGUCUCAAAGAAAAACCGCGGGCUGCGACGCAUUCUCUCCUCCCCCGAGGAGUAGACAAGCGGCACGUGGUCUGAUCCAAUCCGUGUCUCCGCGACCAACGUACACAAAGGGUAGCCCAUUUCCCACUCCGGCGACAUGAAGACCCUGUCGAGCACCGAACGAACCGGGGCAAGCUGCUUAUUAGUCCAAGUAAAGCGUGCUCCCGUUCUGGCCACUUCCCUAAGUGCCAUGGCAGCAAUUGCCGCGUUGAACAUGGCCACCCUCGGCCAGUUAAUGAUGCCAUUAUUCUUGUCCGCUCCGGACCUAAUUAGGUUGAAAUCCCCUCCCACGAGGACCGGGAGUGCCGCGGCCGUCACCGAAGUGACUUUUUGUUGGAGUUCUCCCAAGAACUCCGCCGAUCUGGAAUGGUCAGCUGGUCCGUAGACCUGAAUAACUACUAACUCGCGAAGCGUAGCACGAAUGCGGAAAUGAGCAGCUAAGAAAAAAGAGCCCCUAUCCCAGUUGAUAAUGUCAUACACAUCGCGGCUUAGACCCAUCAACAUGCCCCCGAGCGCCCUACCGCGGGAGUAAAGUGCCACUCAAAGCGUUCUAAUGGGUCUAGCGAAAGCAGCUCAUGGAAGUGGAAAUCCAUCUUAAUCGUUUCUUGUAAACCUACGAUGUCCACGUCCGCUUUGCACAUGUAUUCUUUAAGGAGGGUGCACCGACCCAAGUGGCCAAAGCCACGGAUAUUCCAAAAGAACGCUCGCAUCUAAAUGACACGGUUGCGGAGCCGUACACCCCGUGAGGUGACCGCUUUCGCCACGCGCCUCACCUUGCCCCUGCAAGGCGAGGGAGAAGGGGCAACCCCUGUUGCCUGUCCCUCCUCCUCGGGCACAGAAAGAACCGCGCCGACCCCUCCCUCGGGGCCGUCCGUCCUCUGUUCGGCACGCGCUGCAGCAGCAGCCGCGAGCGCGGCCUGCGCCAACUCCUUAGCGCGCACCAGAGAAAUCAGCUCUCGAUGACCACCCACACACGCGGGAUCAACACCACUAGCAUCUAACACCUCGAUCAAAUGCUCAUCCAAAAAAGAAUCUAGCACCGUAAAACGGGGGGGUGGAUUACCUGAAAUCUCCAUAUUCUUCUGGGCCUGGAGGAGUUGCGCCCGCUGUAAGGAAGGCAUGUUGCCCUUGGCGCCCUUGGAGCGCGAGCUCGUGCGCACUGGCACCGCCGCCACCGUCUUGGUACGCUUGGCCUUGGAGCUCCGCGGCAUCAAGGAGGCCUCCUGCAGCAGCGGAUCCACGGCCGGAGGGGCCGUCGGGGCCGCCAACGCCAUGACUGACUGCCUUGGGGUGGGAGGGGCACCAAGGGGAUCCAUCGCGCGUAUCUCCUCCGCACUGACCUUGCACACAACCGUCUUCUUCAUCAUCUUCACUGAGCCACUUAGGGAGUUGCCGCGUCCGCGCGAAACCGGCGACCCGCCUGGGAUCUUGCGCGAAGGGCUGGGAGAGAGGGCGAUCGGCGAGCGCACACCGCCCACUCCAGCAGGUCCCAACGGGGCCGCAACCCUGGGUGGAGAGGACACCGACCCCAGGUUGGACCCGUACUGAUUGGGCACCGAGAGCACCAUCUCAGCCGUGCCCAUCUCAGCACCAGCGCGAGGCACCUCCACCCCCUCCGCAGGCGCCGCCGCGCCCGCCAUAGAGAUCCCCAGUUUGUUCCAAGCAGCCGUAUCAAUUGAAUCGUCCUCCUCCAUACUCGCCUCUUGCUCCGCAUCCUUGUCCUUGUCCUUGGUCCUGUCUCUGUCUUCGUCACCCGGGUCCCCUCCUCUGGGUGGGUGGGGCAGGGGUAGAGCAGGGGCCUCUGGGCGUAGGGGAGCCAGCUCCGGCUCGAGCUUAACAUUGUACCCUGCCCCAUUGAACCAGAUCUGCACGGACUCCCGCAGCUUGGCCGGCGCCCGACAGGCGAAGAGCAUGCGCACCGGACCCGCACGGAUCAGGGACAGCUCGUCCACCACCAGCGGGCACCCGAUCAUCAUCGUCGCCGCCAUCAGUCUCUCCACCCGACGAUGCUUCGGCGGAAUACCCCAGAGCUUCACCCACACCUCCGGCAUCGACAGCGCCUUGGGCUCCGCGAGAGCAGCGUCCCGGAUAUCCGCCGUGAUGUUGUGGAUGGAUAGGUAGAGCUUUCCACUGCGCGCCGCCAUCCUCAGCAUGGACGGAUCGGGAAAAGCCACCGAGAAGGAGUCCGCGUCAAAAGGGGUGACCAUCCAAUCCCACUCGCCCUCAAAAAGAUGCGUGAGCUCCUUCUCCAGAAUCUCCUUGGACAGAAUCCCCGGCUCUGCCGAGACCAGCGCCGCGUUGGCCCCCAGUGAGCCCUCCGACGCCGCGUCCGUCUCCUCGGGGUAUUGAGGGCAGAAGAAACCCCCUCCCGCGAACGCGUGCCCCAUGGAUUGGAGCAUCAAAGGCUUGCCGCGCGAGGGGCAGUAGGCCGAGGCAUGUCCCUCUUGACUGCAGAUGACGCAGAGUUGCUUGAAAGCACACUCGUUUUGGAAGUGCCCCGUGCGCCCACAGCGGAAGCACUCCGGCCCCUCCUCCACUUCGACCGGAAUCGGUUCCGCUGCCGUGCCCUUGGAAGAAGAAGGCUUCGACGGCUGCCUCAUCGCGGGCUUGUGCUUCUUCAGCUUCUGUUUGGCGUAGGGGUCUCCGACGCGGUCGCCUCCAGGCGGCAGGAGCGACUCCUUGCGCUUGAGCUCCAGCCCCUUUCUCUUGUGCUCCUCCUCCUUCUUCUUUUUCCGCUCCUGCUCCUUGAGCCACCAUGGAGGAGGCGGCCCCCAGCCGCCGUCGCCUCCGGCGCCGGCCCGCUCCUCCGCCCGGAUCUGCGCCUGAGCCCGCAGCUCGCGCUCGCGCUGCCGCUCCGCCUCCGGAUCCAGCGCCGCCCUCUUGUCAGCACGUCGCUCCCCCUUCGAGCCCAUGGCUACGACCUCUGCGAAGGAUCGAUCCAGGGGAGGUGGGUCGGUGGGUUGGGAGAACGAACGGGCGGAACGGCCGAAGCGCCGCACCUCCGCAGCAGUGGCAGGAAACCCUAGUGAGCAGUCUAGGGUGCCUCGGCGGAUCCACAUCCACUUAUGUGAUGGGCACUCCCCUCGCAGGCCUGGGCUCCGGGCCGGGGAAACUGGCCUGGGCUGCACCGAAACAGCCCCUGUCAUGGGCACCCCUCCCCCCGCAAUGGGCGGCACCUGGGCCGCGAGGCCCGAGUGGCCCACGACUGCAACCAAGCCCAUCAGCCCAACCUGGCCGUCUGCGCCAACCCUAGGCCAGGGAUCGGGCGACACUGCCGCCGCCUCCUGCACCUCUGCCGGCGCCGCCGCCCCCGCGACCGGCUCCGGCGCGGGCCCCGGGGCCUUCCGGAAGGGGGCCGCCGUCGCCACCUCCAUCUCAGCACGCCGGACCGCCCGGCCUGCCAACGACCGUGGCUGCUCCGGCACGGACCGCAUCGAUGCCCUCCCCGGCCUCCCUGGCCGACAAGCACCGCAGCCACCAGGCGCGAACGCCCGGCGCCGCCCCGCCCUGAGCGAGCCCCCUAGCUUCUCUGCACGGGCCACAAAGUCACCAAACGACGGCAGCGCCCCGCCACCUCGCCUGACACCACAUUCGCCGUCCUCCGCCUCCGAAAUCUCACUGUCGCUUNNNNNNNNNNNNNNNNNNNNNNNNNNNNNNNNNNNNNNNNNNNNNNNNNNNNNNNNNNNNNNNNNNNNNNNNNNNNNNNNNNNNNNNNNNNNNNNNNNNNNNNNNNNNNNNNNNNNNNNNNNNNNNNNNNNNNNNNNNNNNNNNNNNNNNNNNNNNNNNNNNNNNNNNNNNNNNNNNNNNNNNNNNNNNNNNNNNNNNNNNNNNNNNNNNNNNNNNNNNNNNNNNNNNNNNNNNNNNNNNNNNNNNNNNNNNNNNNNNNNNNNNNNNNNNNNNNNNNNNNNNNNNNNNNNNNNCCUCGCCGCGACCCGCGGCCCUAGCCGGCCCGCCAGCCUCCGCGCCGCCUGCGUCGCCAGCACGCCUCAGAGCUGUUGGAGCCAUCCCCUCUUCUUCACCAAGUUCGCGUUUCAAUAACUUCCCAGGUGUUAUAUUGAGCCGAACGUGCACCCGCGCAGUUAAGGCCUCCACCAGCCAACACUUCAAGGCGCGGAGCAGGCACAGCAGGGGCGUCAGGCGCCGACCAAGCCGCCACCCGGCCCGAAGGCGCCGCAUGCGGCUGCAUGUCGGGGACGAACUCCACGGAGGCAACGGAUGCUUCGAGGCCGCCCGGCAGCAAAUAUGGAUCUGGCAAUGGCAGGGUGUGGACGAACGCGGGGCGGUGGGAGGUCUCUGCAGCAGCUCGACCACAUGAGCAGGUCGACCGACAGGCGGCGCGGGCAGGGUCAUGAACCAGGAUGCAAAUCCAUGGUCAGCGCAUGGAACCACCGCCGCCGCCGGCGGCGCGUGAGGACGGACGCAGGUGGGGAACGCGUGGUUGGGCAUAUGAGUCUUGUCCUCAUAUACGAUUAUACAUAUAUUUUGAUUGAAGUACUAAUAGAAAUAUCUCCUUUUUACAUGAAAUUUUACAAAAAACACUAGUCUAAAUUAUUACUCCAAAGAAGUCCUCAGUGCUCAAAGUUACACCAAGUCUACGGCAAGACAUCGGAUUUUCCUUCUCGUCCUACGCACCCUGCCAUGUUCUUGCACAAUGUUUAAUUUAUCCUUUGGUCCGGCUUAUUAUCAUCGCACCUCCAUCGCAGAAGUCUGUUUUAGUAGGGAGAAGCAGUCAGGCCAAGGAAAAAGGUGAGGUUUAUAGGAUAGGAGUUAGCUGUCAGAAACUGCACAAAUUUGCGGUGCCCUUGAUAUUUGUAAGUUCCCCAUGCCACCUACUCUUAUAUGCUUCCAAACUAUAGAAACAUGCAUCCUGGUACUCCUAUCUGAUUUCAAUAUCUCCUACGGGCUGGUAUUUUGAAGACUAGAAAGUCGAUGUAUGUUGGUCUUUUAACUCCGCCAAAGAAAAUUGGUCUUGGAACACCUUGUAGUACUUCCUUCGUUUGUAAAUAUAUGUCUUUUUAAAGAUUUUAAUAUUAACUAUAUAAAGAGCAAAAUAAGUGAAUUUAUACUUUAAAAAUAUAUAUAUAUGUAUUGAUACGUAGUUCCUAUUAGAAUCUUCAAAAAGACUUAUAUUUAGAAACGAAGGAAGCACGAGGUGUGUGUGAAAAUAGAGAAGGAAAAUGGCACAUUUUGAAGACGUGGGUACCAGAGGUUAGCUGUUGUCCCAUUUAUGAUGCUAGCGCUAUUAUGCACAUCUACGUCGUGGCACAUUAAUUUGGUCCAUGCUUGCACAGUGCUCUUGCCGACGAUUUCAGGAACUCGAUCUGCCGACUAAAACAACGUGGGUGCGUCUAGAAACUUAGGGAAGAAUUAAGGAGCUGGUAGCACUGAAAAUUUUGUUACUACAUAUUUUUCAAUCAGGCAGUGCAGUCCAGGGCAGUUCUUACGAACCAAAUGCACCGACAGAUUGGUAUAGUUCAGUGGUCAAGCUCACCAAAUUAAUCAACCCAACGACUCAAGGUCGAUCAUUGUAAGAGUAUAUAUUGUUAUCAAUCUGCCCUGCACCACCGCGUCUUCAGCGUUGACCCUCAAACCUUCCGCAUCUAUCUGGACCAUGAAAGUCAUUCAACGCGCGCGUGAUUUGUCUCACAAGCCGGGCACAAACAUGGAGAUGUUUGCGGGAGUCUGGACUACUGUCACACCCACUUCAGACCGCCCUAGCCCACAAAACCCCCAACUCCUUCCGUGUGUUUUCGCUCAACCCCGCUCUAGAGCGUCAGCGCAUUCAUGCCCAGCCAGAACGGACGUGACCACUAACUAGUGCCGGCAUUGAAGCGGCGCGCCGGCCGAGAGAGCGCCGCCCGUGCCGCUUCCCGGUGUAGCCGACUGCAGCGCAUUCAAACAACACGACGGCCGCCCGUCCGUCCGUCUACUGCCCACAUUGAUGGCACACGGUUGCCGAGGCGUCUCCUCCGAGACUACCCAUCCGUCCCUUCGCGGCCCACCAUUGCUAUUAAAACCGGUGCCCCGGCCAUAGCCGCAAUCAUCCAAAUGUGAUCCCUGUCGACACCACGACCAUUGAUCCCUCCCCCGCCAAAGCUCUCUUUGAAGGGCUGACGUCGGACCAGAAGAAGGAGAUGGCCGUUGUCGUGGAUUUAACAAGGCAGAUGCCCUAGCCAAAGGACUUAGGUGUGGAGCCAUCACAGCUAGGUUAUCUUGAAGGGGUUAAACGGGACAAAGGAUACAAAGAGUUUAACCAGGUUAGGCCCCUCUCAACAAGGUAAAAGCCUACUCCUGCUUUAGGUUGUAUUGCUUGGGUUUCGAUUACCAGGGAGCGAAUACGCUUGACCUAGUUCUCGAUGAGUUGUUUCUUGAGUUAACCCACCGCCGGGUCACCCCAUUAUAUACAGGUUGAUGCCCGGCGGCUUCCAGAGUCCGGCCAGCUCACACAAACGUGACCGGUUCGGUUUCUACUAAGCUUGUCUUACAAUACAAGAUAAACAUAUGGCGGCUCAUCUCUUUGGACCCUAAGUCGCCUCGGGGUCUUGGGCCUUCAGUAAGCCUGCUUCAUGAACCGCCAUCUUCUCGUCCUCUGAGGCCUCGUCGGGCUUCUUCAUCGCUAAGCCGCUAGCAGCGUGACCCGGCUCCUCCUGGGCGGGUUAUAUUCAAUUGUCAUAUCCCCAACAUUAGGCCCUAGGUUGAUUUCAAUUUGUUCACAUCAAUCUUCUCCUUCCGACUUAACGAAAUCUUCCAUUUUCAAUUCUUCAUUAAUUCUCUAUAACCCGCCAUGAUGUGGCCUCACAGAAACAUGGUAACCCGCCAUGACGUCAUCACGUAUUUAACUUUGAACAGAACCCAUGAUAUCUCAACGGAUCUUUAUCUUAAUGGACCUCCCAAAAAUCGAGGCGCCCGCAUAGCCAUAUGAUGAUUUUUCAGCUUCCUCGAUUCCCGCGCAUGCCAUUUAUCCACUUCCUUAUAAAUAGGGACGGGGGUCCCUGUUUUCCCUUUUCACCCUUGCCCCCUCGUCUUCAUCUUCCUCCUCACGAUGCCUCCACAGACCCGAGCUCCCCCGCCGUCGACCUCCGUCACCCGCGUCAACUCCGGCCGCUGCAUCAACCUGAACAAACCAGAGAACUACGACGCGUCUCCGCUGUUCCACAACAUCAGUGAGUACCCCUUUCCUCCCGCAGCAGAUAUGCUUUAGGGUUUUCACCGUUCGUCGGUGUUCUUCAUCGUUCCUCAUUUCCUUCUUUAGAUCGUGAAGUUCGAUCUAAGUACGGUAGCAAAGUUGUGUGGUAGCAGUUAGCAUCCUUUUUCAAUCGAAGAAGAUCCUCCCUCUGUACAAAAAUCUGAUCUAAGCAUAUGAGUUGUUCUGCUGCCGCCACCUUAGGUCUAGAUUUCAUUUCUUUUUCUGCACUAGUGGAGAUCCAAAAUCAUAGCACCAAUCUGUGGGAUCUGUUUUUCGAAGACUUAGCAAAUCCUCAAUUACAGAUCUGAAAUAUGGCAACUGUUCGGGCGGCUUAUAUGAUAAACCGUAACCCGCCAUAUAGCAUUAGUCCCCUUGUUAAACCACCAGUAUCUGUUCACAAUCCGUAUAACCCGGCAUUGUCUUCUGGUUUAACCAUGUUAACCUUUAUAGCGCUUAUCCUUCUGCCUAUGAACUGGCCUUGCAUAACAUACUUACUGCUUGAUCAUAGGCCGGCUUAAUAGCAUAAUCUUAAACCGGUACUAUCUUCCUUUGUAGGUUUUCAUCAACAAUGACCAAAACUAUAACCUCAUGCAAUUGGGUCGCCUCCCGGGUCACCGAGGAAACAUUGCUCGAACAUGUGCAAGUGGGCGCCUUAGCCGCAAAAGAUAUCAUUCACUGGAGGGCCCCAGGAACAUAAGCCAUCCCUAAACCAAAAGAUGGCGAAGUCAUUGUCUUUACUGAUCAUAUGCUCUGGGCUUUUACCCCACCCGACUCAAGAAACUUUCGUGACAUGUUGCACUUCUUCAAAUUCCAUCCUCAAGACAUCGGGCCUAAUUCCGUCUCAAACAUUUGUAAUUUUGAAGUGUUUUGUGAAGUAUACCUUCAACAGGAGCCCACUGUAGAGCUGUUCAUGGAAUUCUAUUAUUUGAACCGGCAGACCGAGUUUACGGAUGGGCCCAGCCUAGAGGUAGGUGGCAUUUUGAUUCAGAGGCAGAAAGAAGCUACCUUUCUCGCUGCCAAGCUUCCCAGUCAUCCAAAAGACUGGAAUCAGACGUGGUUCUACUAUUAAGAUACAUCUCCAGAGGGUGAAAAUACCUUGCCGGGUUUCCGUAAAAACUGGCUUAGCAAUAGGCACCACCUCCCGGAACGGAUCAGCACAAGCGAACGGGCCAAAUAUAUGCCCAUUUUUUUCAAAGAUUAGAGCUUUAAUGGCUAAUGGUUUGAGUGGCAUCGAUUUGGUUUGACGCUGGGUCGCAUGGAGAAUUCUGCCCUGAAGCCACCGAUCCGACUUAAUGUGCGAGUACACUGGAGAUGUCAAAGAUCCCCAACGCCACUGCCAGAUAGAGCUAACUGAUGGAGACAUCACUGACAUGACCAAGUCCCUGUUGAACGAGAGCUUGGCAGAUUGCAGCAAAACAGGGUUGAAUCCUUUCUGUGUUCUCAACAAGCGGCCAACUUUAAGUACUUAAACCAUUUCCAACUUAGUCAUCUUUCCCUUGAAUCAUUUUCUUAGUCAUGUGAUUGUUGCAGGUCGACUCUUCUUUCUGGAAGAAGAAACUUCAGGACAAACUGGCGUAGAAGACCCGGACAAAGAAUAAGGCUCCUAAAAAGCGUGCCAAGAAGAAGACCAACCCCUCUAAGUUACUUGACUUGGAUGAUGAUGAUGAGUCGGAGGUAGAACUUGACUCCCUUGGCUAAUUUUCUGUACAUCUUAUUGACAAUUAUCACUAUGAGGAUGAUGCGGAGGCCAGCCGUGCAGACGAUGAAGAGGUAAUUACUCUCUCCUCUGGCUGAGAACAUUUGCCAAGACAGAAAGUUUGACAAGCGAGACGGAAAGUAAGGUUUUCUCACCCUUUAGCUUAUCUGGAUCCCCACUUUUUUGAAGAAGCAACAACACGAGGCUCGCCGCACGACCAGGAACACCGGAGGUGGAGAGCUUUCCUCCGGUUUACCCAACACGUCGGUUAUUCGCAAGCGCAGAGCUCAGGUUUCACAAAUUUCUGACUUUGCUUUUCCAAAAGCGGGUCUUAUUCGACAAACUCUUAACCCUUUCGAUUCAAACUAUCAGGGAACUUCCCACUCAUCAUCUCGCGAUUCCACUAGAACUCAGAUACCCUUCUUCAAAGUCACCCGUGGGUGAGAAUCAUUGAAUUUGUUUGUCUUUAUGCUCUGUAUACUUUAUCAUUCUCAUAUCCUUAUGCAUUUUAAUUUCAGUGAUAUGGCCAAACCCACCAAGAGGCUGAAGGUUAAUAAACUGGUCGAAGAUCCCAAGUUUGAUGACUCGGAGAAACAGACAAUGUCUGAGUCUUUGCAUUAGACUUCAGAAGCAGCCAUGGAUGAUCCGCCGCCAGAGGAGCAACCUAUCACCAUGGACUCCAGGAAUGUUGACUCGGAAAAUGCUAAGACGCCCUGUCCCGCUCAACCGGCUCAAGAAAUUGAAGAUGUAAUAGUUACUGGGACGGCUUAUACAGCUCCAGGCAACCCCACCAUCUUAUCCAAGCACAGCGCCAAAGAAGAAAUUUUAGCUGUUGAUAAGGGCAAGUGGAAAUUGGACAUGGAAAGCUAUGCCUAGUUCAGUGGUUAGGAGAUUCAUUCAGGCUAUCUAAACCGCCUUCAUACCAGCCGUGACUUUGAGGCCCGCCUGUUCAACCUCAUGAAGGAGCAUUUUGAGGUAAUCACUACAAUAUUUUCCAUAUAAGUAUAUCUUUGCCAGCCGCCAAGUCUACUGGAUAUGAUAGAAUUGAAUAUGAUGUAGAGUUUAGAUAGCCUCUUCAAUCUCGUCAUAACAUGUUGUAGUUGCAGAAUCAAAGGGAGUAGCCCCCAAGGGCUGGCUUAAGCUCCAUAGCUGAAACCAGGACUUCAAAUUUUAGUUCUUAACUUCGCUUAUGUAGCUCCCAAGUGCCGGCUGAAACUGACAAAUUAAACCAGGACUUAAAAUAGUAGUGCUCAAUUUCGCACAUGUAGCCCCCACGGGCCGGCUUAAUCAGCAUGGCUAAGCCGGGACUUGUCACCAUAAUUAUGAAUAAGAUCCAAAUAUGUAGCCCCCAUGAACCGGCUAUAAUUGAAGAACUUAGCCGGGUCAUUUAGAGAUUUGUCUUCAAAAGAGCAAUGUACAUUAGCCCCCAAGUGCCAAGUAAAAUACUUGUAUUGUGCUUGGGACUGCAAAUAAAGUGAUUAUCAUAACCAUAUAUUGCUGCUGACUCGCCUUAUCUUGUAGGUUGAAUUGAAUAUGAAAGAAACCCAGGUGGUGGAUCUGAGGCAAAAUAUCCAGUCCCAACAAGCAGAAACUUCAAAGGCCAAGUCAGAACUGACAACCGCCUUAGAAAAUAUUGAGCAGUUGAAGAAAGAUUUUAGCACUGAGAGAACUAGCUGGGACACCGAGAAAGCAACUCUAUUGAAAAAAGUAGAAGAUUUCGAAGCUGUCCUUAAACCAGUAACCGACGAGUUGUCCGGUUUAAAGUAUCAAAUCAACAACAUGACAUCGGCCAUCUUUGGUAAGUAAUAUUGUAAUUUAAUCUUGCAUCAUCAAUGUUGAAAAACCAUUGAGUCGGUUUAUAAAUAUCUUUAGUAAUGCAGGCUCCAGAAGCUCCAAGCUGGGUCAAGACAUGUGCAUAAGUCUUAAUGCUGUAUAUACCCUUGUGGAGCAACUGUACACUGGUGCUGAACGGGUUAUUUCCGCCACCUCCCAUAAGAAGCAACCACCUUCCCUCAUCAAGGAAGUGUUUGAGAAGUUAUCUGUGCUGCCACAGAGAGUUGAAGAAUUAAAGCGAUCAGCCGCCAGAGCCAAUGCCAUCACCGCACUGACCCGGAACCGCUAGCCACUGGUUGCCCUAGCUUAAAAGAAGAUGGGUCUCCCUUCAGCACCGACGACUUCAGCAAUAUAGUGAGGCAGAUGCGUCCAUUGGCAAGCAAAUUGGCUGAGGAAACUGAUCUCUCCAAGUAUCAUCCGGUUUAUGAUGUUGAAAAUGCAAAAGUGAAGGCGCCGGUUCAUGAGGCCAUGGACCUUAUCCCGCCAACACGUAAGCAUACCUUCACUCCUGAUAUUGACCCGUCAAGCCUUAUAGAUGAUGAAGUUGUAUUUAGAGCGUUGACUGGGAUCAACCGGGCCACAUCCGACUUCCAGCCAACGGGUGAACAAGAAGAAGAAAAACUGGUGCAGGAUGAACCGGAACCUUCAACAUGCCAAGAUCAGGGCCACUGAUGCACGACCCGGCUCUCAGUCUUCCAUAUAGAAGUUGUGCGCACCAAAAACACUUAUUCUUUUGGGCCACAUGACGCCUUGUAAUAGGCUAGUUGAAAACAAUGAUCUGCCAUGCCAUCAUGCAUGUUUAUCUUCAUAACACUUCAAACCGCCAAUCUUGAUAUGGGAAGAUCGACCGUUUCUACUCAUAAUAUUAUCAGUCAUACAGGUCAUAUUCAUCAUAUUCCCUGCAUAUAAGUAGAUAACAUGUGCCCUGGCGGUUUACCCCAGGGCGGGUCAUGAUGUCCCAUAAAAAUCGCUGGUGACUAUAUAGUCCUUAACGAAGGCGGGUUAUCAAAACCUCACAUAUUCAUAUAACAAAUAAAUAACAUACCUAUGAAAUUUAUUCAUACUGCCGACUUAUAGCACAAUAUGCAGUCAGGGUAACAACCCAAAGACUUAGAGCGCAGAACUUCAGGUGCUGAAUCCAGGCAUGAUGGCAACUUAUCGUCCAAAGCCAGGCCGGGUUUAUCAAAACCUUAGAUACACUCAAAUAUGAGUCAUGAGGAUUAAGGGUACAUGGCCUAAAUCAGUUUUGUACCAUAUGUAAAGAUGGCACAAAGACAUGAACCCAAACAAAAUUCAAAACAAAUAGCAAAUCAGGUAAAAACAAGGCCUUCAUAGGCUGCCAAGCCUCAAUAUCAAGUGUUGUUCAAGGGCCACACAACCACUGAGUUAAUCCUUUAUUCAAACAUGUAAGAAGGGCCUCACAUGACCAACCGCCGUUGUAACUUUGACAAGUUGAGGGUCUUUGUAAGAUUAACUAUCAAGAGUGCGCGUGCCAUUCUAGGAUUACCUGGUCGGAGUGGCAGACAUACAAAGGCAGGAUAGCCCAGAGUUUUGGUGAAUACACCUGGCGUCCAAGCCGAUCAAAAGGGUAAAUAUAGCUAUGUUAAUUGAAUAGGAAGCCCCCAAGUGACCUUAAACAAGCCACCAAGGCAGGUGACGUAUGUUUGAACAGAUCAUUGUAACAAGUUCUCUUUGGUAACCUUAUAACUUGGGCAGAAAAGCCCCCAAGUCGUUUGUAACAAGGCGUAUAAGGCAGAUCAAAGGGUAGUCAUAGCUAUGCUCAGUGAGCAGGAAGCCCCAUGUUAUUUUUAACAAGGCAUGCAAGCCGGAUCAAGAGGGUAGUCAUAGCUAUGCUCAGUGAGCAGGAAGCCCCCAAGUGAUCUUAUGAAUUGAUAAUAAAGACUCAGUUACUCAGAAAUGAAACGACAGAGGCGCUGAAUUAUAAGGGAUGUCGGCUUUAUUAUACUACUCAUAAUAUAUACAUUGGUAGAAAUAUGUACAUCACAAGAGUCGGUGGCUCAGGUGUAAUAAGGCCGGAGAUGAGCAAUGUUCCACGGCCGAUGGGUCUUCUCCUCCGAUGUGCAUGAGUCCUUGUGGUCUCGAACAUCAAUGAGGUAGUACGAUACGUUGUUCAGAUUUUUGCUGACCAUAAAAGGCCCUUCCCAAGGUGGGGCUAACUUAUGCAUAUCUGUUUGAUCCUGGAUGAGCCGGAGCACCAGGUCACCUUCUUGAAAGGUUCGGGUUUUAACCCGGCGGCUAUGAUAUCAACGCAGAUCUUGCUGGUGGAUUGCUGAACGAGCCGCCGCAAGGUCACACUCCUCAUCCAGGAGGUCAAGAGCAUCCUGAUGUGCCUUCUCAUUAUCAGCUUCAACAUAAGCCGCCAUGCGGGGCGAAUCAUGACGGAUGUCACUGGGAAGAACCGACUUUGCUCUGUAAACCAUGAAGAAAGGCAUAUAACCCGUGGAUUUGUUGGGGGUAGUAUUGAUACUUCAAAGCACUGAAGGUAACUCCUCAACCCAACAACCCGGCAUCCUCUGCAAAGGGACCAUAAGCUGGGGUUUUAUGCCUCUCAAGAUUUCUUGAUUAGCUCUUUCAGCUUGAGCAUUGGACUAGGGGUAGGCCACAGAUGAAACAUCAAGACGAAUAUGUUCACGUUGACAAAAUUCUUUCAUAGCACCUUUAGACAGAUUAGUGCCAUUAUCAGUUAUGAUGCUGUGAGGGUAACCAAAACGGAAAAUCACCUUUUUGAUGAAUUGAACCGUCGUUGCCGCGUCACACUUGCUGACCGGCUCUGCCUCAACCCACUUUGUAAAAUUGUCAACUGCCACCAAGAGUUUAGUCUUUUUGUCCUUGGAUCUUUUAAAAGGCCCAACCAUAUCCAGCCCCCAGACUACAAACGGCCAAGUAAUUGGAAUCAUCCUCAAUUCUUGAGGCGGCACAUGAUCUCGCCUGGAAAAUUUCUGACAGCCAACACAUUUGCUAACCAGAUCCUUUGCAUCAGCAUGAGCAUCAGCCAAUAAAACCCAUGACGAAAAGAUUUAGCCAGGAGAGACUUAGAACCGGCAUGAUGGCCACAAUCUCCUUCAUGAAUCUCUCAUAGGAUCUCAUGGCCCUCCUCAGGAGAUAUACAAUGCUGAAACACCCUUGUGACACUGCAUCGGUGCAACUCUCCCUUGACAAUAAUAAUUGACUUAGAUCGCCGGGUUAUCUGUCUAGCCAAAGUUUCAUCAUCAGGUAACUCACCCCGGAUCAUAUAAGCCAAAUACGGGACUGUCCAAUCAGGAAUAACAUGGACAGCUGCCACCAACUGUGCCUCAGGGUCAGGGAUAGCAAGAUCCUCCUCCGUAGGCAAUUUAACUGAAGGGUAUUUCAAAAUAUCAAGGAAAACAUUAGGGGGUACCGGCUUACGCUGGGAUCCCAACCGGCUUAAAGCAUAAGCCGCCUCAUUUUUCCUGCGAUCAACAUGUUCCACUUGAUAACCCUUGAAAUGACCAGCAAUAGCAUCAACCUCUCGGCGAUAAGCCGCCAUGAGUGGGUCCUUGGAAUCCCAAGUUCCUGAAACUUGUUGAGCCACCAAAUUUGAGUCUCCAAAGCACCUUACCCGUCUUAAAUUCAUCUCUUUACCCAUCCGAAGACCAUGGAGCAAGGCCUCAUACUCAGCUGCAUUGUUAGUACAAAGGAACUUCAACCUUGAAACAUAACAUAAUUUAUCACCUCGUGGGGAAGUCUAAAUAACUCCAUCCCCCGAGCCUUCCAACUGUCUAGACCCAUCAAAAUGAAUAGUCCAAUAUGUGUUAUCAGGCUUUUCCUCAUGCAUCUGCAACUCUGUCCAAUCAUUGAUAAAAUCCACCAGUGCUUGAGACUUUAUGGCUGUCCGAGGCAUAUAUUUCAAACCAUGGGGUCCAAGCUCAAUGGCCCACUUGGCCACCCGACCUGUGGCUUCUCUGUUUUUAAUAAUAUCCCCUAAGGGAUUAGAACUAACCACAGUGAUGGGAUGACUAAGAAAAUACUGUUUCAACUUACGGCUAGCCAUGAACACGCCAUAAACCAGCGUCUGCCAAUGUGGGUAUCUCUACUUGGAUUCAAUGAGUACCUCACUGACAUAGUAAAACGGCCUCUGAACCGGGAAUUCUUUGCCUGACUCAUUUCUUUCCAAAACAACCGCUACACUGACGGCUCUACUAUUAGCAGCCACAUAUAACAACAAGGGAUCCUUAUCAAUGGGAGCUGAAGGAUUGGCGGCUCAACCAACUGCUUAUUCAGUGCCUCAAAAGCUUGAUUAGUAGCAUCACUCCAUACAAAGUGAUCUUUUUUCUUCAUCAUCUGGUAUAAAGGAAUAGCCUUCUCUCUUAGGCGGCUUAUAAACCGGCUCAAAGCCGCAAUACGACCUACCAAUCUAUGGACGUCAUUGAUACACGCCAGCUUAGGCAAAGAAGCGAUAGUCCUUAUUUUCUCCGGGUUAGACUCAAUGCCUCUCUCCGAAACCAAAAAAACCCAACAACUUCCCGGCUGGCACACCAAAAACACACUUGGCCAGGUUAAGCAUCAUUUUGUAGACCCGGAGGUUGUCAAAGGUCUCUUUCAAAUCAUCUAGCAAGGUCUCUUUCUUCCUUGAUUUCACAACUACGUCGUCCACAUAAGCAUGAACAUUGCACCCAAUUUGGUUGUGGAGGCAAUUCUGAACACAACGCUGAUAAGUCGCCUGGGCACUCUUGAGCCCAAAAGGCAUAGAUACAUAGCAGAAGGCUCCAAAGGGAGUGAUGAAGGUUGUCUUCUCCUGGUCCUUAACUGCAUUUUGAUCUGAUGAUACCCAGAAUAAGCAUCUAGAAAACUCAAACGUUCACAACCCGCCAUAGCAUCAAUGAUCUGAUCAAUACGAGGGAGAGCAAAAGGAUCAGCCGGACAGGCCUUGUUAAGGUAUGUAUAAUCCACACACAUACGCCAAGUGUCGUUAUUCUUAAGUACCAGCACCGGGUUAGCCAACCAGUCAGGAUGAAACACUUGAAUAAUAAAACCAGCCGCCAAGAGCCAGGCUACUUCUUUACCAAUGGCCUUGCGCCUUUCUUCAUUAAAACAUCGAAGGAAUUGCUUGACCGGUUGAAACAUUGCAUCCACAUUCAGAGUGUGCUCAUCGAGCUCCCUCGGUACACCUGGCAUGUCUGAAGGCUUCCAUCCAAAGAUGUCCCGGUUCUCAUGGAUGAACUCGAUGAGUGUGCUUUCCUAUUUCGGAUCCAUAUUGGCGCUGAUGAUGAACUGUUUGGAUGAGUCGCCAGGAACAAACUCAACCUGCUUAGUGUCAUCAUCCGAAUUAAACUUCAACAAAGGAUCAUGCUCCGUGGUUGGCUUUUUCAAGGGUGUCAUAUCAGUCGGAUCAACAUUAUCUUUGUAGAACUUCAACUCCUCUGUUGCACAAACAGACUCAGCAUAGGCAGCAUCAUCCCCUUCACACUCCAAAGCUAUCUUCCUGUUGGCAUGUACCGUGAUGGUACCCUUUUGAUCCGGCAUUUUAAGCUGUAGGUAAACAUAACAAGGCUGUGCCAUAAAUUUAGCAUAAACCGGCCGUCCAAACAAAGCGUGAUAAGGGCUCUUGAUCUUGACCACCUCAAAGGUCAAUGUUUCAGUUCUGUAAUCAUGGUCAUCACCAAAUGCCACUUCCAAAGCUAUCUUACCUACAGGAUACGCCGCAUACUAUGAUUAUGAGAUAUGGCAAAUGGACGUCAAAACGCCAUUCCUUAACGGCUUUCUUAAGGAAGAAUUGUAUAUGAUGCACCCGGAAGGUUUUGUCGAUCCUAAGAAUGCUAACAAGGUAUGCAAGCUCCCGCGCUCCAUCUAUGGGUUGGUGCAAGCAUCUCGGAGUUGGAACAUUCGAUUUGAUGAGAUGAUCAAAGCGUUUGGGUUUACACAGACUUAUGGAGAAGCCUGUGUUUACAAGAAAGUGAGUGGGAGCUCUGUAGCAUUUCUCAUAUUAUAUGUGGAUGACAUACUGUUGAUGGGAAAUGAUAUAGAAUUCUUGGGAAGCAUAAAGGCCUACUUGAACAAGUGUUUUUCAAUGAAGGACCUUGGAGAAGCUGCUUAUAUAUUAGGCAUCAAGAUCUAUAGAGAUAGAUCAAGACGCCUCAUUGGUCUUUCACAAAGUACGUACCUUGAAAGACAUUGAAGAAGUUCAAUAUGGAUCAGUCCAAGAAGGGGUUCUUGCCUGUAUUGCAAGGUGUGCAAUUGAGCACGGCUCAAUGCUCGACCACGGCAGAAGAUAGAGAAAAGAUGAGUGUCGUCCCCAAUGCCUCGGCCAUAGGGUCUAUUAUGUAUGCCAUGCUGUGUACCAGACCUGAUGUAAACCUUGCCGUAAGUUUGGUAGGAAGGUACCAAAGUAAUCCCGGCAUGGAACACUAGACAGCGGUCAAGAAUAUCCUGAAGUACCUGAAGAGGACUAAGGAUAUGUUUCUCGUUUAUGGAGGUGACGAAGAGCUCGUCGUAAAGGGUUACGUCGAUGCUAGUUUCGACACAGAUCUGGAUGACUCUAAGUCACAAACCGGAUACGUGUAUAUUUUGAAUGGUGGGGCAGUAAGCUGGUGCAGUUGCAAGCAAAGUGUUGUGGCCGGAUCUACAUGUGAAGCGGAAUACAUGGCGGCCUCAGAGGCAGCACAAGAAGCAAUCUGGGUGAAGGAGUUCAUUACCGACCUAGGAGUUAUUCCCAAUGCGUCGGGCCCGAUGACUCUCUUCUGUGACAAAACUGGAGCUAUUGCCCUUGCCAAGGAGCCCAGGUUUCACAGGAAGACCAGACAUAUCAAGCGUCGCUUCAACUCCAUUCGUGAAAAUGUUCAAAAUGGAGACAUAGAUAUUUGUAAAGUACAUACAGACUUGAAUGUAGCAGAUCCGUUGACUAAACCUCUCCCUAGAGCAAAACAUGAUCAACACCAGAACUCUAUGGGUGUUCGAUUCAUCACAAUGUAACAAGAUUAUUGACUCUAGUGCAAGUGGGAGACUGUUGAAAAUAUGCCCUAGAGGCAAUAAUAAAAUGGUUAUUAUUAUAUUUCCUUGUUCAUGCUAUAAUUGCGUUAUCCGGAAAUCGUAAUACAUGUGUGAAUACAGAGACCACAACAUGUCCCUAGUGAGCCUCUAGUUGACUAGCUCGUUGAUCAACAGAUAGUCAUGGUUUCCUGACUAUGGACAUUAGAUGUCAUUGAUAACGGGAUCACAUCAUUAGGAGAAUGAUGUGAUGGACAAGACCCAAUCCUAAGCAUAGCACAAGAUCGUGUAGUUCAUUUGCUAGAGCUUUUCCAAAUGUCAAGUAUCAUUUCCUUAGACCAUGAGAUUGUGCAACUCCCGGAUACCAUAGGAGUGCUUUGGGUGUGCCAAACGUCACAACGUAACUGGGUGGCUGUAAAGGUGCACGACGGGUAUCUCCGAAAGUGUCUGUUGGGUUGGCACGAAUCGAGACUGGGAUUUGUCACUCAGUAUGACGGAGAGGUAUCUCUGGGCCCACUCGGUAAUGCAUCGUCAUAAUGAGCUCAAUGUGACCAAGUGUUUGGUCACGGGGUCAUGCAUUACGGUACGAGUAAAGUGACUUGCCGGUAACGAGAUUGAACAAGGUAUUGGGAUACCGACGAUCGAAUCUCGGGCAAGUAACGUACCGAUUGACAUCGGGAAUUGUAUACGGGAUUGAUUGAAUCCUCAACAUCGUGGUUCAUCCGAUGAGAUCAUCGUGGAACAUGUGGGAGAAAACAUGGGUAUCCAGAUCCCGCUGUUGGUUAUUGACCGGAGAGUUGUCUCGGUCAUGUCUGCAUGUGUCCCGAACCCGUAGGGUCUACACACUUAAGGUUCGGUGACGCUAGAGUUGUAGAGAUAUUAGUAUACGGUUAACCGAAAGUUGUUCGGAGUCCCGGAUGAGAUCCCGGACGUCAUGAGGAGUUCCAGAAUGGUCCGGAGGUAAAGAUUUAUAUAUGGGAAGUCCUAUUUUGGCCACCGGAAAAUGUACCGGGAAGGUUGUGGAAGGUUCCGAAGUGGAGCCCACCUGCAUGGGGGGACCCACAUGAACGUGGGUAGUGGGGGCAAGGCCCCACACCCCUGGUCAAGGCGCACCAAGAUCUCACCUUAGAAGGAAUAAGAUCAUAUCCCGAAGGGAUAAGAUCAAGAUCCCUAAAAAAGGGGGAUAACAAUCGGUGGGGAAGGGAAAUGGGAUUUCUUUUCCCCACCUUUGCCAACGCCCCAAUGGACUUGGAGGGCAAGAAACCAGCCCCCUCCACCCCUAUAUAUAGUGGGGAGGCUCAUGGGAGCAGCACCCCAAGCCCCUGGCACCUCCCUCUCCCUCCCGUGACACCUCUCCCUCUCGCUGAGCUUGGCGAAGCCCUGCCGAGAUCCCCACUGCUUCCGCCACCACGCCGUCGUGCUGCUGGAUCUCCAUCAACCUCUCCCUACCCUUGCUGGAUCAAGAAGGAGGAGACGUCUUCCCUAACCGUACAUGUAUUGAACGCGGUGGUGCCGUCCGUUCGGCGCUCGGUCAUUGGUGAUUUGGAUCACGACGAGUACGACUCCAUCAACCCCGUUCACUUGAACGCUUCCGCUCGCGAUCUACAAUGGUAUGUAGAUGCACUCUUUUCCCUCUCGUUGCUAGAAGACUCCAUAGAUUGUUCUUCGUGAUGCAUAGAAUUUUUCUAAUUUCUGCAACGAUCUCCAACAGAUGGGUCAUUUUGGAGCUAACCAAGUUAAAAUGGGUCAUUUUAGAGCUAACAUAGGUAAAAUGGAUCAUUUUGGAGCUAGUCUAGGUAAAAUGGGUCAUUUUAGAGCUAACUUGGGUAAAAUGGAUCAUUUAUGACCUAACUAAGGUAGAAUGGGUCAUUUUAGAGCUAACUUAGGUAAAAUGGAUUGUUUAUGAGCUAACUAAGCUAAUUAUGCCAUUUUUGACAUAAGUAAGCUAAGUACAUGUCAUUAUUGAGCAAAUCUAGUUAACUUAGGUAACUUAGGUAAAAUGGAUGGUUUUGGAGGUCAGUAAGCUUAUUAAGUCAUUUUGGAGGAAAAGAAGCUAACUCUAGGGCAUUGUGGUAAGCAUAUUGGAGGAAAUAAGGCUAAGUCUAGGUCUUUAUGCAUUUGUUAAGCACACUAGAGAAACUUACCAUGAUCAUGGAGAUGUAGGAGCGGGCUGGCUCAUGCCGGUAGCUGGAGAAGGAUCGUGCGAUGCUUGUCUAGGCCCUGGAAUUAUCAUCGACAGGAAAAUGUUCUUUCUUUGCAUAAUCUGUCCGGGGGGAGAUUGAGUGGAAAGACAAAUACGGGCCAACAACUGUAUUGGGCUGUCAUUAGACCAAACACACUGAACCCAUCCGUGCUGAUGCCGACUCGAGGAUGCCUCGGAUCUGCCACUUUGUCAGCAUGUAAUUCAUCAAACUUUUUCCACGCAACACCAUCCGAUGUGUGUACGAUCAUCAGAUUCCCAUCUGCAUCUAGUUCGGUUCUUUUGCCCGUUUUUUGCUAUGUCAUCUGUCUGGGCGUCUCUUCGACCAUGAAAAGACGUUGAAGUCUUGGUACGAUUGGCAUAUACCGAAGAACACUAACGGGGAUUUUGGUCUGUGUCUUCUCACCCAUACCGUUGUCUACCACAACAUACCUGGAAGACAUGCAAAUGGGACAAUAGUUCAAGUCCGCAUAGUCAAGCCUAAAUAAGAAACAUCCUUUCUCACAUGCAUGUAUCUUCUCAUAGGGCAUCUUCAGUGCACGGAGGAUUUUGUCCGACUGGUACAGGUUUGCAGGCAUUACAUGGCCUUUGGGUAGAAAGCGUCCAAAUACUGUCAUCAUUGCGUCGUAGCAUUCUCUGCCCAAGUUGAACUGAGCCUUCAGAGCCAUUACUUGUGAGAUGGCAUCCAACUGACAAAGCUCAGUGUGCUCGUGGAGCGGCCGUUUUGAAGACUCCAACAUUUCAUUGAAGACCUUUGCAGAUUCCUCCAUCUCCUCGUCCGAAUCCCGAGCAUCAUCGAAGUCGUGCACCAUGUUUUCCAUCCCGGUACCAUGCUCGUCGGUGCGACGACGAUCCACCUCAGCUCGGUCACGUUGGGCAGACUCACCAUGAUAUGUCCACACCGUAUAAUCGGGCGUAAAACCACUCUUCUGCAGGUGUUUGCCCAUUUCAGCCUCUGUCCUCUUUUCCCAAUUGCCGCACGGUAAACAGGGGCACCAGGUUUUCCUCUGCCCAUUUGCAAAUGCGGCUUGCACAAACCCCUUGGUUUUUGUGAACCAUUCAGUGCUCCAUUUGUUCUAACCAGUGUGACCGGUGUACAUCCGCGCAUGAUCACUCAUCUUGACUUUCAGAGCUACUGGACACACAACAUAUAUAUAUAUAUAUAUAUAUAUAUAUAUAUAUAUAUAUAAUUCACCAUGUAUAUAUUCAUCAGUUGAUCUACUUUGUCAAUUUUAUUACGUCCAUGCAACCUACACUCGAAUAGGUAAUGAUAGGUCCUAAUCCCACCCGAGUAUGUGUAGAUUGGGUUCAUUUUCCCAUGCUAUGCUCCGGAUCCCACGCAAAAUUUCGGCAGCACCUCCCCGCUGUUCUCCUGAUACACGUCUCUGCAAUAAACAGAGAGGAUGUGUACUCGGAGAACAACAGGGGAGGCACUGAUGAAAUUUAUGCGUCGGAUCCGGAGCAAAGCAUAUGGGAAAACGAACCCAAUCUACACAUACUCGGGCUGUCCAUGGACAACAUUGGACAAUUCGAAAGAAUCGAGGUUAUAAAUAUGCAAAUGCAUGCAUAUUUAUAACUAUAAUGCUUUGGAACGGGAGACACAUAUUGGUUACGUAUACUGAUGAUCCAAAAUAGAUAUAUAGCUAGCUAUCAAGUUUCAUCAGCACGAACAUCGGAACAGAGCAAAUAAUUAAGGGGGGAAGAGGACAUGUCAUUUGUGCUCACCCACGAACGAAGGGGCAGAGCUCGUCAAACGCACGGGGAGGUCGUCGAACACCAAAACUCGCAGCGAUGAAACAACUGCACAUUUAAAUAUACCCGAUCAACACAAUUAUAUAUGAUGUUUUUCAUAACAAAAUCGAAAAAUUUAUGACCUAACUCAUAAUUCACAAAUAUAUGACCCCGUCGGCCUCUGGAAGGCCAAAGAGCACCUUUUCGGGAGGUGUCGGGGGUCGGGGUGUCGUGUCGGUGUCGGGGUGCCGUGUCGGGGUCGGGGUGCUGUUUCGGGGUCGGGGUGNNNNNNNNNNNNNNNNNNNNNNNNNNNNNNNNNNNNNNNNNNNNNNNNNNNNNNNNNNNNNNNNNNNNNNNNNNNNNNNNNNNNNNNNNNNNNNNNNNNNNNNNNNNNNNNNNNNNNNNNNNNNNNNNNNNNNNNNNNNNNNNNNNNNNNNNNNNNNNNNNNNNNNNNNNNNNNNNNNNNNNNNNNNNNNNNNNNNNNNNNNNNNNNNNNNNNNNNNNNNNNNNNNNNNNNNNNNNNNNNNNNNNNNNNNNNNNNNNNNNNNNNNNNNNNNNNNNNNNNNNNNNNNNNNNNNNNNNNNNNNNNNNNNNNNNNNNNNNNNNNNNNNNNNNNNNNNNNNNNNNNNNNNNNNNNNNNNNNNNNNNNNNNNNNNNNNNNNNNNNNNNNNNNNNNNNNNNNNNNNNNNNNNNNNNNNNNNNNNNNNNNNNNNNNNNNNNNNNNNNNNNNNNNNNNNNNNNNNNNNNNNNNNNNNNNNNNNNNNNNNNNNNNNNNNNNNNNNNNNNNNNNNNNNNNNNNNNNNNNNNNNNNNNNNNNNNNNNNNNNNNNNNNNNNNNNNNNNNNNNNNNNNNNNNNNNNNNNNNNNNNNNNNNNNNNNNNNNNNNNNNNNNNNNNNNNNNNNNNNNNNNNNNNNNNNNNNNNNNNNNNNNNNNNNNNNNNNNNNNNNNNNNNNNNNNNNNNNNNNNNNNNNNNNNNNNNNNNNNNNNNNNNNNNNNNNNNNNNNNNNNNNNNNNNNNNNNNNNNNNNNNNNNNNNNNNNNNNNNNNNNNNNNNNNNNNNNNNNNNNNNNNNNNNNNNNNNNNGGGGGGUCGAUCUGGUCGUGGAGAGAAACAGAGAGGAAGGGGGUGGGGGGCUCGGCCGUUAGAUAGGUUAGUGCAGUUAGGUAUUUGCCGUCCGCCGUGCUUUGCCGUCCGCUAUUUUUCUCUCUUUGCCGUCCGCUAGCAGACGACAAAGAGGGGAGCCGUUAAGUUUUAUCUAAUCAGCUCGUAAGUGGGGCCACCUCUCUCUUUGCCGUCAGCCCGCUAACAACAAAGAAUCUUUGCCAUCAGCUAGCGGACGGCAAAGAACUGGCUGAUGGCAAAAUCCUUCUUUGCCAUCAGCAAGUACUUUGCCGUCCGUAUUUCGUAAGAGGACGGCAAAGACCUUCUUUGUCGUCAGCUAGCAGACGGCAAAUAAGCUAAUUCCAGUAGUGAUAGUUGCACUUCAACUACCAAAUCUGGUCUAGAAGCUAAAUGGUGAAGAAGCACUCACUAGGAGUGCUGGAUUGGGCUAAAACUUGACAAAGCUUGAUGAUUUGGACAUACAAUGAUGCUGUAAAAAUUUCAUACCAAAUGGACUUGCCAAAAUGGUAGUUCCUUCACAGCUAUUAUUCCUGCCCAGAAACUUGAGAAAAAACCUCAGGGCAAAUGGCUAACUGAAAUGAGCCAAACUAUUGUGGAGAUAGGUUAUAUGGAUAUGAGAAGCCUCAGGAAAAGAUUUAGCCAAAAUGGAGCAAGAUAUAAUAUACUUGCUUCACAAACUGAAAAUCUGGACAGAAACAGAGAAUUGCUCCUGUGCUCACAUAGUUCAAUAGAAUGAGCUGAAUCUUGGUGGAAAAUGAUUAUAUGGUCAUUAGAGACUAAUGGAGAAGUUUCACCUCAUUGUUGUCAUCUAUGAGGGUACUUCCCUCAUAGACAAGCAAUGUGAAUAGAAACUCAAGAAGUUUGCCAAGGAAGAUUGGAUUGAUGGAUUGAGCUGAUUUUUGGUAUCCAGAGGUGAUUUAUCAAUGUUGAUCACCCUGCAAAAUUUCACCUCCAACGGAUUAAGGGUUCAAGCACUUCCUUUGCAAAAAUUUCAUACUGGGCAGAAACUUGCAUUGUGUCAUGUGAUCAAAUUAUGAUCUUUGAAGCAUGGGUUUGAUGGAAAUGGAGAAGAUAUAGCAAGUACAAGAUCCACAAAUUAUUUGGGAAUUUUCCUUGCUAUAAAAAUGGUAUCUCCUUUGGAAAAUGGCAGAAUUGCAAUAUCGGCUUAAAAUAGGAAAAGGUCAUUUCCCUUAUUUAAAUGUGGCCAAUAUUGUUGCCAGAGCUAAGAUUAGACAUAAAUAUCAUCUCCUCAAAUUUUCAUGAAUUUAUGAGAUGACUAGCUUUGCCUUUGGAUUUUAUUCCUCAGAAAGACAAGAAAAUGAAUAAAUCACAAAUGAAAAAUAUUGCAUAGGACUUAGCAAUAUUUUUGCACAUCCAAGGUUUGCAAAGGUAGUAGGGUCUCUGGGAAUAGAUGGGAUGAUCAACAGAUCAAGGAAAGUGAUGGCUCCUUUGUAAUCACAAAGGCCACAUUCAAAUUCCAAAAAUUUGGAAUUAGGGUUUGAGAGGGUUUGAGAUGAUGCAGAUGAGGUCUUGCCUAAUGACACAGGCAUGAGCGAGGUUUUGAAAGGUUGAAAAUGAAAAGGAUUCUCAGAGUCAUCCAGCAAACUCUGGAGAAAAUUUCAAAAUGAUGGCCAGGAAGGAAAUAACAGCAAAAAAAUUGAAAACCCAAUUUUAGGGUUGUUACACAUGCCUACGAGGCUGGUUAUGGUGCUGCUCACUGCUUGAAACUGCGGGCAAUUCAAUAUGUCUGCUAUAACUCCGUCUUGGACGAGGGGUCGAAUGAAUCCUUUCACGGCUAUACGAGUAAGCCGCCUCUUGAGGCACUGCUGUCUGAAGAAGUUCUCUGGCCCUCUGUGUCUCUAUCAUAGCCGGGGACUCACCUUCAACCGGGAGAGCCACCAAUCGUGUCGCCGCCGCGAUCAUAUUGUCCAGAGGGUUAUAAUAAUGACCCGGUGGUGUUGGAACGUGCUGAGGCAGAGUCAUAUCCAAACAAGGCAGAUUCAUAGCAUGCGGCUGAACCGGCGCCCCGGUCAUGGGCGUUUCAACCCCCCGGUUCAACACGGGCGGGUCACUCGUUCCUGCCCCAGGCGUGUUAAAAAGGUUUCUAGCCUCGAACUCCAUGGGCAACCGGGUCUGGUGUCUCCUCCUCAUGACAGCAUUUGAAGCAUUUUGAUCCAAGGUAAGUCGGAAGGACUUCGCCUGAAUCCGUUGUGCUUGUGCAUCUAAGGCGGCUCGCUCAGGAGCCAUCCUGGUAUUCUCAGCCGCGAGCUCUCCCCUAGCCUGUGUUAUCUCAUCACGUAGCUUUGCGAAAUCCGCCUUAUGCUGUUCUUGAGCUUUCGGGGUCACUUCCACCCCCAUCAAAGCUGCCAAAGCAUCCAGUAACUCGGUCAGGACCUGAGCCGGCGGGCACAUAGGGCCGCUAGCCCCAGCCGUCGCCGCAACCGUAGAGGUGAAGCUCAUGGCCGCAGCGGUUGUCGAGCCAAGCACCGGUUGUGUAUCGGCCAUGAAAAUUGCCACCCUAUUGGACGACUCACAGGGGUCCGGAAUACCGUCGCCAUCGGAACAGCCCCCAAGCCAGCCAUGUUGCAGCUGAUACAUUGAACUGGUCUUUUCGGUUGACGAUUCACCAUCCGAGUAGACGGCCGUCUCACCACCAGACACAGACCCUUCCUCAAAUUCUGCCCCAUGGAUGCAACCAAUGAAAGCAUGCUUCACAGUGGCCUAAACCUUAGCAGGCCAUGCAUGCUCAGCCGUCUCGAUGAUAUCGGUGCAGGUGUCCGGCUCAGGGCCUGGCUCGUCGAUCUUGCCGAUGAAAACAUGGAUUCCGCUGAAGGGGACCGGGUACCCAUUCUCAAUUGAGCCGGCCUCGGGGCCCCAGCCUGCAUCGUCGAUGUAGAGCUUGCCGCAAUGACUCUUGGUUAUCCGGCCAACAGCGUAUCCCUUGAUUCCUGCGAAGCUUCCCUUCAUGAAAUCGAAACCACCAUGCGUUGGCCCCACGGUGGGUGCCAAUUGUCGUGGACUUAACACGACAGAUGUCCUAGCGAACAGACUAAGUCAUGGAGCCAUCGCAACUAGGUUAGCUUGAAGGGGUUAAACGGGAAAAAGGACAUCGAGAGUUUACCCAGGUUCGGCCCCUCUCAACGAGGUAAAAGCCUACUCCUGCUUUGUGUUGUAUUGCUAGGGUUUCGAUUACCAGGGAGCGAAUACACUUGACCUAGAUCUCGAUUGUUUGUUAUUUGUCCCUAAACUGCCGCCGGGUCAUCCCUUUAUAUACAUAGGUUGACGCCUGGCAGCUCACGGAGUCCCGGACAGCUCAUACAGAGCGUGUCCGGCUCAGUGACUAACUACGCUUUCCUUACAAAAAAACUUACACAUAUAUGGCGGUUCAUCCUCUUGGGCCUCAAGUCGCCUCUGGUCUUGGGCCAUCAAUGGGCUUGUAUGAGCCGCCAUCUUCAUUGAUAAGUCGCCAGUGGUAUGAUCCGGCCCCUCCUGGGCGGUUCAUACCCAGUAGUUAUAUCCCCAAGAGCAUCUCCUCGUGGUUGCUGUCGCUCCCUUCGGGUGUAGGUGCCAUCAACCCACUUGCAGUACUAGUUAAACUCAUAGAUUUCCGGCGGUGGCGGGUUGUCGUCGUCAUCACCAGCCUUGAAUGGUCCUCAUGGAGGUCAAGAUGGAUGAUGACGCGAUGCCGGAUCCCGCGCCGCCCACGACGGCGGUGGCCAUGCGCAGGCAGGGUGAGCCAUUAGACCUUGGGGAUGGUGUUGGGGUUGGCCAUCCAUGCCCAGAGGGCCAUGUCCCACGUGUCCUCCUUCCGCAGCGAACGCGGGUCGAUGUAGUCGAGGGAGCAGACACGGCCGAUGAGGAAGGUCGUGAUGUAGUUGCUCCAUCCAUGGAGCGGGACACCCUCUAACCACAGACGGACGUGGUGUACUUGGUCCUCGUUAUCGGCGUGCGCCUCGAGCCGCCACUCCCUGAUGUAGAUGUGGUAGCCUGCACCAGGAAGAUGGCCACUGGACACCGCCAGGGUGUGAUGUCUACUACACCACCUUCUUCUUGUAGACGUUGUUGGGCCUCCAAGUGCAGAGGUUUGUAGGACAGUAGCAAGUUUCCCUCAAGUGGAUGACCUAAGGUUUAUCAAUCCAUGGGAGGCGUAGGAUGGAGAUGGUCUCUCUCAAACAGCCCUGCAACCAAAUAACAAAGAGUCUCUUGUGUCCCCAACACACCCAAUACAAUGGUAAAUUGUAUAGGUGCACUAGUUCGGCGAAGAGAUGGUGAUACAAGUGCAAUAUGGAUGGUAGAUAUAGGUUUUUGUAAUCUGAAAAUAUAAAACGAGCAAGGUAACUAAUGAUAAAAGUGAGCGUAAACGGUAUUGCAAUGCUAGGAAAUAAGGCCUAGGGUUCAUACUUUCACUAGUGCAAGUUCUCUCAACAAUAAUAACAUAAUUGGAUCAUACACUACAGGAAUCAGCUAUUUUGCCGUCUGCCAUGGCGGACGGCAAAGGCAUGAACGGCGGACGGCAAAGGCCUUUGCCGUCAGCCACGGACGGCAAAAGGCUCCGGCAAACUAGGCUACGGUAAAUAGCUACUUUGCCGUCUGCUUCCUGGCGGCUGACGGCAAAGGCCCUUUGCCGUCUGUCGUGGACGGCAAAGAGAGCGGACGGCAAUAAUUGCGCUGUCAGUCCGUUAAGUGGCUAACGGCAGGCCUUUGCCGUCCGCCGCGGACGGCAAACUUUCUAGUGCCUUAGCCGUCUGCCAGCGGACGGCAAACUUUCUAGUGUCUUUGCCGUCCGCCGUAUGAUGUCAUCUACACGUCACUACAUGGCAGGCCUUUGCCGUCCGCCGCUGACGGCAAAAUCGUUUACUCUUUGCCGUCUGCCACUGUAGGCAAACUGAUCAAAUGGGUCAGCUCCCAGGAAGCACAGCAGGAUGCCACGUGUCUUCUUUGCCGUCCGCGGCAGACGGCAAAGAGCCCGUUGCCGUCGGUGGCAGACGGCAAAGAGCCUGCAUAUUGGCUCUUUUUUCUGUUUUUUAUUAAAUCCAACAAUUUUCACAGCAAAUAUAUAUGACAUAUAUAGAUAUAUUUCACAAGGCAAUUACAUAGCAAACAUAUAAGAUAUCUAACACAUAACAUCAUCAUACAUGCAUAGUUCCAUCCAACCAUAUAUAUUACAUGCAUAGUUCCAUCAUACAUAGCAAGUUCAACAUAGAGGCAUCCAACCAUAUAUAUUACAAUAGUUUCAUCCAACGAUACAUGCAUAGUUCAACGAUACAAAAGAAAAGGGAUAAGGAGCACUCCAUCUAUGCAAGCUUUCGUCAAGUGAAUGAAAUCUGCAAAAUGAAAAAUAAGAAAGUUAGAAAUAGGUGACUAGAAUAAGAAGACUAGAACAAGAAGAGUAGAACAAGAAGAAGACUAGAACAAGAAGAGUAGAACAAGAAGAAGACUAGAACAAGAAGAGUAUGUCAUUUAUGAGCUAACUUACGUGAAAUGGAUCAUAUAUGAGCUAACUAAGUUGAAAUGGGUCGUUUAUGAGAUAGCUAAGGUGAAAUGGAUCAUUUAUGAGCUAACUUAGUUGAAAUGGGUCGUUUAUGAGCUAACUAAGGUCAAAUGGAACGUUUUUGAGGUAACUAAGGUGAAAUGGAUCGUUUUUUAGCUCACUUAGGUGAAAUGGAUCAUUUAUGAGCUAACUUAGUUGAAAUGGAUCGUUUUUGAGCUAACUUAGUUGAAAUGGAUCAUUUAUGAGCUAAUUUAGUUGAAAUGGAUCUUUUUGAGCUAACUUGGGUGAAAUGGAUCAUUUAAGAGCUAAUUUAGGUGAAAUGGAUCUUUUUUAGCUAACUUGGUGAAAUGGAUCGUUUAUGAGCUAAAAUAGUUGAAAUGGAUCGUUUAUGAGAUAACCUAGGUAAGAUGUGUCAUUUUGGAGUUAACCUAGGUGAAAUGGGUCAUUUUAAAGCUAACGUAGGUAAAAUGGAUCAUUUAGGAGCUAAUCUAGGUAAAAUGGGUCAUUUUUGAGCUAACUUGAAUGAACUGGAUCAUUUAUAAGCUAACCUAGGUAAAAUGGGUCAUUUUAGAGCUAACUUAGGUAAAAUGGAUCGUUUCUGAGCUAACUAAGCUAAUUAUGCAAUUUUUGACAUAAGUAAGCUAAGUACAGAUCGUUUUAGAGCUAACUUAGGUAAAAUGGAUGGUUUUGGAGGUCAGUAAGCUUAUUAAGUCAUUUUGGACGAGAAGAAGCUAAGUCUAGGUCAUUAUGGUAAGCAUUGGAGGAAAUAAAGCUAAGUCUAGGUCUGUAUGCAUGUGUUAAGCAAAACACUAGAUAAACUUACCAAGAUCCAGGAGGUGUAGGAGCGGGCUGGCUCGUGUCGGUAGUUGGAGAAGGAUCGUGCGAUGCUUGUCUGGAGUUAUGCUGCACCAAAGAUCAUUUCCAAUGUCUUGUUAGCAUGAUGACACUCAAAUGUUAAGACUAGCAAGUAAUGUCCAUUCAAAUUAAACUCACCGUGGUCCCUGGAGCAAUCACUGGCAUCGGCGGAGCGGUCUGACCGGUCUUCUCGCACACAGACUGCACAUUUGGUUUUGACGACUCAGUCAUACUAGUUAGUAAUGAGAUAAACACUACAUGAAUGUUUUGGCUAAUCUGCAGAAGAAACUUACCACAAGGAGCUCGUACAUGGCCCUUGCCUGCAUGUCAUUCCGUGCCCUCUCCUCCUCCAUCAUCUUUGUCGUCCUCUCCUCCAACUCCCGCUGCCUCUCCGCCGCCUCCGCCAGAAGUUUCUCCGUUCUAUCUCUCUCAGUCUGUAUAGCAGCCUGCAACACCACUCACAUGACCAUUUGUAAUCAUUGAUGGAAGCGCACACAAUGUAAUGGAGAAAGAUAACUGAGUACGUAUCACUAACCUUGAUGGCGAGUUGCACUGGCCGUUCACGAGGCCUUAUCUCAGGAGCGGAGCUCGACUGGCGCGCCUUGAUCUCCGGGAGAGUGCUAGGAAAACGGAUAAGUCCAUCUCCAAUGGCUAUGGAGCCAUGGGACCUCCAGCCACCAGAUAUCAUCACCAGCUCUGGAUCAAUGGGACCCUGGCUCGGGUUAAAGUCCUCCCCUUUCCUCGCCUUCCCCUCAUCUCUAUAUCUCACGAGCUUGCUGUGGGAGGAGAUGUUGGUGAAGUUGUUUGCAUCAUCGAGGUCAGACUGAGAGAAAGCCUUGACUUUCUUGAAAGAGGCAGUGUGGGCCAUGGAAAAAAGGUCGUACACCUCUGGCACCUUAUCCACCUUAUUGUGGCGUGCCUGAAAGAGAGAAACAAUGUAAAUUAGUAAUUAAAGGGCUCAAGCUAGCAUGAUGAAUGAAUUGCAUGAAUCAUGAAGCAAACCACAUACCCAGUUGCGCCCGAACUGAUAUAAGUUGGAGCUGCCUUGAUGGUGUGGCACAUCUUCCAUUUGGGCACGUUUGUCCUUGGCCUUGUUGUGGAGGGCUAGCCAUUAUUUUGAGCACCACUCAUCGACCAACACCUCCCAACAAUCCAUCCGAUCCGCACACCAUCUCGGAGGCGCCUAAGUUAGCAAAUAGAAACUUGAGCACUACGGCUAAGAAUUACUAAAUGAAGGAACUUAAGUAGAAGGCCUUAAGAAUUACCUUCAUGUACUGCUCCUUACUCAGGAACUUAUCGCGGCACACCGGCUUGGUCUUCUUGAUACCACGCAAGGCGUAGUAGUCUCGAACAGCCUGCACCCGAGCCUCGUGCCGUAAGUUCUGGAGUAGGCGCUUGCAGACGUUCUCGAUAACAUGUGCCGCGUCCUCCUCGUAUCCCUCCUCACACCUGUAGAAUGUCUGCAAUCAAAUGAGACAAUAUUGAUUAGUACAAUUAAUAACUAGCUAGUUGAAGAUUUUUAAAUGUGUAAAGGAGAAAUUACCCAAAACUUUCUGAUCACCAUGUCUGCCCUCGUGUCGCACACGACACCGUCGAUAAUCUCAUCCGGCGGGGCCGGGGCAGCCACGUAGUGCUCCCAGCUCAAUCCAAGCUCUGGAAGCCUACCCUCACCAGGCAACGUGACAAACCCCGGGAAGUUUUGCCGGCAAAGAAGUCCAAGGACGGAGUUGGGCCAGCGGACACUAUGAUGGUGGUCCCAACCCCUGCAGCAUGACAAGGCCAACGCAUUAGUUAUUUGAAGAAACGUGAAUGCAGAAGGUACACAAAUAUUAAAUGCACUUACGUACCUCUCCCCAUCAGGGAAAAUCAACCACCUCUGCUCGCGGGUCGCCGGCACGGACGGGAGCCGUGUAGCACCACGCUGGUAGACGGUGCCCCCCUCCUCCUCAAGAUCAGUCGGUUCCCCGCCAUCAUCAGCAUGGCCACUCGGCUCCUCGGGCUGAUCCGGCCAGGUACCCCAUCCGGACGUGUGCUCCUCCGGGGUCUCGUGGGCCGAACUCUCGUGGGCCGAAGGCCAGUCGACCCGAGGCUCGUGGGCCCAAGACCCGUGGACCGGAGGCUCGUGGACCGGAGUCCGUGUAGCCUCCUCCUCGGACGAGUCCACCCUAGCAGUCACGUGCUCGGGUGAAACAGCUGGGGGUGGCGGCGAGGAAGGCGCCGUAGUAGUCACCCUACCUCCUCUCCCGCGACCACGUGCCCCACCUUCUCUCUUCCUACCUCGUCCCCUGCUGGGCACCGCGGUCGACGAAGAAGGGCCUGGCGGUGUGGCCAUACUGUCCAGCAACGCUCGGCGGAGACGUGCAUCUGGAAUGGAAGACCUCAGACCAUGCGCCGACGAAGAAGGGGCCUUGGCGCGCUCCCGACCAGCGCCCACCAUCUUUCAACACCUGCCAUGACAAACAGUAAACGAAAUUAGUACAACAUAAAAAAAGACCAACAUGAAUAAUAAUAUGUGUAUCACUUAAGUGUAUCAUCAUCAAGUCAACAUAAAAAAAAUUAAUACCUGACACUACUAAUAAUCUCGAUCAGUAUCAUCAAUAAAUGCAUAAUCAUCAUCAUCACUAUAAUCAAUGACGGGCUCAUAGGGUUCAGUGGCAUCAACACGUGGAAGGCCACCUUGACGUAAUCGGUCAAGCAAUGACAGGUCAUCCGCAGCAUUAACCUCUUCUUGUUCCGGCUCUUCUUGUUCCUCCUCUGGGGUGAUGUCGGAUUCACUGUCGCUGUCUACUUCAAUGUUUUGGGGUGAAGUAUAGCGGUUCUUGAAACGCUUUUUGGAAAGACGUGUCUCUUGGAAGAAUUCUCCUUCAUAUGUGUCUGGGUUAAUGUGAGGUUCAUAAUCCACUUCCUUUGGGGGAGAUAGUCUAGCACGUGGCGGCACUUCAUAAACGACAUCCCAACCUUUCAGAUUUGGAUUAGUUUGGCAGGCCCACGGUAGAUAGAAUACUUGGGUCGCCUGUUGAGCCAUAAUAUAGACAUCAGGAACAUCUAAAUGGGUGCUUUGGUUGAUUUCAACUAGCCCUAUAUGUUCAUGAGUCCUUCUAGUCUCCUUCGGCUGAAACCAACAACAUUUGAAGACUACGACAUUCGUUGGGUUUUCACCAUAGAAUAGAAGUUCAUAAAUUGCUUCAACUCUCCCAUAAUACUCGGUACCUCCUUCGUCGAUAGCAGAUACACAACAAUUUGUAGACUUUCGGUCGGCCAUAGAUAGCUCUUUGCCAUAGGUACGAAAGCGAUACCCGUUGAUGUCGUAUUUGUCAAAUGAACGGACCUUAUAGUCAAAACCAUUAGCGACUUGUCUCAAUUCGGCGUCCAUAGACUCUGACUUAGCCUACAAGUUUAAUAUGAAAGGAUUGUUGCAUUAGGCACAAAUUAGCGAAUGAAACCGGGAUAGCCGCCUACAAAUUAGCCUACAAGUCUAAUAGAAAUUACCGUUUGUUUGAACCAAGAGAUGAAACCGGGAUAGCCGCCUCCUUGCUUUGCGAGAAGCUCAUACUCUUCGACAGAAUCCUUUUGGAUCACCGCUCCAUACGAGAAUAAGGCGACGUAUCGACUGUAUGAAAUAUCCAGGAAUAAGAGCAGUUCAAAGGAAAUAGAAGUUGCGAAACUAUGUACCGAGAACUUACUCGAUGUACGGCCGCACUUCUAUCAGGUUGUUGAAGAUAUACAACGAAAUGGUCCGCCAUUGUUCGUUAUCCAAAGAUACUGGAUUUGAAACACUGGCUAGUGCGAGAUUCCCUUUGAAUAGGCUGAGGUUGGAUCCACCCUUUUUAGGGUCGUCAGCAUUGUACCGAGGCUUCGGAUUAUGCAAAUGACGAUUUUUGGCUUCGUAGUGUGCUGUCACGAAGUUUGCCGCCUCCUCAGUGAUGAAUGCCUCAGCCAUCGAUGUUUCAAUUCUACGUUUAUUUUUACAUUUUUGUCGAAGCGUCUUCUGCAUCCUCUCAGUUGGGUAGCACCAACGAUUUUGCACGGGCCCCCCAAUCUUGCCUCGGUCGGGAGAUGCAAAAUCAAAUGUUGCAUUGGAUUAAAGAAGCCCGGUGGAAAGAUCUUCUCUAACUUGCAGAUCAACUCCGGCGCCAACUCUUCCAUUUCUUCUAGCACGCCAGGCGAUAGUUCUUUCGCACAAAGAACACGGAAGAAAUAGCUGAGUUCUGCCAGUACUAGCCAUUCAUCCUCAGGGAUGAAGCCACGCAACAUCACCGGCAUUACUCGCUCAAUCCAUAUGUGCCAAUCAUGACUCUUGAGACCAAAUAUCUUCAAUUUAUCAAGACUGGCUCCCCUCUGUAGAUUCGCUGCAUACCCAUCGGGGAACAUCAACUGCAUUUUCACCCACAAGAUAAUUUCCCUCAUAGCUGGCCUUCCAAGAUUGAACCAUGCCUUUGGCGUCGUCCAGUUCUGCUUUCCUUUCGGUUCUUUCAUGUUUUGUAACGGCCUAUCACAUAGCGCCUCCAGAUCGACUCUAGCCUUAGUAUUAUCCUUUGACUUCCCAUCUAUGCCGAACAAUGUACCAAAAAGUGCCUCGGCGAUAUUCUUCUCAGUGUGCAUCACGUCGAUGUUGUGUGGGCAAAGGAGGUCUUUGAAGUAAGGCAGAUCCCAUAAGCAUGUUUUGUGAGUCCAGGCCUGCUUAGAAUUAUACCCCUUGAACUACCCUGGACGCUCUGGAUCUGGCUCGAGAGCGUUUAACUGAUCCAGGGUCUGUUGGCCUGUCAAUGCAGGUGGUGCAGUGUUUUUGACAAGUCUACCUCUGAUGAAGUUCUUCUUGUCUUUCCUGAACUUAUGGCGAGGAUUCAGGAACUGUCUAUGCAUGUCGAAGCAAGAAAACUUGCGACCGGCCUGAAGCCAACGAAACUCCAGAGCUCCCUUGCAUGUGGGGCACGGGAACCUUCCAUGCACACACCAGCCAACGAAUAGCGCAUAUACCAGACAGGCAUUAUGAAGUUCCGUUUGCUAUAGGCGUCAUAUGUCUUGAACCCAUUAUCCCAGGCUUCUUGCAAUUCGUCCUUAAGCGGUUGCAUGUACACAUUCAUAUUUUCCCCGGAUAGUUGGGCCCUGGAAUUAUCAACGUCAGGAAAAUGUUCUUUCUUUGCAUAAUCUGUCCGGGGGGGAGAUUGAGUGGAAAGACAAAUACGGGCCAACAACUGUAUUGAGCUGCCGUCAUACCAAACACACUGAACCCAUCCGUGCUGAUGCCGACUCGAGGAUGCCUCGGAUCUGCCGCUUUGUCACCAUGUAAUUCAUCAAACUUUUUCCACGCAACACCAUCCGAUGUGUGUACAAUCAUCAGAUUCCCAUCUGCAUCUAGUUCGGUUCUUUUGCCUGUUUUAUGCCAUGUCAUCUGUCUGGCCGUCUCUUCGACCAUGAAAAGACGUUGAGGUCUUGGUACGAUUGGCAUAUACCGAAGAACACUAACGGGGAUUUUGGUCUGUGUCUUCCCAUACCGUUGUCUACCACAACAUACCUGGAAGACUUGCAAAUGGGACAAUAGUUCAAGUACGCAUAGUCAAGCCUAAACAAGACACAUCCUUUCUCACAGGUAUGUAUCUUAUCAUAGGGCAUCUUAAGUGCACGGAGGAUUUUGUCCGACUGGUACAGGUUUGCAGGCAUUACAUGGCCUUUGGGUAGAAAGCGUCCAAAUACUGUCAUCAUUGCAUCGUAGCAUUCUCUGCCCAAGUUGAACCGAGCCUUUAGAGCCAUUACUUGUGAGAUGGCAUCCAACUGACAAAGCUCAGUGUGCUCAUGGAGCGGACGUUUUGAAGACUCCAACAUUUCAUUGAAGGCCUUUGCAGAUUCCUCCAUCUCCUCGUCCGAAUCCCGAGCAUCAUCAACGUCUUGCACCAUGUUUUCCAUCCCGGUACCAUGCUCGUCGGUGCGACGACGAUCCCCCUCAGCUCGGUCACGUUGGGCAGACUCACCAUGAAAUGUCCACACCGUAUAAUCGGGCGUAAAACCACUCUUCUGCAGGUGUUUGCCCAUUUCAGCCUCUGUUCUCUUUUCCCAAUUGCCGCACCGUAAACAGGGGCACCAGGUUUUCCUCUGGCCAUUUGCAAAUGCGGCUCGCACAAACCCCUUGGUUUUUGUGAACCAUUUAGUGCUCCAUUUGUUCUGACCAGUGUGACCGGUGUACAUCCACGCACGAUCACUCAUCUUGAGUUUCAGAGCUACUAGACACACAACAAAUAUAUAUAUAUAUAUAUAUAUAUAUAUAUAUAUAUAAUUCACCAUGUAUAUAUUCAUCAGUUGAUCUACUUUGUCAAUUUUAUUACGUCCAUGCAACCUACACUCUAAUAGGUAAUGAUAGGUCCUAAUCCCACCCGAGUAUGUUCAGAUUGGGUUCAUUUUCCAUGCUAUGCUCCGGAUCCUACGCACAAUUUCGGCAGCACCUCCCCGCUGUUCUCCUGAUACACGUCUCUGCAAUAAACAGAGAGGAUGUGUACCCGGAGAACAACAGGGGAGGCACUGACGAAAUUUAUGCGUCGGAUCCGGAGCAAAGCAUAUGGGAAAACGAACCCAAUCUAAACAUACUCGGGCUGUCCAUGGAUAGCGUUGGACAAUUCGAAAGAAUCAAGGUUAUAAAUAUGCAAAUGCAUGCAUAUUUAUAACUAUGACGCUUUCGAACGGGAGACACAUAUUGGUUACGCAUACUGAUGAUUCAAGACACAUAUAUAGCUAGCUAUUAAGUUUCAUCGGAAUAGAUCAAAUAAUUAAUGGGGGAGGAGGACAUGUCAUUUGUGCUCACCCACGAACGAAGGGGCAGAGCUCGUCAAACGCACGGCGAGGUCGUCGAACACCAAACCUCGCAGCGAUAAAACAACUGCACAUUUAAAACUACCCGAUCAACACAAUUAUAUAUGAUGUUUUUCCUAACAAAAUCAAAAAAUAUAUGACCUAACUAAUAAUUCACAAAUAUAUGACCCCGUCGGCAUCUCGAAGGCCAAAGAACACCUUUUCGGCAGGUGUCGGGGGUCGGGGUGUCGUGUCGGUGUCGGGGUGCUGUGUCGGGGUCGGGGUCGGGGUCUCAGGGUCGGGGUCGGGGUGCCGUGUCGNNNNNNNNNNNNNNNNNNNNNNNNNNNNNNNNNNNNNNNNNNNNNNNNNNNNNNNNNNNNNNNNNNNNNNNNNNNNNNNNNNNNNNNNNNNNNNNNNNNNNNNNNNNNNNNNNNNNNNNNNNNNNNNNNNNNNNNNNNNNNNNNNNNNNNNNNNNNNNNNNNNNNNNNNNNNNNNNNNNNNNNNNNNNNNNNNNNNNNNNNNNNNNNNNNNNNNNNNNNNNNNNNNNNNNNNNNNNNNNNNNNNNNNNNNNNNNNNNNNNNNNNNNNNNNNNNNNNNNNNNNNNNNNNNNNNNNNNNNNNNNNNNNNNNNNNNNNNNNNNNNNNNNNNNNNNNNNNNNNNNNNNNNNNNNNNNNNNNNNNNNNNNNNNNNNNNNNNNNNNNNNNNNNNNNNNNNNNNNNNNNNNNNNNNNNNNNNNNNNNNNNNNNNNNNNNNNNNNNNNNNNNNNNNNNNNNNNNNNNNNNNNNNNNNNNNNNNNNNNNNNNNNNNNNNNNNNNNNNNNNNNNNNNNNNNNNNNNNNNNNNNNNNNNNNNNNNNNNNNNNNNNNNNNNNNNNNNNNNNNNNNNNNNNNNNNNNNNNNNNNNNNNNNNNNNNNNNNNNNNNNNNNNNNNNNNNNNNNNNNNNNNNNNNNNNNNNNNNNNNNNNNNNNNNNNNNNNNNNNNNNNNNNNNNNNNNNNNNNNNNNNNNNNNNNNNNNNNNNNNNNNNNNNNNNNNNNNNNNNNNNNNNNNNNNNNNNNNNNNNNNNNNNNNNNNNNNNNNNNNNNNNNNNNNNNNNNNNNNNNNNNNNNNNNNNNNNNNNNNNNNNNNNNNNNNNNNNNNNNNNNNNNNNNNNNNNNNNNNNNNNNNNNNNNNNNNNNNNNNNNNNNNNNNNNNNNNNNNNNNNNNNNNNNNNNNNNNNNNNNNNNNNNNNNNNNNNNNNNNNNNNNNNNNNNNNNNNNNNNNNNNNNNNNNNNNNNNNNNNNNNNNNNNNNNNNNNNNNNNNNNNNNNNNNNNNNNNNNNNNNNNNNNNNNNNNNNNNNNNNNNNNNNNNNNNNNNNNNNNNNNNNNNNNNNNNNNNNNNNNNNNNNNNNNNNNNNNNNNNNNNNNNNNNNNNNNNNNNNNNNNNNNNNNNNNNNNNNNNNNNNNNNNNNNNNNNNNNNNNNNNNNNNNNNNNNNNNNNNNNNNNNNNNNNNNNNNNNNNNNNNNNNNNNNNNNNNNNNNNNNNNNNNNNNNNNNNNNNNNNNNNNNNNNNNNNNNNNNNNNNNNNNNNNNNNNNNNNNNNNNNNNNNNNNNNNNNNNNNNNNNNNNNNNNNNNNNNNNNNNNNNNNNNNNNNNNNNNNNNNNNNNNNNNNNNNNNNNNNNNNNNNNNNNNNNNNCCGCUGGCAGACGGCAAAGAGGUGGGGCGUUAAGUUUUUUUCAAAUGGGCGGGGGGUGGGGGCCGCCUCUCUCUUUGCCGUCUGCCAGCGGACGGCAAAGAUUCUUUGCCGUCUGCUAGCAGACGGCAAAGAGCUCGCAGAUGGCAAAGAGCUUCUUUGCCGUCUGCCAUUUCUUUGCCGUCUGCUUUUGGGUAGCUGAUGGCAAAGAGCUUCUUUGCCGUCAGCUAGCAGACGGCAAAGAGCUGGCAGAUGGCAAAUUAGUUGAUUCCAGUAGUGAUAUAACUAUCCCUCAAAAUGCAACAAAGGGUCACUCCAAAGUCACUAAUAGCGGAGAACAAAUAAAGAGAUUAUGGUAGGGUACGAAACCACCUCAAAGUUAUCCUUUCUGAUCGAUCUAUUCAAGAGUCUGUAGUAAAAUAACAUGAAGCUAUUCUUUCCGUUCGAUCUAUCCUAGAGUUCGUACAAGAAUAACACCCUAAGACAUAAAUCAACCAAAACCCUAAUUUCACCUAGAUACUCCAAUGUCACCUCAAGUAUCCGUGGGUAUGAUUAUACGAUGUGGAUCACACAAUCUAAGAUUCAUCUAUCCAAACCAACACAAAGUACUUCAAAGAGUGCCCCAAAGUUUCUACCGGAGAGUCAAGACGAAAACGUGUGCCAACCGCUAUGCAUAAGUUCACAAGGUCACUGAACCCGCAAGUUGAUCGAACAUACAUCAAGUGAAUCAUGUGAUAUCCCAUUGUCACCACAGGUAAGCACAUGCAAGACAUACAUCAAGUGUUCUCAAAUCCUUAAAGACUCAAUCCGAUAAGAUAACUUCAAAGGGAAAAAUCAAUCCAUUACAAGAGAUAGAGGGGGAGAAACAUCAUAAGAUCCAACUAUAAUAGCAAAGCUCUCGAUACAUCAAGAUCGUGCCACAUCAAGAACCCGAGAGAGAGAGAUCAAACACAUAGCUACUGGUACAUACCCUCAGCCCCGAGGGUGAACUACUCCCUCCUCGUCAUGGAGAGUGCCGGGAUGAUGAAAAUGGCCGGUGAGGGUUCCCCCCUCCGGCAGGGUGCCGGAAUAGGCUCCCGAUUGGUUUUUGGUGGCUACAGAGGCUUGCGGCGGCGGAACUCCCGAUCUAGGUUUCUUUCUGGAAGUUUUUGUAUAUAUACGGGGUUUUGGCGUUGAGAACAAGUCAGGGGGGGCUACGGGCUCUUCACGAGGCAGGGGGGCGCGCCCAGGGGGGUAGGGCGCGCCCCCACCCUCGUGGGCAGCCCGGGACUCUUCUGGCCCAACUCUUUUCUUCCGGGGGCUUCUUCUGGUCCAAAAACCAUCUCCGUAAAUUUUCAGGUCAAUUGGACUCCGUUUGGUUUUCCUUUUCUGCGAUAUUCAAAAACAAGGAAAAAACAGAAACUGGCACUGGGCUCUAGGUUAAUAGGUUAGUCCCAAAAAUCAUAUAAAAUAGUAUAUAAAUGCAUAUAAAACAUCCUAGAUGGAUAAUAUAAUAGCAUGAAUGCUGCAUAAAUUAUAGAUACGUUGGAGACAUAUCAGCAUCCCCAAGUUUAAUGCCUGCUCGUCCUCGAGUAGGUAAAUGAUAAAAGAAAUAAUUUAUGAAGUGUGAAUGCUAGCAAGUGCAUAAGUUUGAUCAAUGAUAGUUCCAAUCACUUUUUCUAGCAUCAUUAUAUAUCUGAAGGAAAUAUGCCCUAGAGGCAAUAAUAAAGUUAUUAUUUAUUUCCUUAUAUCAUGAUAAAUGUUUAUUAUUCAUACUAUAAUUGUAUUAACCGGAAACAUAAUACAUGUGUGAAUACAUAGACAAACAGAGUGUCACUAGUAUGCCUCUACUUGACUAGCUCGUUAAUCAAAGAUGGUUAUGUUUCCUAGCCAUAGACAUAAGUUGUCAUUUGAUUAACGAGAUCACCUCAUUAGGAAAAUGACGUGAUUGACUUGACCCAUUCCGUUAGCUUAGCACCCGGUCGUUUAGUAUGUUGCUAUUGCUUUCUUCAUGACUUAUACAUGUUCCUCUGACUAUGAGAUUAUGCAACUCCCGUUUACCGGAGGAACACUUUGUGUGCUACCAAACGUCACAACGUAAAUGGGUGAUUAUAAAGGUGCUCUACAGGUGUCUCCAAAGGUACUUGUUGGGUUGGCGUAUUUCGAUAUUAGGAUUUGUCACUCCGAUUGUCGGAGAGGUAUCUCUGGGCCCACUCGGUAAUGCACAUCACUAUAAGCCUUGCAAGCAUUGUGACUAAUAAGUUAGUUGCGGGAUGAUGUGUUACGGAACGAGUAAAGAGACUUGCCGGUAACGAGAUUGAACUAGGUAUCGAGAUACCCACGAUCGAAUCUCGGGCAAGUAACAUACUGAUGACAAAGGGAACAACAUAUGUUGUUAUGCGGUCUGACCGAUAAAGAUCUUCGUAGAAUAUGUGGGAGCCAAUAUGGGCAUCCAGGUCCCGCUAUUGGCUAUUGACCGGAGACGUGUCUCGGUCAUGUCUACAUAGUUCUCGAACCCGUAGGGUCCGCACGCUUAAAGUUACGAUGAUAGUUUUAUUAUGAGUUUAUGUAUGUUGAUGUACCGAAGGAGUUCGGAGUCCCAGAUGAGAUCAGGGACAUGACGAGGAGUCUCGAAAUGGUCGAGACGUAAAGAUCGAUAUAUUGGACGACUAUAUUCGGACUUCGGAAAGGUUCCGAGUGAUUCGGGUAUUUUUCGGAGUACCGGAGAGUUACGGGAAUACGUAUUGGGCCUUAUUGGGCCAUACGGGAAAGAAGAAAAAGGGCCUCAAGGGUGGCCGCACCCCUCCCCUUGGUCUGGUCCGAAUUGGACUAGGGAAGGGGGGCGCCCCCUUCCUUCCUUCUCUUUUUCCCUUCCUCUUUUCCUAUUCCAUAUGGGAGGUGGAAUCCUACUAGGACUAGGCAGUCCUAGUAGGACUCCACACUUGGUGCGCCCCCUCCUAGGGCCGGCCUCCUCCUCCCUUGCUCCUUUAUAUACGGGGAAAGGGGGCACCCCAGAGACACAACAAUUGAUCCUUGAGAUCUUUUAGCCAUGUGCGGUGCCCCCCUCCACCAUAUUACACCUCGAUAAUACCGUUGCGGAGCUUAGGCGAAGCCCUGCGUCGGUAGAACAUCAUCAUCGUCACCAUGCCGUCGUGCUGACGAAACUCUCCCUCAACACUCGGCUGGAUCGGAGUUCGAGGGACGUCAUCGAGCUGAACGUGUGUAGAACUCGGAGGUGCCGUGCGUUCGGUACUUGAUCGGUCGGAUCGUGAAGACGUACGACUACAUCAACCGCGUUGUUAUAACGCUUCCGCUGUCGGUCUACGAAGGUACGUGGACAACACUCUCCCCUCUCGUUCCUAUGCAUCACCAUGAUCUUGCGUGUGCGUAGGACAUUUUUUGAAAUUACUACGUUCCCCAACAAUAUCAUAAUAGUAGCUCAGCUCAUAAAACUUCUCGUGAUAAAGUAACAAGCUAUUCACAUGUUAAAGUAUAGAUCAUAAACUUUCUUGAAAACUAACAAUCCGUGCUCUCAGUCAUCAAACAAUUUCAAUUCAUCUUAUUUUCAGGAAGGGUCUACGUAAGAGCUUUGAUUUAUCAAAUCCCACAUACUCAACUAUCAUAUAGUCUUCCAUGAUUUCUACCACUCAAAGCAUGUUUUUAGAACAAAUAGCAUCCAUCGAACACAGAGAAAGCUAGGGGCUUAAUGUUUCGCCUCCCAACUUAUUUAUCAUAUAGAUAAUUGUCAACAAUAAUAAUUCAUGAUCAAAUAUAUUUGAAUAGCCAUAUAUUAUUAGAUCUUUCUCCACCACAUGAUGCUUGCCAACUAAAAAGUAGGUUGGAAUGGGAAGGACUACUACUGACUCUUGCAUAAAAGUAAAAGAUAGGAUCUUCGCAGAGGGGAGCAGGGAUUUGCAGAGGUGCCAGAGCUCGAAGCAAAAACAGAGAUGAAAAUAAUUGUGAGAGGUAUGCUUUCAUUGUCAACAUAACAACCAAGAGUUUCCAAUAUCUUCCAUGCUAGAUACAUUAUAGGCGGUUCCCAAACAGAAAGGUAAACAUUUUACUCCCCCUCCACCAACAAUCACACUCCACGGCUUGUCCGAAACAACGGGUGUCGUCCAACUAUCAACAAUCCUUGGGGAGUUUUGUUUAAAUUAUUUGCGAAUUUUUUUUUGAUCUUUUGAUCAUAGGAAUGGGCAUCCCAGUUACCAGUCAUUUUCUUGUGAAUGAUGAGCGGAGUCCACUCAUCGUGAGAAUAACCCACCUAGCAUGGAAGAUACUGCCAGCCCCUAGUCGCUACAUGAGCGAUUCAGGCAUACAAAACAGAUUAUUAUUUGAAGGUUUAGAGUUUGGCACAUGCAAAUUUACUUGGAACGGCGGGUAAAUAUAUACCGCAUAUAGAUAGAUAUGGUGGACACUCAUGGAAGAAACUUGGUUCAAGGAAUUUGGAUGCACAAGCAGUAUUCCCGCUUAGUACGGAUAUUUUGGCUAGCAAAGGAUUCUAAAUAGCAAGCACCACAUGUUAGAGGAUCCAUAACAAUAUAACUUAUACAAAUAUGCCCAAACAUACCUCAUUAAGUUGUCUUCCUUGUCCAACUUCAACUAAUUUGAUCAAGUUUGAAAAUAAUUAAUGGGGCUCACAAUCAUAGAAGAUGUCCAAGAUAGUAUAUUUAUAUAUGAAAUCUCUCUUCCUUCAAUAUUCUUUCAUGAAUUGUUCAAGUGACCAAUACAAUGUUUGCUAACCUUCAAUAAAUUUAACACCUUUACUUCUUAUAUGUGAAGUCAUUACUCCCCAUGGGAUAAGCGUAUGAAGCAUAUAUAAUUUCAGAUUUAUGAUAUUCAACUCAUUCAACCAUUUACUCAUAGGAUAUAAGUGAAGCACACGAGUAAAUGACAAACUACUCUAAAAAGAUAUAAAUGAAGAUCAAUGAGUAGUUAAAUAAUUAUGUAGCUAUGUGAAGACUCUCUAUCAUUUAAGAAUUUAAGAUCUUGGGAUAUUAUUCAAACAGCAAGCAAAACAAAAUAAAAUAAAAUGACGCUCCAAGCAAAACACAUAUCAUGUGGUGAAUAAAAAUACAGCUCCAAGUAAAGUUACCAUUGAACGAAGACGAAAGAGUGGAUGCCAUCUGGGGCAUACCAAAGCUUAGGCUCUUGGUUGUCCUUGAAUAUUAACUUGGGGUGCCUUGGGCAACCCCAAGCUUAGGCUCUUGCCACUCCUUAUUCCAUAGUCCAUCGAAUCUUUACCCAAAACUUGAAAACUUCACAACACAAAACUCAUAAGCUCCGUCAGUAUAAGAAAAUAAAUAACCACUUUUGGUACUGUUGUGAACUCAUUAUAAAUUCAUAUUGGUGUAAUAUCUACUAUAUUCCAACUUCUCUAUGGUUCAUACCCUCCGUUACUACUCAUAGAUUCAUCAAAAUAAGCAAACAACACAUAGAAAACAGAAUCUGUCAAAAACAUAACAGUCUGUAGUAAUCUGUAACUCUCGAAUACUUCUGUAACUCCAAAAAUACUGACAAAUUAGGACAACCUGAGCAAUUUUUAUAUUAAUCUACUGCAAAAAGAAUUAGCAUUUUUCCACGUUCUGAUAAAAAAUAAGAAUUGUUUUCGUGGGCGCAUAAGUUUCUCUUUUUCAGCAGGAUUAAACAACUAUCACCCAAGAAGAUCCUAAAGGUCUACUUGGCACUUUAUUGAAACAAAAGCUAUAAAACAUGAUUGCUACAGUAUCUUAAUCAUGUGGACACAAAAAACAGUAGGGGUAAGUAUUGGGUUGUCUCCCAAUAAGCGCUUUUCUUUAAUGUCUUUCUAGCUAGGCAUGGUGAUUACAAUGAUGCUCACAUCAAAGAUAAGAAUUGAAACAUAAUGGGAGCAUCAUGAAGAAUAUGACUAGCACAUUUAAGUCUAACCCACUUCCUAUGCAUAGGGAUUUUGUGAGCAUACAAGUCAUGGGAACAAUAAUCAACUAGCAUAGGAAGGCAAAACAAGCAUAACCUCAAGAUUUUAAGCACGUAGAGAGGAAACUUGGUAUUAUUGCAAUUCCUACAAGCAUAUAUUCCUCCCUCAUAAUAAUUUUCAGUUGCAUCAUGAAUGAAUUCAACAAUAUAACCAUCACAUACAACAUUCUUUUCAUGAUCUACAAGCAUAGAAAAUUUACUAUUCUCCACAUAAGCACAAUUCUUCUCAUUCGGAAUAGUGGGAGUAUCAUAAGAAACUCGAAUACUAUAAAUUGUUUCCACAUUAAAAGAGUAAUGUUAAAAAAAAGGGUAAUCAUCAUGACAAGUUUUAUAAAUAUAAUCAUCACUACUUUUUAUAUCAUAAGUGUCAUCACAAUAAUCAUCGUAAGUAGCAAAUUUGUUCUCAUCAUAAUCAAUUCAAACCUCUUCCAAGAUAGUGGAAUCAUUACUAAAUAAAGUCAUGACCUCUCCAAAUCCAGUUUCAUAAUCAUCACAAUAAGAUUCAACAUCCUCCAAAAUUGUGGGACCAUUACUCCCUAAAGUUGACACUCUUCCAAACCCACUUUCAUCAAUAUAAUCAUCAUAAAUAGGAGGCAUGCUAUCAUCAUAAUAAAUUUGCAUAUCAAAACAUGGGCGGCUAAAAAUAUCAUCUUCAUUAAACAUAGCAUCCCCAAGCUUGGGACAAACAUUAAUUGCAGCAAAUAUAUUCUCAAAAAUAUCAUCUUCAUCAAGUAUGGCGAAGAAAUUUUAAAUUUUCAGCACAAACAUCUAGCCUUUCUUGCAACCAUUUAGUUUCCAAAUACUUAUGCCUCUUGCAAAAUCUAUUUUCCGUAAUUGGUGUGUACUUGUAAGCUCUAUGCACUCCACAGAAAUUCACAUGCUUAUAAGAAACAUUUUCAUCAUGACUAGUGCAAUCAUCAUUAGUACUAUGGAUAUUCAAAGAGUUCAUACUAACAACAUUGCAAUCAUGCUCAUCAUCCAAAGAUUUAGUGCCAAACCUCCUAAUGCAUUCUUCCUCUAGCAACUGAGCACAAUUAUCGGAAUCCUUAUUUUCAUGAAAGACAUUAAAAUGAUGAAGCAUAUGAGGCAUCCUCAAUUCCAUUUUUUUGUAGUUUUCUUUUAUAAAUUAAACUAGUGAUAAAACAAGAAACAAAAAGAUUCGAUUGCAAGAUCUAAAGAUAUACCUUCAAGCACUCGCCUCCCCGGCAACGGCGCCAAAAAACCGCUUGAUGUCUACUACACAACCUUCUUCUUGUAGACGUUGUUGGGCCUCCAAGUGCAGAGGUUUGUAGGACAGUAGCAAGUUUCCCUCAAGUGGAUGACCUAAGGUUUAUCAAUCCGUGGGAGGCGUAGGAUGAGAUGGUCUCUCUCAAACAACCCUGCAACCAAAUAGCAAAGAGUCUCUUGUGUCCCCAACACACCCAAUACAAUGGUAAAUUGAAUAGGUAUACUAGUUCGGCGAAGAGAUGGUGAUACAAGUGCAAUAUGGAUAGUAGAUAUAGGUUUUUGUAAUCUGAAAAUAUAAAAACAGCAAGGUAACUAAUGAUAAAAGUGAGCGUAAACGGUAUUGCAAUGCUAGGAAAUAAGGCCUAGGGUUCAUACUUUCACUAGUGCAAGUUCUCUCAACAAUAAUAACAUAAUUGGAUCAUAUAACUAUCCCUCAACAUGCAACAAAGAGUCACUCCAAAGUCACUAAUAGCGGAGAACAAACGAAGAGAUUAUGGUAGGGUACGAAACCACCUCAAAGUUAUCAUUUCUGAUCGAUCUAUUCAAGAGUCCGUAGUAAGAUAACAAGAAGCUAUUCUUUCCGUUCGAUCUAUCCUAGAGUUUGUACUAGAAUAACACCUUAAGACACAGAUCAACCAAAACCCUAAUGUCAACUAGAUACUCCAAUGUCACCUCAAGUAUCCGUGGGUAUGAUUAUACGAUAUGCAUCACACGAUCUCAGGUUCAUCUAUCCAAACCAACACAAAGUACUUCAAAGAGUGCCCCAAAGUUUCUACCGGAGAGUCAAGACAAAAACGUGUGCCAACCCCUAUGCAUAAGUUCACAAGGUCACUGAACCCGCUAGUUGAUCACCAAAACAUACAUCAAGUGAAUCACGUGAUAUCCCAUUGUCACCACAGACAAGCACAUGCAAGACAUACAUCAAGUGUUCUCAAAUCCUUAAAGACUCAAUCCGAUAAGAUAACUUCAAAGGGAAAACUCAAUCCAUUACAAGAGAUAGAGGGGAGAAACAUCAUAAGAUCCAAGUAUAAUAGCAAAGCUCGCGAUACAUCAAGAUCGUGCCACAUCAAGAACACGAGAGAGAGAGAGAGAUCAAACACAUAGCUACUGGGACAUACCCUCAGCCCCGAGGGUGAACUACUCCCUCCUCGUCAUGGAGGGCGCCGGGAUGAUGAAAUUGGCCACCGGUGAGGCUUCCCCUCCCCCGGCAGGCUGCCGGAACAGGGUCCCGAUUGGUUUUUGGUGGCUACAGAGGCUUGCGGCGACGGAACUCUCGAUCUAGGUUUCUUUCUGGAUGUUUCUGUAUAUAUAAGGGAUUUUGGCAUCGAGAACAAGUCAGGUGGGUCUCCGGGCUGUCCACGAGGCAGGGGGCGCGCCCAGGGGGUAGGGCGCGCCCCCACCCUCGUGGGCAGCCCGGGACUCUUCUGGCCCAACUCUUUUCUUCUGGGUGCUUCUUCUGGUCCAAAAACGAUCUCCGUAAAUUUUUAGGUCAAUUGGACUCCGUUUGGUUUUCCUUUUCUGCGAUAUUCAAAAACAAGGAAAAAACAGAAACUGGCACUGGGCUCUAGGUUAAUAUGUUAGUCCCAAAAAUCAUAUAAAAUAGUAUAUAAAUGUAUAUAAAACAUCCUAAAUGGAUAAUAUAAUAGCAUGAAUGCUUCAUAAAUUAUAGAUACGUUGGAGACGUAUCAGGGCGCAGUGGUGCUGGUGCUUGAAGCGGAGGAAAAACUGGUCGGGGUAGUGCUUGACGACCUCGACGUCGGUCUGUCGUGCACCCACGACCCGUGCCAACUCGGAGGCCACCUGCUGGUAGAUGUCAUGCCUUGCACCUUCGAGCCAGGCAACCGCCCGGUUGGUGGAGAGGAGGGCAGACUCGGCCUGCAUCUCGGGCGUCGCAGGGACGACGAUGUAGUCCUCCGUCGGACGGAUCGACGCGUCACCCAGGGGAGGGGUGGUUGGAGGCGGCAUCGCACGCAGAGGAGCUUCCCAGCCACGACCAGGACGAGGAGACGGAAUCUGGGUGGCAGCACUAGGCCGAGGAAAAGGGCGUGGGGGCACGCCAAUGCAGUCCAGCAGGCUUAAUGGCCUCCACUGGUUUCUACAGCUGUGUGAUUUAUGGCCGUUUUGAAGGCAGCGGGAGCACCGCAGCGGGUCACGGCAUGCCUCGACCAUAUGCCCGUAGUGGAGACUGUAGAAAAUAUGAAACCCUAGAAUUAUGCGUUGUUGUUGUAUUGAUCUGACCCUCAUAUGGGGUAUAUAUAGAAUAGAGUGGAAGACAAGUUACACGUGGUUUAAACUAAUUCUAUCUCUAUCUCCUUAUCUCUAACUUAAACCCAAUUAUAUUUCUAAUAUUCCCCCUCAGUCGUAGCGGGACUGAAGCGGACGAUUACGACUGAAUUUGAAGUCUUGCUCUUUUGUCGUCUUCUCCGCUGCGCCAUCAUCAACUGCGUCUCUGAUGGGUCAGCGGUUAGGGCGGUGACUGCGUCCCCUCCUGGUGCCUUCCUGCCUUCUCCUCUGUUCCCUCCCGCAGUCACAGUGGGAGUGUCGUGGACGCAAAACGAGGCAGACGCUGUUGACUGGAGUUGUUGCCCAUGAGUUGCUGUAGACGUAGCCAUUAAUGUCGAGGUAGCCGAUCAUGGUGAUGUAGCCGUGGUCGAGGUAGUCGUGGUCGAUGGUGUGGUCGUCGUGGAUGAUGAAGCCGCACAAAGCCCGAGCCGCCAAAAAAAUGCGCUAUGACGGAGCUGCAGACAUGGACGAUCCACCUUGCGGAUGUCAGAGGGUGCCGUCGGCGAUGAGUCCGCCGAUUUUGCCAAGACCGGAGGAAGCCCAUCGAGCACACAUCGGUUUUGCCAGAACCGUGUGGCGGUGUAGGGUCAUCACUGUAGUGACGCCGUGUCGAUGCAGUUAUGCCGUCGUGGAUGACGCGGUCGAUGCCGUCGCCGUGACGCGGUCAUUGCCGUCGUCGAGGUUGCGUCUUGCAGAAAAGUCUUUCAGAGGACGUUAGGUGUCCAUCUUGUGGACGAGGCGGCGGCGGCGUGUUGACGAAGAUGUUGAUGAAGACCACGGUGAUGAAGACCUUGAUGAUGAAGUAUCGGCGAUGGCGUUGCAGCGGUGUGUCGGCGAUGAUGCGUCACUUGAAGGCGUCCCUCCAUGACGACGAAGUGUCGACGCCCUGUCAUGCCGAAGAAGUAUGUUGCUCGUAACCUGGCGUAGUCGUACAGCUCAGUGCAGGGAUUCAACUCGCUGAAGAAUAUCUGGUGCAGAUCAUGGUGAUGUCGUCAUGCUCGGUGCAGGUACAGAUUGGCGGCGUAGGUUAAUGCAGGAGGUGAUGUAGCUCGAUGGCUUUGUGCAUAUGCAGAUCGGUCGAUGUAGAUGAUGGUGUCGCGGGCGUCGUAGUUGGCUAGCAGAAAACUGCUCUCCCGUGAACACAGACGUGUGUCGUCCGUGCGCUGGAGACCGGUUGGAGCUGCAGCGAAGAGAUUGCAUCUGGCCGACGAGCCAAAGCAGUAAUUAGCAUGGAUGGAAUAACCUGCGUGCAAACAUGUAAUCUCCUGAUCUUCUCGGGUCCACGUCCAUUGGUGGAUGGGUUUGCACGCGGUUUUUGCCUGCCCCGGUCGAAGUCGACGUGCGGCUGGGCUAGAAGGAGCCCUGUGCCGCGCGCGGCGUCGCCUCAUUGAAGCCGGCUGCUCCAGCGCCUGGUCUCGGCGCGUGGCUGCUCUGGAAACACACCGUCGUACCCACGGUGAGCCGCCAAGAAGCUCCGUGAUUCUGGCCUGCUCGACGACGCUCACAAGAUCGGAUCGAGGAAGACUCGGGCGGUCGAACGGCUCGUGGCUGCUUGUACAGCUUGGCGAUGCAUCGUCCGAGUGGAGGUAGGUUGGCGGUGCAGCCACCGCACCGAUCUGCUGGAUUUUCUUCACCAAAUGGGAUCAAUCUAAUAAGAAUUUAUUUGGCCAAUGGAAAGAAAUCAAUCUAAUAUAAUUUGGUCUACCAGAAAUUCAAAAUUUGAAGAAUUGAUUCUAAACUACUCUAAAGAACCAAUCUAAUCUUUGAUCAGAUCGGGUGCCGCGCCCCUGGGGAGAGUAAAUUAAUCUCCCGAGGGCGGCGUGCUACGAAAGUGGUGGAAGGUUUUAGGAUUGACGUCGUGAGACUAAUCGCUCUAAUACCAUGUAGAAAAUAUGAAACCCUAGAAUUAUCUGUCGUUGUUGUAUUGAUUUGACCCUGGUAUGGGGUAUAUAUAGAAUAUAUGGUGGGAUAAAGUCUUGGAAUACAAGACAAGUUACACGUGGUUUAAACUAAUUCUAUCUCUAUCUUCUUAUCUCUAAUUUAAAGCCAAUUAUAUUUCUAACAGAGACACCUACAACACCGGCCCAGGAGCCAUCGAGGGAUGGGCGAUGGCUUGAAUGCAGGGGCGAGCUGAGCAGGAACGCACGGGCCUUUACGCGACGCGACGAGCAGCCAGCCGCCGCUCACCUCAGCCUCGCGCCCCGCGCCGGAACGCAACGCCGGCAUUGAAGACGCACCAGCCGUAGCAAGGAUGAAGGAGCCCAGCUGCCCCGCACCCGCGCAGUUAAGGCCUCCACCAGCCAACACUUGAAGGCGCGGAGCAGGCACAGCAGGGGCGUCAGGCGCCGACCAAGCCGCCACCCGGCCCGAAGGCGCCGCAUGCAGCUGCAUGUCGGGGACGAACUCCACGGAGGCAACGGAUGCUUCGAGGCCGCCCCGCAGCAAAUAUGGAUCUGGCAACGGCAGGGUGUGGACGAACGCGGGGCGGUGGGAGGUCUCUGCAGCAGCUCGACCACAUGAGCAGGUCGACCGACAGGCGGCGCGGGCAGGGGCAUGAACCAGGAUGCAAAUCCAUGGUCAGCGCAUGGAACCACGGCCGCCGCCGGCGGCGCGUCAGGACGGUCGCAGGUGGGGAACGCGUGGUUGGGCAUAUGAGUCUUGUCCUCAUAUACGAUUAUACAUAUAUUUUGAUUGAAGUACUAAUAGAAAUAUCUCCUUUUUACAUGAAAUUUUACAAAAAACACUAGUCUAAAUUAUUACUCCAAAGAAGUCCUCAGUGCUCAAAGUUACACCAAGUGUACGGCAAGACAUCGGAUUUUCCUUCUCGUCCUACGCACCCCGCCAUGUUCUUGCACAAUGUUUAAUUUAUCCUUUGGUCCGGCUUAUUAUCAUCGCACCUCCAUUGCAGAAGUCUGUUUUAGUAGGGAGAAGCAGUCAGGCCAAGGUGAGGUUUAUAGGAUAGGAGCUAGCUGUGAGAAACUGCACAAAUUUGCGGUGCCCUUUAUAUUUGUAAGUUCCCCAUGCCACCUACUCUUAUAUGCUUCCAAACUAUAGAAACAUGCAUCCUGGUACUCCUAUCUGAUUUCAAUAUCUCCUACGGGCUGGUAUUUUGAAGACUAGAAAGUCGAUGUAUGUUGGUCUUUUAACUCCGCCAAAGAAAAUUGGUCUUGGAACACCUUGUAGUACUUCCUUCGUUUGUAAAUAUAUGUCUUUUUAAAGAUUUUAAUAUUAACUAUAUAAAGAGCAAAAUAAGUGAAUUUAUACUUUAAAAAUAUAUAUAUAUGUAUUGAUACGUAGUUCCUAUUAGAAUCUUCAAAAAGACUUAUAUUUAGAAACGAAGGAAGUACGAGGUGUGUGUGAAAAUAGAGAAGGAAAAUGGCACAUUUUGAAGACGUGGGUACCAGAGGUUAGCUGUUGUCCCAUUUAUGAUGCUAGCGCUAUUAUGCACAUCUACGUCGUGGCACAUUAAUUUGGUCCAUGCUUGCACAGUGCUCUUGCCGACGAUUUCAGGAACUCGAUCUGCCGACUAAAACAACGUGGGUGCGUCUAGAAACUUAGGGAAGAAUUAAGGAGCUGGUAGCACUGAAAUUUUUGUUACUACAUAUUUUUCAAUCAGGCAGUGCAGUCCAGGGCAGUUCUUACGAACCAAAUGCACCGACAGAUUGGUAUAGUUCAGCGGUCAAGCUCACCAAAUUAAUCAACCCAACGACUCAAGGUCGAUCAUUGUAAGAGUAUAUAUUGUUAUCAAUCUGCCCUGCACCACCGCGUCUUCAGCGUCGACCCUCAAACCUUCCGCAUCAAUCUGGACCAUGAAAGUCAUUCAACGCGCGCGUGAUUUCUCUCACAAGCCGGGCACAAACAUGGAGAUGUUUGCGGGAGUCUGGACUACUGUCACACCCACUUCAGACCGCCCUAGCCCACAAAACCCCCAACUCCUUCCGUGUGUUUUCGGUCAACCCCGCUCCAGAGCGUCAGCGCAUUCAUGCCCAGCCAGAACGGACGUGACCACUAACUAGUGCCGGCAUUGAAGCGGCGCGCCGGCCGAGAGAGCGCCGCCCGUGCCGCUUCCCGGUGUAGCCGACUGCAGCGCAUUCAAACAACAUGACGGCCGCCCGUCCGUUCGUCUACUGCCCACAUUGAUGGCACAUGGUUGCCGAGGCGUCUCCUCCGACGCUACCCGUCCGUCCCUUCGUGGCCCACCAUUGCUAUUAAAACCGGUGCCCCGGCCAUAGCCGCAAUCAUCCAAAUCUGAUCCCUGUCGACACCACGACCAUUGAUCCCUCCCCCGCCAAAGCUCUCUUGGAAGGGCUGACGUCGGACCAGAAGAAGGAGAUGGCUGUUGUCGUAGAUUUAACAAGGCAGAUGCCCUAGCCAAAGGACUUAGGUGUGGAGCCAUCACAGCUAGGUUAGCUUGAAGGGGUUAAACGGGACAAAGGACACAAAGAGUUUAACCAGGUUAGGCCCCUCUCAACAAGGUAAAAGCCUACUCCUGCUUUAGGUUGUAUUGCUUGGGUUUCGAUUACCAGGGAGCGAAUACGCUUGACCUAGUUCUCGAUGAGUUGUUUCUUGAGUUAACCCACCGCCGGGUCACCCCAUUAUAUACAGGUUGAUGCCCGGCGGCUUACAGAGUCCGGCCGGCUCACACAAACGUGACCGGUUCGGUUUCUACUAAGCUUGUCUUACAAUACAAGAUAAACAUAUGGCGGCGCAUCUCUUUGGGCCCUAAGUCGCCUCGGGGUCUUGGGCCUUCAGUAAGCCUGCUUCAUGAACCGCCAUCUUCUCGUCCUCUGAGGCCUCGUCGGGCUUCUUCAUCGCUCAGCCGCUAGCAGCGUGACCCGGCUCCUCCUGGGCGGGUUAUAUUCAAUUGUCAUAUCCCCAACAUUAGGCCCCAGGUUGAUUUCAAUUUGUUCACAUCAAUCUUCUCCUUCCGACUUAACGAAUCUUCCAUUUUCAAUUCUUCAUUAAUUCUCUAUAACCCGCCAUGAUGUGGCCUCACAGAAACAUGGUAACCCGCCAUGACGUCAUCACGUAUUUAACUUUGAACAGAACCCAUGAUAUCUCAACGGAUCUUUAUCUUAAUGGACCUCCCAAAAAUCGAGGCGCCGCAUAGCCAUAUGAUGAUUUUUCAGCUUCCUCGAUUCCCGCGCAUGCCAUUUAACCACUUCCUUAUAAAUAGGGACGGGGGUCCCUGUUUUCCCUUUUCACCCUUGCCCCCUCGUCUUCAUCUUCCUCCUCACGACGCCUCCGCAGACCCGAGCUCCCCCGCCGUCGACCUCCGUCACCUGCGUUAACUCCGGCCGCUGCAUCAACCUGAACGAACCAGAGAACUACGACGCGUCUCCGCUAUUCCACAACAUCAGUGAGUGCCCCUUUCCUCCCGCAGCAGAUAUGCUUUAGGGUUUUCACCGUUCGUCGGUGUUCUUCAUCGUUCCUCAUUUCCUUCUUUAGAUCGUGAAGUUCGAUCUAAGUACGGUAGCAAUGUUGUGCGGUAGCAGUUAGCAUCCUUUUUCAAUCGAAGAAGAUCCUCCCUCUGUACAAAAAUCUGAUCUAAGCAUAUGAGUUGUUCUGCUGCCGCCACCUUAGGUCUAGAUUUUAUUUCUUUUUCUGCACUACUGGAGAUCCAAAAUCAUAGCACCAAUCUAUGGGAUCUGUUUUUCGAAGACUUAGCAAAUCCUCAAUUACAAAUCUGAAAUAUGGCAACUGUUCAGGCGGCUUAUAUGAUAAAUCGUAACCCGCCAUAUAGCAUUAGUCCCCUUGUUAAACCACCAGUAUCUGUACACAAUCCGUAUAACCCGGCAUUGUCUUCUGGUUUAACCAUGUUAACCUUUAUAGCGCUUAUCCUUCUGCGUAAGAACUGGCCUUGCAUAACAUACUUACUGCUUGAUCAUAGGCCGGCUUAAUAGCAUAAUCUUAAACCGAUACUAUCUUCCUUUGUAGGUUUUCAUCAACAAUGACCAAAACUAUAACCUCAUGCAAUUGGGUCGCCUCCCGGGUCACCGAGGAAACAUUGCACGAACAUGUGCAAGUGGGCGCCUUAGCCGCAAAAGAUAUCAUUCACUGGAGGGCCCCAGGAAAAUAAACCAUCCCUAAACCAAAAGAGGGCGAAGUCAUUGUCUUUACUGAUCAUAUGCUCCGGGGUUUUACCCCACCCGACUCAAGAAACUUUCGUGACAUGUUGCACUUCUUCAAACUCCAUCCUCAAGACAUCGGGCCUAAUUCCGUCUCAAACAUUUGUAAUUUUGAAGUGUUUUGUGAAGUAUACCUUCAACAGGAGCCCACUGUAGAGCUGUUCAUGGAAUUCUAUUAUUUGAACCGGCAGACCAAGUUUACGGAUGGGCCCCAGCCUAGAGGUAGAUGACAUUUUGAUUCAGAGGCAGAGAGAAGCUACCUUUCUCGCUGCCAAGCUUCCCAGUCAUCCAAAAGACUGGAAUCAGACGUGGUUCUACAAUUAAGAUACAUCUCCAGAGGGUGAAAAUCCCUUGCCGGGUUUCCGUAAAAACCGGCUUAGCAACAGGCACCACCUCCCGGAACGGAUCAGCACAAGCGAACGGGCCAAAUAUAUGCCCAUUUUUUUCAAAGAUUGGAGCUUUAAUGGCUAAUGGUUUGAGUGGCAUCGAUUUGGUUUGACGCUGGGUCGCAUGGAGAAUUCUGCCCUUAAGCCACCGAUCCGACUUAAUGUGCGAGUACACUGGAGAUGUCAAAGAUCCCCAACGCCACUACCAGAUAGAGCUAACUGAUGGAGACAUCACUGACAUGACCAAGUCCCUGUUGAACGAGAGCUUGGCAGAUUGCAGCAAAACAGGGUUGAAUCCUUUCUGUGUUCUCAACAAGCGGCCAACUUUAAGUAUUUAAACCAUUUCCAACUUAGUCAUCUUUCCCUUGAAUUAUUUUCUUAGUCAUGUGAUUGUUGCAGGUCGACUCUUCUUUCUGGAAGAAGAAACUUCAGGACAAACUGGCGUAGAAGACCCGGACAAAGAAUAAGGCUCCUAAAAAGCCUGCCAAGAAGAAGACCAGCCCCUCUAAGUUAUUUGACUUGGAUGAUGAUGAUGAGUCCGAGGUAGAACUUGACUCCCUUGGCUAAUUUUCUGUACAUCUUAUUGACAAUUAUCACUAUGAGGAUGAUGCGGAGGCCAGCCGUGCAGACGAUGAAGAGGUAAUUACUCUCUCCUCUGGCUGAGAACAUUUGCCAAGACAGGAAGUUUGACAAGCGAGACGAAAAGUAAGGUUUUCUCACCCUUUAGCUUAUCUGGAUCCCCACUUUAUUUUGAAGAAGCAACAACACGAGGCUCGCCGCACGACCAGGAACACCGGAGGUGGAGAGCUUUCCUCCGGUUUACCCAACACGUCAGUUAUUCGCAAGCGCAGAGCUCAGGUUCACAAAUUUCUGACUUAGCUUUUCCAAAAGUGGGUCUUAUUCGACAACCUCUUAACCCUUUCGAUUCAAACUAUCAGGGAACUUCCCACUCAUCAUCUCGCGAUUCCACUAGAACUCAGGUCCCCUUCUUCAAAGUCACCCGUGGGUGAGAAUCAUUGAAUUUGUUUGUCUUUAUGCUCUGUAUACUUUAUCAUUCUCAUAUCCUUAUGCAUUUUAAUUUCAGUGAUAUGGCCAAACCCACCAAGAGGCUGAAGGUUAAUAAACUGGUCGAAGAUCCCAAGUUUGAUGACUCAGAGAAACAGACAAUGUCUGAGUCUUUGCAUUAGACUUCAGAAGCAGCCAUGGAUGAACCGCCGCCAGAGGAGCAACCUAUCACCAUGGACUCCAGGAAUGUUGACUCGGAAAAUGCUAAGACGCCCUGUCCCGCUCAACCGGCUCAAGAAACUGAAGAUGUAAUAGUUACUGGGACGGCUUAUACAGCUCCAAGCAACCCCACCAUCUUAUCCAAGCACAGCGCCAAAGAAGAAAUUUUAGCUGUUGAUAAGGGCAAGUGGAAAUUGGACAUGGAAAGCUAUGCCCAGUUCAGUGGUCAGGAGAUUCAUUCAGGCUAUCUAAACCGCCUUCAUACCAGCUGUGACUUUGAGGCCCGCCUGGUCAACCUCAUGAAGGAGCAUUUUGAGGUAAUCACUACAAUAUUUUCCAUAUAAGUAUAUCUUUGCCAGCCGCCAAGUCUACUGGAUAUGAUAGAAUUGAAUAUGAUGUAGACUUUAGAUAGCCUCUUCAAUCUCGUCAUAGCAUGAUGUAGUUGCAGAAUCAAAACGAGUAGCCCCCAAGGGCUGGCUUAAGCUGCAUAGCUGAAACCGGGACUUCAAAUUGUAGUUCUUAACUUCGCUUAUGUAGAUCCCAAGUGCCGGCUGAAACUGACAAAUUAAACCGGGACUUAAAAUAGUAGUGCUCAAUUUCGCACAUGUAGCCCCCACGGGCCGGCUUAAUCAGCAUGUCUAAGCCGGGACUUGUCACCAUAAUUAUGAAUAAGAUCCAAAUAUGUAUUGUGCUUGGGACUGCAAAUAAAGUGAUUAUCAUAACCAUAUAUUGCUGCUGACUCGCCUUAUCUUGUAGGUUGAAUUGAAUAUGAAAGAAACCCAGGUGGUGGAUCUGAGGCAAAAUAUCCAGUCCCAACAAGCAGAAACUUCAAAGGCCAAGUCAGAACUGACAACCGCCUUAGAAAAUAUUGAGAAGUUGAAGAAAGAUUUUAGCACUGAGAGAACUAGCUGGGACACCGAGAAAGCAACUCUAUUGAAAAAAGUAGAAGAUUUCGAAGCUGUCCUUAAACCAGUAACCGACGAGUUGUCCGGUUUAAAGUAUCAAAUCAACAACAUGACAUUGGCCAUCUUUGGUAAGUAAUAUUUUAAUUUAAUCUUGCAUCAUCAAUGUUGAAAAACCAUUGAGUCGGUUUAUAAAUAUCUUUAGUAAUGCAGGCUCCAAAAGCUCCAAGCUGGGUCAAGACAUGUGCAUAAGUCUUAAAGCUGUAUAUACCCUUGUGGUGCAACUGUACACUGGUGCUGAACGGGUUAUUUCUGCCACCUCCCAUAAGAAGCAACCACCUUCCCUCAUCAAGGAAGUGUUUGAGAAGUUGUCUGUGCUGCCACAGAGAGUUGAAGAAUUAAAGCAAUCAGCCGCCAGAGCCAAUGCCAUCACCGCACUGACCCGGAAGAGCUAGCCACUGGUUGCCCUAGCUUAAAAGAAGAUGGGUCUCCCUUCAGCACCGACGACUUCAGCAAUAUAGUGAGGGAGAUGCGUCCGUUGGCAAGCAAAUUGGCUGAGGAAACUGAUCUCUCCAAGUAUCAUCCGGUUUAUGAUGUUGAAAAUGCAAAAGUGAAGGCGCCGGUUCAUGAGGCCAUGGACCUUAUCCCGCCAACACGUAAGCAUACCUUCACUCCUGAUAUUGACCCGUCAAGCCUUAUAGAUGAUGAAGUUGUAUUUAGAGCUUUGACUAGGAUCAACCGGGCCACAUCCGACUUCCAGCCAACGGGUGAACAAGAAGAAGAAAAACUGGUGCAGGAUGAACCGGAACCUUCAACAUGCCAAGAUCAGGGUCACUGAUGCACGACCCGGCUCUCAGUCUUCCAUAUAGAAGUUGUGCGCACCAAAAACACUUAUUCUUUUGGGCCACAUGACGCCUUGUAAUAGGCUAGUUGAAAACAAUGAUCUGCCAUGCCAUCAUGCAUGUUUAUCUUCAUAACACUUCAAACCGCCAAUCUUGAUAUGGGAAGAUCGACCGUUUUUGCUCAUAAUAUUAUCAGUCAUCCAGGUCAUAUUCAUCAUAUUCCCUGCAUAUAAGUAGAUAACAUGUGCCCUGGCGGUUUACCCCAGGGCGGGUCAUGAUGUCCUAUAAAAAUCGCUGGUGACUAUAUAGUCCUUAACGAAGGCGGGUUAUCAAAACCUCACAUAUUCAUAUACCAAAUAAAUAACAUACCUGUGAAGUUUACUCAUACUGCCGACUUAUAGCACAAUAUGCAGUCAGGGUAACAACCCAAAGACUUAGAGCGUAGAACUUGAAGUGCUGAAUCCAGGCAUGAUGGCAACUUAUCGUCCAAAGCUAGGCCGGGUUUAUCAAAACCUCAGAUAUACUCAAAUAUGAGUCAUGAGGAUUAAGGGUACAUGGCCUAAAUCAGUUUUGUACCAUACGUAAAGAUGGCACAAAGACAUGAACCCAAACAAAAUUCAAAACAAAUAGCAAAUCAGGUAAAAACAAGGCCUUCAUAGGCUGCCAAGCCUCAAUAUCAAGUGUUGUUCAAGGGCCACACAACCACUGAGUUAAUCCUUUAUUAAAACAUGUAAGACGGGCCUUACAUGACCAACCGCCAUUGUAACUUUGACAAGUUGAGGGUCUUUGUAAGAUUAACUAUCAAGAGUACGCGUGCCAUUCCAGGAUUACCUGGUCGGAGUGGCAGACAUACAAAGGCAGGAUAGCCCAGAGUUUUGGUGAAUACACCUGGCGUCCAAGCCGAUCAAAAGGGUAAAUAUAGCUAUGUUAAUUGAAUAGGAAGCCCCCAAGUGACCUUAAACAAGCCACCAAGGCAGGUGACGUAUGUUUGAACUGAUCAUUGUAACAAGUUCUCUUUGGUAACCUUAUAACUUGGGCAGAAAAGCCCCCAAGUCGUUUGUAACAAGGCGUAGAAGGCAGAUCAAAGGGUAGUCAUAGCUAUGCUCAGUGAGCAGGAAGCCCCCAUGUUAUUUGUAACAAGGCAUGCAAGCCGGAUCAAGAGGGUAGUCAUAGCUAUGCUCACUGAGCAGGAAGCCCCCAAGUGAUCUUAUGAAUUGAUAAUAAAGACUCAGUUACUCAGAAAUGAAACGACAAAGGCCCUGAAUUAUCAGGGAUGCCGGCUUUAUUAUACUACUCAUAAUAUAUACAUUGGUAGGAAUAUGUACAUCACAAGAGUCGCUGGCUCAGGUGUAAUAAGGCCGGAGAUGAGCAAUGUUCCACGGCCGGUGGGUCUCCUCCUCCGAUGUGCUUGAGUCCUUGUGGUCUCGAACAUCAAUGAGGUAGUACGAUCCGUUGUUCAGAUUUUUGCUGACCAUAAAAGGCCCUUCCCAAGGUGGGGAUAACUUAUGCAUAUCUGUUUGAUCCUGGAUGAGCCAGAGCACCAGGUCACCUUCUUGAAAGGUUCGGGUUUUAACCUGGCGACUAUGAUAUCAACGCAGAUCUUGCUGGUGGAUUGCUGAACGAGCCGCCGCAAGGUCACGCUCCUCAUCCAGGAGGUCAAGAGCAUCCUGAUGUGCCUUUUCAUUAUCAGCUUCAACAUAAGCCGCCAUGCGGGGCGAAUCAUGACGGAUGUCACUGGGAAGAACCGACUUUGCUCUGUAAACCAUGAAGAAAGGCAUAUAACCCGUGGAUUUGUUGGGGGUAGUAUUGAUACUCCAAAGCACUGAAGGUAACUCCUCAACCCAACAACCCGGCAUCCUCUGCAAAGGGACCAUAAGCUGGGGUUUGAUGCCUCUCAAGAUUUCUUGAUUAGCUCUUUCAGCUUGAGCAUUGGACUAGGGGUAGGCCACAGAUGAAACAUCAAGACGAAUAUGUUCACGUUGACAAAAUUCUUUCAUAGCACCUUUAGACAGAUUAGUGCCAUUAUCAGUUAUGAUGCUGUGAGGGUAACCAAAACGGAAAAUCACCUUUUUGAUGAAUUGAACCGUCGUUGCCGCGUCACACUUGCUGACCGGCUCUGCCUCAACCCACUUUGUAAACUUGUCAACUGCCACCAAGAGUUUAGUCUUUUUGUCCUUGGAUAUUUUAAAAGGCCCAACCAUAUCCAGCCCCCAGACUGCAAACGGCCAAGUAAUUGGAAUCAUCCUCAAUUCUUGAGGCGGCACAUGAUCUCGCCUGGAAAAUUUCUGACAGCCACCACAUUUGCUAACCAGAUCCUUUGCAUCAGCAUGAGCAUCAGCCAAUAAAACCCAUGACAAAAAGCUUUAGCCAGGAGAGACUUAGAACCGGCAUGAUGGCCACAAUCUCCUUCAUGAAUCUCUCAUAGAAUCUCACGGCCCUCCUCAGGAGAUAUACAACGCUGAAACACCCUUGUGACACUGCAUCGGUGCAACUCGCCCUUGAGAAUAAUCAUUGACUUAGAUCGCCGGGUUAUCUGUCUAGCCAAAGUUUCAUCUUCAGGUAACUCACCCCGGAUCAUAUAAGCCAAAUACGGGACUGUCCAAUCAGGAAUAACAUGGACAGCUGCCACCAACUGUGCCUCAGGGUCAGGGAUAGCAAGAUCCUCCUCCGUAGGCAAUUUAACUGAAGGGUAUUUCAAAAUAUCAAGGAAAACAUUAGGGGGUACCGGCUUACGCUGGGAUCCCAACCGGCUUAAAGCAUAAGCCGCCUCAUUUUUCCUGCGAUCAACAUGUUCCACUUGAUAACCCUUGAAAUGACCAGCAAUAGCAUCAACCUCUCGGCGAUAAGCCGCCAUGAGUGGGUCCUUGGAAUCCCAAGUUCCUAAAACUUGUUGAGCCACCAAAUUUGAGUCGCCAAAGCCCCUUACCCGUCUUAAAUUCAUCUCUUUACCCAUCCGAAGACCAUGGAGCAAGGCCUCAUACUCAGCUGCAUUGUUAGUACAAAGGAACUUCAACCUUGAAACAUAACAUAAUUUAUCACCUCGUGGGGAAGUCUAAAUAACUCCAGCCCCCGAGCCUUCCAACUGCCUAUACCCAUCAAAAUGAAUAGUCCAAUAUGUGUUAUCAGGCUUUUCCUCGUGCAUCUGCAACUCUGUCCAAUCAUUGAUAAAAUCCACCAGUGCUUGAGACUUUAUGGCUGUCCGAGGCAUAUAUUUCAAACCAUGGGGUCCAAGCUCAAUGGCCCACUUGGCCACCCGGCCUGUGGCUUCUCUGUUUUGAAUAAUACCCCCUAAGGGAUUAGAACUAACCACAGUGAUGGGAUGACCAAGAAAAUACUGUUUCAACUUACGGCUAGCCAUGAACACGCCAUAAACCAGCGUCUGCCAAUGUGGGUAUCACUACUUGGAUUCAAUGAGUACCUCACUGACAUAGUAAACCGGCCUCUGAACCGGGAAUUCUUUGCCUAACUCAUUUCUUUCCAAAACAACCGCUACACUGACGGCUCUACUAUUAGCAGCCACAUAUAACAACAAGGGAUCCUUAUCAAUGGGAGCUGCAAGGAUUGGCGGCUCAACCAACUCCUUAUUCAGUGCCUCAAAAGCUUGAUUAGUAGCAUCACUCCAUACAAAGUGAUCUUUUUUCUUCAUCAUCUGGUAUAAAGGAAUAGCCUUCUCUCUUAGGCGGCUUAUAAACCGGCUCAAAGCCGCAAUACGACCUGCCAAUCUAUGGACGUCAUUGAUACACGCCAGCUUAGGCAAAGAAGCGAUAGCCCUUAUUUUCUCCGGGUUAGACUCAAUGCCUCUCUCCGAAACCAAAAAAACCCAACAACUUCCCGGCUGGCACACCGAAAACACACUUGGCCAGGUUAAGCAUCAUUUUGUAGACCCGGAGGUUGUCAAAGGUCUCUUUCAAAUCAUCUAGCAAGGUCUCUUUCUUCCUUGAUUUCACAACUACGUCGUCCACAUAAGCAUGAACAUUGCGCCCAAUUUGGUUGUGGAGGCAAUUCUGAACACAACGCUGAUAAGUCGCCUGGGCACUCUUGAGCCCAAAAGGCAUAGAUACAUAGCAGAAGGCUCCAAAGGGAGUGAUGAAGGUUGUCUUCUCCUGGUCCUUAACUGCAUUUUGAUCUGAUGAUACCCAGAAUAAGCAUCCAGAAAACUCAAACGUUCACAACCCGCCGUAGCAUCAAUGAUCUGAUCAAUACGAGGGAGAGCAAAAGGAUCAGCCGGACAGGCCUUGUUAAGGUAUGUAUAAUCCACACACAUACGCCAAGUGUCGUUAUUCUUAAGUACCAGCACCGGGUUAGCCAACCAGUCAGGAUGAAACACUUGAAUAAUAAAACCAGCCGCCAAGAGCCAGGCUACUUCUUUACCAAUGGCCUUGCGCCUUUCUUCAUUAAAACAUCGAAGGAAUUGCUUGACCGGUUGAAACAUUGCAUCCACAUUCAGAGUGUGCUCAUCGAGCUCCCUCGGUACACCUGGCAUGUCUGAAGGCUUCCAUCCAAAGAUGUCCCGGUUCUCACGGAUGAACUCGAUGAGUGUGCUUUCCUAUUUCGGAUCCAUAUUGGUGCUGAUGAUGAACUGUUUGGAUGAGUCGCCAGGAACAAACUCAACCUGCUUAGUGUCAUCAUCCGACUUAAACUUCAACAAAGGAUCAUGCUCCGUGGUUGGCUUUUUCAAGGGUGUCAUAUCAGCCGGAUCAACAUUAUCUUUGUAGAACUUCAACUCCUCUGUUGCACAAAUAGACUCAGCAUAGGCAGCAUCAUCCCCUUCACACUCCAAAGCUAUCUUCCUGUUGCCAUGUACCGUGAUGGUACCCUUUCGACCUGGCAUUUUAAGCUGUAGGUAAACAUAACAAGGCUGUGCCAUAAAUUUAGCAUAAACCGGCCGUCCAAACAAAGCGUGAUAAGGGCUCUUGAUCUUGACCACCUCAAAGGUCAAUGUUUCAGUUCUGUAAUCAUGGUCAUCACCAAAUGCCACUUCCAAAGCUAUCUUACCUACAGGAUACGCCGACUUACCAGGCACCGCCCCGUUAAAAACAGUAGAAGACGGCUUAAGAUCUUUGUCAGUCAAAUUCAUACGUCGAAAAGUAUCAUAGUAAAGGAUAUUGAUAUUGCUGCCACCAUCCAUGAGCACCUUUGUAAACUUGUAUCCUCCAACCUAAGGGGCAACCACCAAAGCCAAUUGACCCAGAAUGUCGACCCGGGGCGGGUGAUCUUCAUGGCUCCAUACAACAGGCUGCUCGAACCAUCGCAAGUAUCGAGGGACUGCCAGCUCAACCGGGUUUACUGCCUGUUUAUGAAUCUGCUGGUCUCGUUUACAUAAACUUGUGGUAACACAUGAUAUUGACCAUUAUUCAGCUGCUUUGGAUUACUUUGAUAACUGGACUGCUACUGUUUAUUUCCUUGACUAGAUUUCUGACUAAAAUCACCUUGGUUACCUUGUCCCUGAAAACCGGAGCUUGAGCCGCCACCUCCAAAGCCAGGUCUGUGACAGUCGGAUCCGGACCCGCCAUGUGGGCCAUGAUUGUUCUGGAAAAAACUGGAAUUUCUAUACUCUGUCAUGAUGAAGCAAUCUUUCCAUAGAUGACUAGUCGGCUUCUCUUGCGUAUCGUGCUUUGGGCAAGGUUGAUUCAUCAUCGCCUCAAGGUUGAACUUUGGCCCGCCAAACAGGGGCACUGAUGACUUCCCCUUAUGACGCUGAUUACUAUUCUGUGUAUUGGUGUUAGCCACAAAAUUUGAACCGCCGUCGGCUUUGCGCUUACCCUUGUUACCUUGACCCGUCGUAUUGUGCUGCUGCCCCUUGGCAUCGCCAUUCUUCUUUCCCUUGCCAGCCUUCUCCUCAUCAGGCUCAGGGUCCUUAGUACUAUCAGAGUCGACAUAUUUGACGAGAGACGCCAUGAGCUCUCCCAUAUCGUUGUAGUGGCGCUUAAGACGCCCCAGUUUCUUCUUAAGGGGAAGGAACCGGUAAUUCUAUCCCAACAUCGGGACAACUGAACCGGCGUUGAUAUUGUCCGAUGAGUGGAUAACGGCCGAAAUCCGACACACCCAAUUGGUUUUCGAUUCGCCCUCACCCUAGACACAAGAGUCUAAAUCGAGAAUCAACAUAGGUUGCUUGCUCGUGUCUUUGAAAUUCUGGAUAAAACCAGUUUUCAAUUCAGCCCAUGAUAUGAUGGAAUUAGGGGGCAAUCCUUUUAGCCAGGUAUGUGCCGUCCCAUCCAACAUCAUGGUGAAAUAUUUAGCGCACGCAGCAUCACUGACGUCCAACAUCUCCAUGGUCAUCUCAUAACUCUCAAUCCAGGCCUCCGGGGGCUGAUCAGGCACCUUGCGGGGGCCUUUAAAAUCCUCGGGCAAGCGCUCAUUACAUAGAGCCGGCACUAAACAUGGCACACCAAGGGUUCUAGAGGUCACUCCUGCCUCUAGAGACGCCGAUGGGUAAGCUGGAGAUUGUUGAUGGGCCGCCAACUGAGCCGCUAGCGCAGCCGCCCGACGUGCCCUGCCCUGAUCCACCAAAGCCUGAGCUUCGUUACCAGAACGUGGCGCGUCAUGCCUAUGAGGCUGGUUAUGAGGCCACUCACUGCUUGAAACCGCCGGUGAAUCAAUAUGCGUGCAAUAACUCUGGCUUGGACGAGGGGUUGUGUGAAUCUGCUCAUGACUGUAUGAAUAAGCCGCCUGUUGAGCCACCGCUAUCUGAAGAAGCUCGCCGGCCCUCCGUAUCUCCAUCGCAGCUGGAGACUCGCCUUCAACAGGGAGAUCUGCCAAUCGCGUAGCUGCAGCAAUCAUAUAGUCCAGAGGGUUAGAAUAAUGACCCAGCGCUGUCAAAACGUGCUGCGGCGGAGUCAAAUUCAAAUGAGGCAGGGUCGGCAGCACGUGGUUGAACUGUCGCUCCAGUCACAGGUACAUCGACAACCCGGUUUACCACGGGCGGGUCACUGGUUCCUGCCCCAGGUGUGUUGAAAAGAUUCCUGGCCUCAAACCCUGCGGGUAACCAGGUCUGGUGCCUCCUCCUCAUGACGGCGUUUGAAGUUUUCUGGUCCAAGGUAAGCCGGCACAACUAUACCUGAAUCCAUUGUAUUGCAGCAUCCAAAGCGGCUCGUUCUAUUGCCAUCCUGGCAUUCUCAGCAUUGAACUCCUCUUUCGCUUGAGCUAUCUCAUCUCGUAGUUUCGCAACAUCCACCUUAUGAUGUGCUUGAUUUUCCGGUGUCACCUCCGCAGCUAAUAAGGUUGCCAAAGCCUCCAAAAGCUCAGAUAACGCUUGAGCCGGUGGGCACGCAAAGCCGCUAGCCCCGGCCGUUGCCGCAGCCGUUGAACUGGAAGUCAUAGCCGCAACAGUCGUCGAAUUGAGCACCAGUUGUGUGCCGGCCAUGAAGAUGGCAACCCUGUUCGGCGGCUCAUAGGGGUCCGGAAUAUUGUCGCCAUCGGAACAGCACCCAAGCCCACCAUCUUGUAAUUGAUACAUGGAAUUGGUCUCAUCGGUUGAGGACUCAUCACCAGAAUAGAUGGCCGUCUCACCUCCGGACAUAGAUCCUUCCUCAAGAUCCACUCCGUGAGUAAAACCCACAAAAGCAUGCUUCACGGCGGUUUGAACCAAGGCGGGCCGUGCGCACUGAGCCGUCUUGAUGAUGUCGGUGUAGGUGUUCGGCUCAGGCUCCAACUCACCGAUCUUGUCGAUGAAGACGUGGAUUCCGCCGAAGGGGACCAGGUACCCGUACUCGGUUGAGCCGGCUUCGGGGCCCCAGCUAGCUUCGUUGAUGUAGAGCUUGCCACGGCGGCAUUUGGUCAUCCGGCCGACACUGUAUCCCUUGAUCCCUGUGUAGUUGCCCUUCAAGAACUCGAAACCACCGUGCGCUGGCCCGAUGGUGGGCGCCAACUACCAUGGAUUUAACACGGCAGAUGCCCUAGCAAAAGGACUUAGGUGUGGAGCUAUCGCAGCUAGGUUAGCUUGAAGGGGUUAAACUGGACAAAGUACACAGAGAGUUUACCCAGGUUCGGCCCCUCUCAAUGAGGUAAAAGCCUACUCCUGCUUUAGAUUGUAUUACUUGGGUUUCGAUUAGCAGGGAGCGAAUACGCUUGACCCAGUUCUCGAUGAGUUGUUUCUUUAGUCAACCCGCCGCCGGGUCACCCCUUUAUAUACAGGCUGAUGCCCGGCGGCUUACGGGGUCUGGCCGGCUCACACAAACGUGACCGGUUCGGUUUCUACUAAGCUUGCCUUACGAUACAAGAUAAACAUAUGGCGGCUCAUCUCUUUGGGCCCUAAGUCGCCUUGUGGUCUUGGGCCUUCAGUAAGCCUGCUUCAUGAACCGCCAUAUUCUCGUCCUCUUAGGCCUUGUCGGGCUUCUCCAUUGUUAAGCCGCUAGCGGCGUGACCUGGCCCCUCCUGGGCGGGUUAUAUUCGAUAGUCAUAUCCCCAACAGCCGGCAUUGUUGUCGCUUGGCUGACCGGGCAGCGGCCGGAAGACGACGACGUCUUUCCAAUGGAGGAUGCCUCGGACGACGAACCGACGCAACCCACCUCCUCCGCGACAACCUCGCCGAUGGGUUGCAUCUUGACCGUCGACAAACCCCAUGCCCAUUGCAUGGGCAUGGUGCGGGAGGAGCAGUUCUGGGAUGAGCAGGCUGACGCCGCCUACAACCACCAUCUCCUGCAUGAGCACAUGCAGGUGGAGGAGCAGCUCGUCGCAGGCAGGGCUCUCGCGCCGUACGCGGACCUAGUGGAGCAGCAGGCUUUGCUCGAGUACUACCUCUCCGCCCACGAGACCCCCCUUGCCCGGUGACGGUACAGCCAGCGGGUGGCAAAGGUGGCGGCUGCCUACAAGGAGAGCGAUGACCCGAGCGAGGUAGCGUUCGGCGAGACCGAUGACGAGGAGGACAUCGCCAGCUCCAUGCCCAACCGCGGCGACAAAGAAGCCGACACAUCCACAGGUGCCGCCGGCAGCAAAGAAGAGUAGUGCACGCUAGGUCACCGCUGCUCAUGUCCGAGGAAGGCGAACGGUCCUCCCCUCCCGUCGACGCCAAGCUUGGUGGACUCAUCAUCUUCGGCCGAUUAGUCGCUUGGCAGAGAUGUGGAGGCAGACAUCUUCACUUCGCGAGCCUCCGGAGGCGGAGGUUAUGGAGGCGGACCUAGAGAGCGCCGAGGCGGAAGUGGAGACGGUGAAUUUUCAGUUCUCGAUGCUGAUGGCUAGACACGGGAAAAGGCACCGGCGACCAUUUAGAUUAGGUAUUAAUUAUUCCUUUAGAGCCGGACUAGCACAUCUUUAAUGUAAAUGUAAUGAAAUCCGUCGUGUUUAUAUAUAUAUGAACUCCGGACAUGAUUAUAUGAAGUCCGACAUGUUUUAUAUGUAAUCCGUCCUUAUUUGCAUGAAUUUCAUCUAGUUUGUUGAAAAAGUGUUUGAUUUGUAUGCGGCUACGGUUGGAUUGCGUCCUCCCGCAUCCAUAUCCGUAGACUGAUCCCCUGGCUGCGGAAGAAAGCGGGAGUAAAUUUGCGGGUUGGCGUAGGAGAUACCCGAAUCAACCACACUCCACCGCUAGCUACCAUGCUUGGUCGAUCCAUCGGCCCAACCCAACAUCCAACCAUCUCCAAAAUGCAUUAAUACCCAGCAUCCAACAACCAAAAUUCAUGCAUUGGCUCACACCAAAUCGGAUUUACUGCAAAUGGGAUCCCAUGUUCGUUAGCAGAAAAAAAAUGUUCGUUAGCAGCCUUAUUUAAACCCAUGCACCCGCUGCGAAACUCCUCACCAGUACAAUCACUUGGCAAAUCUAGCCAUCUUAUCAUCUCCAGCUGAGCUCAGCAUCACUAGUACUGCAAACUCGAUCGGGAUGGCUCGCGCUGCAGCUACUCAGCUCGUGCUGGUCGCCUUGGUGGCCGCUAUGCUCCUCGUAGCCACGGACGCGGCCAUCUCCUGCGGUCAGGUGAGCUCUGCCUUGAGCCCCUGCAUCUCCUAUGCCCGCGGCAAUGGCGCCAACCCGACUGCGGCCUGCUGCAGCGGUGUCAGGAGUCUGGCCGGCGCAGCCCGGAGCACCGCUGACAAGCAAGCGGCGUGCAAGUGCAUCAAGAGCGCUGCCGGUGGGCUCAACGCUGGCAAGGCCGCCGGCAUCCCCUCCAAGUGCGGCGUUAGCGUCCCAUAUGCCAUCAGCGCUUCGGUCGACUGCUCUAAGAUUCGCUGAUCAACCACUGCCCACCAUGGCUGCCGCUCAUAGCGCCAUCCAUCACCGCUUAGUAUGCUGAGGUCUCUAAUACAUAUGAAUAAAUGCUCUAUCUGAUCUCCAUGUGAGGGAGAAAGGAGUGCGUACGCCGAGCUAGCUCUGCAUGGCCGGCCACUAUUGUACUACUACUAUGGUUGUUUUUACUUUCACUACCUUUGAGGAGAACCGAGACUUUAUUGUACGUUUUUUUUUUUGCGGGUAAGAGACUUUAUUGUACGUUGUACCAUGUACACUUCCAGUAUAUCGAUUAUACUUACAAUCAUUUCUUCCAGUAUUUUAUUCCACAUAACAACCGUGAGAUACGACGGAAAUAAGAUGAAUGCAUAGGACCUCUUAUGGGUUUAAAUUAUAAGAGAUGGGGCUAGCAGUAUAAUUGAG
rnacentral:lncRNA from 1 species